UAUAUAUAUAUAAUAGCUAUUAUAUCAAUUGUCUUGUUUUCCGAACAGAGAAGUCACACGAUGGACCUUUUUAUUCCUAUCCUUUCAAUUGCAAAAAUCAACUGUCGUGCUAUAUAUCUGAGUUAAAAGAUUUUGUAAAGAAUUUGGUGUAACAAACUUAUUCCGACACACAGCUCUCUCUAAUCAUACACCUUCCUACCACCCUGUCCACACCAGAGAAGCCUCGGGCAGCAGCUAUUGAGUACCAGACCAAUCCUUCACAACCUGAUCUCCCAGCCACGUCCCAGGGGGCGUGCGAAGGCACGCCACAAUCCAUAUGCGAGAAAUCGAAUUCUUCGUGACACGAAGAAAUUUACUUAGCACAAUUGGAAAAGUAAGAUAAGCAAGAAUAAAAAAAAUAUUCGUCAUAAUAUGCAGAAUAAAAAAUUAAGAAAUGCAAAAAAACUAAAGUGUAGUACAACUGCACAUAGAAAUGCUUCACUGUGAUACUGAAUGCUCAGCGUUGUUAGCUACUCAUGAGGUAACAAAGAACAUGGUAAAUACUGUAAGAACUGAAUUUUCGGUACAGGAAAAUGAUUUUCUUAGUUACACAAUAUUUUGGACAGUUAAGCUUCUAGCCAGUUUCUAAAAACAAACAACAACUUGUAGCUUCAGUAAUGCUAACUAUACUAAUUUGUUCAUAGAUUUAUGUUUACUAUAUUCCUUUCUGGUGCUUUUAAAAGCAUUUCUUUUGUGCUGUUCCACGGUAACUCUCGCCUUUCAAAUGCUAACAAUUAACCCAAAGUAAAUUCAAUUGGAGAUGUCACAGAUCAUUUAUAGAGAAAUGGAAUCACCGCAUAUGAUUUUAUUGAAUACGAGAAUCAAAAGAAAAGUACAAUAGUUUCUCCUGAUGAAUUAAAAAUACAACAUGCGUACCCAGACAAACAAUGUUCAUUACAGAUAAAUUAAAACUAUUACCAAAAAGCAGCGGAACCACAAGACAAGUUGAUGAUGUCAUCACACCAUGUCAAGGAGAUCGGAGUUGAAUGUUUUACCCAACCGGAAUCUGAGCUUCAAGACAGGCCAUUCGCCUAGCAACUUGGUGAGAAUGGGCAACAAAGCUACCAAAACGCAAAUUGCAAUGGCCAGCCAGUGGAGAGGUGGAGCCAAAACCGUAUAUAAUCCAGUUGAAAACGCCGUAGUUGUUGCUACGUAUGCAAACCACAUGAGCUUCUUAGUGCAGGAUCUGUAAUAAAGUAAGAACUCAUAAUCCUCCCACCUUGCUAUGAUGCAUAUGAAGGCAACAGCAAACGAGGAGCACAUUGCUAAGACGUCAGAAAUCAAGAAUGCCUGAAAUGCAAACUUCUUGGACAUGAUGGGGAGUCCUUCGUUUCCAGCAUCACUGCUGUAUCCUCCGGGCAGAGUGAAGGCAGCCGCGAAGGUGAUUGUAGCAAUGAGGAUUGCCACUAAGGAGGUGUUGCUUGUGUAUGUUUGAGUUAGUGACUUUGCGUCCCUCCUUGAUGCGUCAGUCGCUCGUUGCUUUGUAGACUUGUGAAGAUUAUAAAAAGAGGUGGCUUGUUGGGGUACAUCUCUCAGCAUCAGCAUGCUCACUUCAUUCUUCAUGUAUUCGAAGGAAGUUCUUAUGGAUCUCAUGGUGUAAUAAUAAAGCUGAGCUAUUCUAUGAUGUGCACAGUGUUAAUCAUAGUAUUGUAUUUAGUUAAAAAAAUUGACCACACAUUAAAGCCAUUCAGUUCAAAUUCAAACAGCCAAAGAGGAGGGAACAAGAAUAAUUCUAUACACGGGGAAAGUCUAUUAAACUGAAGGUCUAAUGGAAGUGGGCUCCUGUGGAUGUCUGUUUAAUAGGAAUGGGAAAAAUCUAUACAUAAAUCAUAUGUCUGUCCGUUCCUGUGGUAGGCCUCCACGAGCUGCUUUUCUUUGAGUUGCCGGAGUAGGCAUCUAUUUUGACUGAAAGAGUAGGCAUCUAUUAAACUGAAGGUUUAUGGGUAACAAAGAAGUGGGCUGGUUCAGGCGGAUGGUGGAUCGCUUUAUGCAGAGAGGGUUAUUUCGGGGAUGCAGAGGCUUACACCGGUGCCAAAUUUUCAGUGGAUGGCAAAACCGCAAGGUAUGACGGACAUUGAGGUUGUGUCGGCUUUUGAGUUUCAGCGGGCGUCGGUAAUUCUUUGGGCCGCACACAGCUUGCAAUACGAUGCAGUUGACUCCGUGUUGCCCGAACUGCGACUUUGGUUUCCGGCUCACGGAUUCAUGGAUGUCGUCGGAGAAAAGAAAAAUAGGUUGCUGCUCGAUAGCCGCCCGCCGGCCCUCGUAAAAUGCUUGGAAUCAGGGUUCACAAUUCACAGGACGUGAUUUGGGGCUGGGAAGCAACGGCAUAUGGAGUUAGGCAGCAGGGCUUAAUCCGUAAAACAAGUACUCUCUCUGUUAACUUUGACUAAAUUUGAAUGCAUCUAUAUACUAAGUCAUGUCUAGAUACAUCCAAAUUUGGACAAAGUUGAGACAUCCUUUGUUGUACGGAGGGAGUAGACUGAACGACCAGGUUAAAGGAGGCAGGCGGCCGUCUAUUUGCAAAUUAACCAUGUUCUUUACCUAACUACUUUUGCUGCUGCUGUUUGGCUGCUUGCUCUGUUCUGUACGUACUCUGCAUCCUUCCAACUUGAAGUCUGAGGUGGAUUACGUGCUAUUGUGUGCCUUGAAUUGCUGUAGAGUUCAAGUGAACUUGCUGCUGCAGUAGUGUGCUGGUUAGGAGGAGAUAAGAUUGGGCGAUUUACUUGUGUGCUAUUUUGUUUGGAUCGGAAUUGGCCACAGGUGCCGCUGUGCCAGUGCUAAGUCGUGCCUUGUCAUGAAUUCAGAUGGUCUGCCUGGUCCUUGUCCUUUAGUACACUCUGAUGUAUGGGGUCCCUCUCCUUUUGCUUCAAAGGGUGGCCACAAAUAUUAUGUUAUCUUUGUUGAUGAUCAUUCUCGGUAUACUUGGAUCUAUUUCAUGAAGCAUCGUUCUCAACUGAUUUCCAUAUAUCAGGCUUUUGCACGUAUGGUCCACACACAAUUCUCUCGUGAUAUUCGUGUUUUUCGUUCUGACUCAGGGGAGGGAGUACCUAUCUGCAACUUUUCGUGAGUUUCUCUCUUCUGAGGGUACUCUUCCUCAACUUUCAUGUUCAGGUGCUCAUGCUCAGAAUGGUGUUGCUGAGCGUAAGCAUCGUCAUAUUAUCGAGACCGGUCGUACUCUUCUGAUUUCUUCCUUUGUUCCUACUCAUUUUUGGGGUGAAGCUAUCUCUACGGCUGUGUAUCUCAUCAAUCUGCAGCCUUCCUCCCAUCUUCAGGGCAAGAGUCCCGGAGAGGUUCUGUUUGGUUCUCCUCCCACAUAUGACCAUCUUCGUGUUUUUGGUUGUACUUGUUAUGUUCUUUUAACACCACGUGAGCGUACCAAGUUGACGGCACAGUCUGUACAAUUUGUUUUUCUUGGCUACAAUCUUGAGCACAAGGGUUAUCGUUAUUAUGAUCCUUCAGCUCGUCGCAUUCGCUUUUCUCGAGAUGUCACUUUUGUUGAGGAUCAACCAUUCUUCUAUUCAUCUUCCACCAAACCAUCAUCUUCCACCUCCUGAGAGUCCACCUCAUUUCUUUCACUUCCACCUAUUUUCUCUUCAGACGAGUCCAUUCCUGAUCAGUCACCACCAGAUCCACCUUCAUCACCACAUGCUUCACCCUCUCCUCCACCAGCCCCAUCUUCUCCUCCACCAGCUCCACCUCUUCUUGAUAGUUUUCCUUUCCAUUACACUCGUCGUCCUAGAGUCACACCUGAUGCUCAGCCAUCUAUUCCUUCAUCUUAUGUUCCUCCAGCCAGUAUUUUUGAUCCUUGCACUAACGACUCCUCUCAGACAGUAAGGUAUGCUCUGCGUGAUCGCUCCUCUCUCGAGCUUCCAAACAGAUACAGAAAAGAUUUCUGUGUAGGGGCAGCUUAUGAGCCUACGACUUAUCAGGAGGCAAUUGUGCUUCCUGAGUGGCAGCAAGCUUUGUCUGAGGAGCUUGCUGCCCUAGAAGGUACCGGUACAUGGGAUUUGGUACCACUACCUCCUCGAUCAGCCCGUAUUACUUGCAAAUGGGUGUACAAGGUAAAAACUAAGUCAGAUGGUUUCGUGGAAUGUCAUAAAGCUCGGCUUGUUGCAAGAGGUUUUCAACAGACUCAUGGGAGAGAUUAUGAUGAGACUUUUGCUCCAGUUGCUCACAUGACGUCAGUUCGCACUCUGGUUGAUGUUGCUGCAGCUCGGUCAUGAAAAUUUUCCCAAAUGGAUGUGAAGAAUGCUUUCCUUCAUGGUGAUCUACGUGAGGAAGUUUAUAUGCAGCCACCUCCUGGUGUUGAGGUUCCACUGGGUCAUGUAUGUCGCCUUCGGAAGGCUCUGUAUGGGCUCAAGCAAGCCCCUCGUGCUUGGUUUGAGCGGUUCAGUUCUGUAGUUCAAGCUGCUGGAUUUUCUCCUAGUGAGCAUGACCCUGCACUCUUCAUUCAUACAUCUGAGCUUGGUCGUACUCUUCUUUUACUCUAUGUGGAUGACAUGUUGAUCACCGGAGAUGAUAUGAGAUAUAUUGCUUUUGUCAAGAGAAAGUUGAAUGAGCAAUUCAAGAUGUCAGAUUUGGAGUCCCUCAGUUACUUUCUGGGAAUUGAGGUCAAGCAAAGUGAUGAUGGUUACUAUCUCUCUUAGCAAAGGUACACUCAUGAUUUGAUUUCUCGCUCGGGGCUUUAUGGCACACGCACUGCUGCUACACCCAUGGAGCUGCAUUUGCAUUUGCACCACACUGAUGGCACAACUCUUGAGGAUCCUUCUCGUUAUCGUCAUCUUGUGGGCGGUCUUGUUACCUCACCGUGACCCGACCUGACAUUUCACAUGCAGUUCACAUUCUUAGUCAGUUCGUUAGUGCUCCUACCUCAGUUCACUAUAGUCAUUUGCUUCGUGUUCUUCGGUACUUGAGGGGGACAACAUCACGAAGAUUGUUCUAUGCUCACGAUAAUAAACUUCAACUUUAUGCUUAUUCUGACUCUACUUGGGCGAGUGACCCUGUUGACCGUCGUUCAGUCACUGGCUACUGCCUCUUUCUUGGGAUAUCUCUUAUUGCAUGGAAGUCUAAGAAACAGAUUGCCGUGUCUCGUUCUAGUGCUGAAGCUGAGCUUCGAGCACUUGCUACUACUACAUCAAAGAUCGUUUGGCUUCGUUGGUUAUUGGCUGAUCUUGGUGUUUCAUGUGAUGCACCAACAUCACUUCUUUGUGAUAGCACUGCAGCGAUUCAAAUUGCUAAUGAUCCUGUCAAACAUGAGCUCACCAAACACAUCGGUGUGGAUGCAUCAUUCACACGCUCUCACUGUCAACAAUCAACUAUUCAGCUCCAGUAUGUUCCAUCGGAGCUUCAAGUGGCAGAUUUCUUCAUCAAAGCUCAAACUAGAGAACAACACAAACUCCAUAUUCUCAAACUCAAUGUUUCAGAUCCACCUUGAGUUUGUGGGGGGCUGUUAAGAGUAUUAGAGUAUUCCUUUGUGUGUGUUUAUGCUUUAUAUUUCAUAUAGUCUAGUCAGGCCCAAGGCCCAUGUAAGCUCUUGUAUAUGGUUCUAGUCAAUCAAUGGAAAAUCUUGAUUUGGUCUUUUGACACUCUUUUAGGUGAGAUGGCUAGAUGGGGUAUCUUAACAUUGUAUCAGAGCCAAAAGUCUCGAGUUUGAGUCUCAAUCCCCCCGCAUUUUCCCAUCAUUAUCCACGCCCACGUCGGGCGUGGGAGAGCUUCUUUCUUUCUUUCCACAUCACGUCGGAUGGGGUGGGGGGGGGGGGGGGUGUGUUAAGUAUCAAAUCUCUUCUUCCUAUCAUAUCAGUCUUUUAGGUGAGAUGGCUAGAUGUGGUAUCUUAACAAUUUUACCAUUGACUUUCCCUUUCCUAAAAAGAGUCAUGCCACAAGAGAAGAAAAAACAAUAUCUAGAAAGAAACAGAGUUAGCCUUUUAUCUUUUUUUUUUGCUUAGCCUCUCACCAAUUUCACCUUGUAGAGAUGAUAGUGCUUAUUUGGCUUAUUCAGUGUAAGUAACUUACUACAGUUGAAAGCAAACACACAUAAAAAGCCUUCUGAGCAUCCUUAAAAAAGUUGCUUAGUGUUUCAGUUGGUUGUGUAAGCUAGCUAUGUACUCCAUUCCAAAAUAUAAGGUGUAUUCAGUUUUCUUUUACCAUGGCUUAAAACUUAGCUUACGUGAUUCAACCAUUAGAGAAUACUUUUGAGUAUUUAUACAACCAUAUCAGAUUUGUCACACAGAUUAUGUACUAUAUGGUUGGUCAAAGGAAAACGAACGUCUUAUAUUUUGGAACGGAGAGAGACACAAAAUUGUUCUGCCUCUACUACACACCUUAUGGCUGGGUCGUGAAUGAUUCUAGUACUCGCAUAAUAAAGGGAAGGAGUACGUACCCAGUUUAAAGUCUUGGCUUGAUUUGUGGUUUGCGCCAAUGACCAAGCUGCUGGACUAUUAUUGUCGGCAACAACCGUCGGGUCUAUAUCCUCGUGAGACAAUAAAGCAGCAGCUGUCUUAGGAUUACACUUUUGGACUGCCAUAUGUAGAGCGGUUUCUCCUUUACUGGUUUGCAUGUUAACAAGUUUCCGGAGUUGAGGUGUCGCUAGAAUAAAUUCAACAAACUCGGUAUGAUUGUGAGAUAUAGCUGUAUGAAGGCAUGUCCAUUGCUUGCCAUCUACUGUGCAAUAAGGAGCGUCUGGACAAUUGCUAAGAAUCUCUCGAGCAACAUCAACGUGACCUCGAAAUGAGGCAGCAGUAAGGAGGGGCGCACCGGAUUUGGUUAGUUCAUACCCUAAAGAACAAUCAUGUUCUAGCAGCACUCGUAGCACGUCAGGCUUGUUAAAAAGUACAGCCACUCUUAAUGGUGUAUUGUUGUUCAUGUUAGCUGCUCUCGCCAUUUCAGGUCGUAUCCCCAUAAUUUUUAUAGCGCUGUCUGAAAAGAAUAAAUCAGGUCAUUAAUUGUGGUGUAAAAAGUUCAGGAAUCAUGGCAUGAACUAGCUAAGCUAGUACUCCCUCCGUUUGGGUUUAUAAGGCCCACGCGGAAUUUUAUGUCAAAUUUUGACCAAAAAUUACAUUGGUAAUAUGAGAUUAUUGCGUCACAAAAGAUAUAUUGUUGAAUUCGUAUUGAAAAACUAUUUAAGUUUUAUAUGCAUUAUACUAAAUAAAAUUUAAAUAAUUGUUGGUCAAAGUGUAUAAUUUGAAUAAUUAUUAGCCAAAAUGUGGCACAAAUUUCAAUACGAGCCUAUAAACCCAAAUGGAUGGAGUAGCAAGUAUGUUGUAGAGAUAAUCCUCAAAUUUAAAUCCCAUGGCAAGUUAGUACUUUGACGUUAAAAAAAAGACACAAGUACUAUUGUAAUUUGUACUACUCCAUAAAGCACACCUUUAUCCCCAUUUUCAACCACAGCAUGCAAACCAUUCCGUCCAGCAUGACUAGAAUCUGGAAUAUUCAACAGUUUCUCGAAAAUAUGUGCAAAACCUCUCAUCGCAGCGAUGAACAUAGGUGACUCGCCAUACUUGUCCACACCUUUGCACAGACCAGGCUCUGCUGCUAUCAACUCCAUCGCAAGCUCCCUGUGGCCGCUGCGAAUGGCAUGGUGCAGUGCAUUGCAACCAUCCUUGUCUUGUCGUAAGAUUGCAUCACUCAGCUGCCGUGAACGGCAGUAUCUGCUGAGUAAGACAGAAGCCAAGGAGACACGGCCGCUUCUCACUGCGGCGACAAGUGGCGUCUCCUUGUCGGAGUUAACAGCCGUGAGGAGAGACUCCUCUAGUUCCAGCACAUCCUUGCAGAAUCCCUCGUGACCAUGAACCGAGGAUAUAUGGAGGACGGUGUUCCCCAAGGGAGGUGUUCCAAGCAGAAUGCUUGGAUCCUGUGAAGCCAUGGCCUUCAUUGACCCAGAAUCACCAGAUGUCGCUGCUUGCAGGAGCCGUCUGUCUAUCCGUGGUUGUCCCUGUCCUCCCGAUGAACUUGGUGUCGUUGAUGUAUUGGCUGCCAUCUAUUUUGGGUUAAUUUACUGCAUAACAAAAGAUAGUUAUAUAUACUUUUAUGUUGAAAGAACUAGGAGAGCUAGCUGCAUACGGUCUUUGAAGGUUCAAAGGAGAUCAGCAUGUAAUAGAGCAAUAGUUCACAUGUACAAAAUUGGAGAAACGAUAACUUGGUAUUGAAAUGAAGAAAACGGGAUCAGUUACAAUACCUGAUUGUGGAAAUUCAGUGUAAUAUGAUUGCGGGACGGAUCCUCUUCCUUUGAAGGGGCAAUCACAUGAAAAUGGGGUCACUUAAAUCGUGUCAAGAGACAAUUAACUGUGGCAGAAUUCUAUUUGUAAAGGAAGUGAAACAAUUAACUGCUACAAGAGUUCCCUGAUAGACUGUCUCUUAUAGGGGCAACAAUACAACAAGACAGGGUUUACCUACUCAACAAGUAAAGGGAAGAACCCUUCAAAAAUAGAACAAGGAAAGAAUAUGCGUAGAGGCUGAACGGGAUUGAAUCCCCCAAUAUACUACAGUUUGCUAAAAAGGCAAAAGCUAGCAGGAUUGGAAGAGAUCGAAGAAACGUAUCAUGUAGAUAUAUUCAAAUAAUAAAGGGGGUUAGCUACCUAGCUUGCUCCUUGUAUUGGUAAAAGGUUGCCUCCUUGUAUUGUCAAGGUAUCCAGUAAAAUUAAGCCCCCAAACCUACGCACUAACUCUUCAAGGAAGAGACUUUGAUAUAGUAGUUAGUUCUGGGCCAUCUUCUUUCAGACUGUUGGUAUAACUUACAGCAGCUUGUGACAGCGAUUAUCUGAUUGGUUACUACUCACUACUUCUUGAAGAAGUCCGGAACUGGGAUUACAAUUUUGUAAGGCAACAGAGCACAGUGGAAUUACAACAGCUUUAAAGCAGAAAACUCAAUCGUGCUUACGUUACAAAGAUUAUUAGGAAGAUUAUGCCAUACAGAACAGGAAGGUACUAUGCGAGUUUCAGAUAGAAAACUGUCAAACAGUUGACAGAAUCACAAAAUAUUAUACAACACUAACAAUGGCACAUCAGGGACCAAACUGAAGCUACCUACAGCUGCAACGCUGAUGGGAGAUUUACUGGAUACUUCACUUCACUUUGCUGUACAGAUUGAUGAGAGCCGUUGGUGUUAGGUUGAAAGGUCGAGAAGCCACGAAUGGGGAGUUCGAGAUGGAACACCUGUGUCUACGAACAGUCACUGCUUAUUCAGUUUGUCUGGCUGAGAAAUUGCUCCAUCAGGGGGACCAUCUAAACUGCGACAUGGCCAAAUUGCACUGUAUAGUCGAACUCAAGUGGUUUUAAUUUGGCUAUUAUCUUAAUGCCUAUUCCCCGCAUCCACGGCCUGUGAACAAAACAAAAAAAAUCCAAUUGAUACUUUAGCACCGUUAAUGAUUUGCCUCUAUGGAGUAAAAACAAUAAUAAGCAACUAGCACUAUAUACCUAGAGGGUGAUGCUGUGUACUUACCACAAAACGUGGGGACCGACGCAUGCUAGAUGGCGUUGCAAGGGGAGAUGCUGCUGAUCGGGGAGUACGCCCUCUCUUUGCAUGCAUGUCUUGAUUCUUUGACCGACUUCGAGAAUGGCUUUGAUUGCUGGUGCUUUCGCUUGUGGUAUCAACGGACAAAGCCGGUGGUGACGAAGCUGUUAUGGAUGAUGUGUCUGGGCAAAAUGAACUUGCAGGAUGAACCCCUGCAUACAAUACAAACAGAACUCUCUAACAGGAGGUACAAAAAAGAACACACCAACAAUUGUGAAGCAUAAACAUAACAACCAUGGGAGAUUGGGAGGUAAACAUAUUUCUCUUCCAACAACAAACAUCUAUAUUCUAUGGAAUUUACAAAUGAACCUAUAUGUUCUGCCAAUUUGAUAAGAAUUAUGAAGUUUCUUGUGUACAGUUUGCCACAAUGAUGGCAGUCAUGGCAUGAAUUUCACAAACCAGUGGUCAAAGUGAACAUCCGCUGAUAAAGGAAGGAAGAUAAAAUGUUUUAACUAUCUGAAAAGGUAGAUAAACGUCCAUCCACAGGCUUCAUGCUUUACAUGGUUAAAUAACUAACUCGUUAACCAUAACUCAAGGUCAAUUCACUCUACUAGACAGUGGCACGGUGUUGGGCGAGGACUGAUAUCCUAUCAUCAUAAGAAUAGAACAGUUAACAAGUGCUAUUAAAUAGCAAACUCAUUUUUAUUUACACUGAAAGAUCAAGGAUAACCAAAACUUUCAAGUCAUGUAGUCUUGCAUCAUAUAUGGCCCCGAUAACAAUGAUAUUUGGAGGGGGGAAAUGGUGGAAAUUUAGGUAAAUGCUCAAUAUAUAUACAGAAAGCAGCUAUUGCUUCCCAUUCACAGAAUUACUCUGGCAUUUCAGGGAAGAUUGACUUGAUGCAUUUUUCUAAUGGAAACAUUAUGGAGUACCUUUCGUUGCAGCCGCUUGGAAUCUUGCUCUCAUGAUUCUAACAAACUUGAACAGAUCGUUUGUGCAGUUCAGAUCCUUCACCAAUUCUUCAGAAUCUUUCAGUAAUGGAUCACAUUGAAUUACUGUUAUCAACAAAUGAGAAUUUUAACAACUAUAAUUCUUAAACAAAUAAUCAUAUGUUGUUAAUAUUAGAUAGAUCGGUUAAGAAACUUGCAACUCACAGCUGUAUUUAUCUUUAGUGACCUUCAUGCAAAACAAAUACUCAUUGUCAGGACUUUGCAUGUUAACUUUGUUGAAGACAAAUUUAACGCCUUGAAACAAAAGAGAAACGUCAGACAUGAUGCUAACUUGAUUGACCAUGUUAUCGAAACUUUCAUUACCUUCCCCUGCAACAACUCGAAAACCAAGAAAUUUAUUGUACCAAGUAAUAGCUUCAUCUAGGUUCUUUUCCCCUGUCGCAUCAAUGUUAGCUUCAAGAGUUUCAACAGCUGCCAUCAAAAGAAGAUGCGUUAAGGCAUGUAGAUAUCAGCUCCGGAGCUCGAUAAUAUUGUAACAAAAGAAUAAUGUUGGCUCAAAACUCAAAAGAACGCCUCAAACUGAACUAUCUGCACCUCCUUUAAAGCCAACUAAAGCUCUUGUAGUUUCAUAUUCAGUUUAGAUUUUAGAGCCCAUCAAUAUUGUGGCAUUUCAGGUUACUGCUAGAACCGUGAUUUAAAUUGUAAUAUUACCUUCAAGCUGCUUAGAUAUGACGUUUGCAUAUUCAUCUCUCCGAGUCCUCUGAUCCAUGACCAAGUUGUUGAGCUGCUCAUUUGUUGUAGUGGCACUCGAAAUUGACUCACUGGUGCGCUCACAUUCUGAUCCUUUGUUUAGUUGGACUGCAGAGAAAGUUUACAAAAAUUCCAGCAUUUCCAUUAAAUGCAAUAGAGGAAAAGGGUACUAAGAUAAGAAAUGAGACAUUAAUCAAAGAGUGCGUGCAGCGAACCAUCCAUAAGGCCAUAACAAAAACAAUAAACGAAUUAAUGUACAUCCUGUUGUUGCAAAUCGCACAAGAGUGAUGAAAUGCUUGAAAUACUUACUGGACAGAGCUUCUGCAAGACCUGCUUCAAGUCCCCUGAACUGAUCCUUCAGUCUGUUGAGUUUUUCUGUCAUCCAAGAAUACGCACACAAGUAAGAGUAAUCACUCGCACUUUCAGCUUUAGCUCACAAAUCUCACUUGGAAUUUUGCACCGAUUGGUCGUCCGAAACUACAACCUCGCUUAGGAGGAUACAUAAAUUUGCAUUUAUUUAUAUGUAAACAAAAAUCAAAUAGACUGGCUCACUGCAAUCAAUGAACUUAACCUUAGGUCUCAAGAUCGACCACGCAUUUGGCAAUCGAGUUUCCCCAGAUGGAAACGGGAGAGCGCGAUACUAGGGAAUCCGGGAAUCGCAGAGGCGACCUACCUCGUUGGGCGACGGUUUCGUCGGCGAGCGAGCGGGCCGAGGCGAUGGCGGCGCGGAAAGCGUCGGCGGCCGCCGCCGUGCGCUCGUGGCCACGGGCGAUCUGCCGCUCGCACGCCGCGCGUUGCUCCGCCAUGUACCGGCACAGAUCUGCGGCGGCGGUACUGGAGCGCUCCAUGGCUCGCCGACGACUGAGGCGGCGGCUUUGCUCCGCUGCCCGUCCGGCCGGGUUUGGGGAGGAGAAGAGGAGCGGAUCGAGUUCAAAAUUUUCCAAACUCUCUCGCUCUCUCUUUUUCAGCGAACUGGACAGUUAGUUCAAUGGGCUUUAUUUAAAUGGGCCUUUGGGCCUUUAGUCAAGGGCUUUUCCCCUUUCAACAGAUAUAGCCCAGGCGGCCAGGCUACUGUAAAAGCGGAAAGAUGGUUUUACGUCUUCAUAGCUCACUUGCGUAAACCUGGCACGCACAUCGCGUAUUCACGUUGCUUCGCUCGCUGUGGACUGGACCCUAUUGAGUUCGCCUCUGUCUCUUCUCCAGUCCAACGUCUCUCCGGCGAUAGACGGCGCCCCGCCGUCGAGAUCCGGUCUUCUCUCUCUCGCCGCUCCGCUGCCGGGGAGAUUCGUCGGGGGGGACCUAGCGGGCGAGGGAGGCGAGAUGUUCGGUCUUCAGGCGAGCAGCGCGGCGGCGUCGUGGGUGGUGGGGCGGAUGGGGACGGACGCGCACCUCUACGACGACCCGGAGGACGCAUCCAUCCCGGCGCUGCUCGACUCCCGCUUCGACGCCGACAGGAUCGACGCGCUCAAGCGCCUGCUCGCCCUCAUCGCGCAGGGCGUCGACGUCGCCCACCUCUUCCCGCAGGUCCGGCAAAAUCCCCCCCUCCUCCGUGGAUCCUGGCGGAAUUCGGACUGAUCUGCGUGCGUGCGUCCGGUGCAGGUGGUUAAGAACGUUGCGGCGCAGUCGCUGGAGGUCAAGAAGCUCGUCUACCUCUACCUCCUCCACUACGCCGAGAAGUAAGCAACCCCCCCACUCAUUUUGCACUUCUGUUCUUCCUGUCCUGCCUGUAAUUGGUUGCUCCUGAUUGAAGUAACUCUGUGUCUGUGCUGAGUAUGAGACGGUUAGAACAGGUGUUCUGUCUGCUUCAAAACUAGUAAGGCAGAGAAAACUGUUGCGUGUAAUGACCUGUGAACAUAAUUGAUGGGCGCUUCCUCUUCAAUAGCAUGUUUAUUGAUGCUUGAAUUGGACCAUAGUAUGUCAAAAUUUUCUUUGAGAUGCUCUAGUUAAAGGAUUACGCUACCGUGAAGUUUGAAUCUUGCUUGACAAAACUGAUUUUUGAAUAACCAGCUAAGUUGUUUUCUGUGAUUACCAUGUGCUGCUCAAAGUGAUUUUAGGUUCUUUCUUGGUGUUGCUGCAGGCGCCAAAAUGAAGCUCUCCUUUCUAUUAACAUAUUCCAGAAGGAUUUAUCGGAUAUAAACCCAUUGGUGAGGGCUUGGGCCCUACGCACCAUGGCUGGUAUCAGAUUACAUGUCGUUGCUCCACUUGUGCUAGUGGCUGUAAAGAAAUGUGCCAGGGAUCCAUCGGCGUAUGUCAGAAAAUGUGCGGCGUAUGCACUUUGUAAGCUCUUCGACUUGCUUCCGGAGGAAAGUACAACUUUGGAGGAGGUUUGUUUUGUGCAACCUGCUGCUCAUUUUGCAUCGAUGCUCCACACUAUAUGUUUCUGAAGCCUGAUGAUGUUUUUUGCAGAUUGUGGAUGUUUUGUUCAGUGACAAUUCCCCGGGAGUAGUCGGAGCCGCCGCUGUUGCAUUUAAGUCAGUCUGUCCAAAUUGUUUAGCAUUGAUAUCAAAACAUUUCCGCAGGCUAUGUGAAACACUGCCUGAUAUCGAAGAAUGGUAUCAGAUUACUCUAAUUGAGAUUCUCUUGCGGUAUGUCAUAGCUAGACAUGGAUUAGUCAAGGAUUCUGUAAUGUUUGCUUCAAAUUUAUCUUUGGUGGCCCAGGGUGGUGUUACUGUUGAUACUAUGUCCUACACUCAACCAACAAGUGUUGGUGGGAUCAGUGGCACUAGGCCAAACAUCAUGUUGCUUCGGCAUUACAUUGAAGAACAUCCAGGAUGUUUUGAUAGGGAAGAUGAUAAGUUCAGCUCUCCAUCUGUCACUACGAGUACGAACGAUGAUGUUGCAAUUCUUUUGAAAUGCACAUCUCCUCUUCUAUGGAGCCAAAACAGUGGAGUCGUACUUGCAGCAGCAAGUGUUCAUUGGAUCAUGGCUCCAGUUGAGGAAGUGAAGAGAAUUGUUGGGCCGAUUUUGUUUACUUUGCGUUCAUCUCCUGAUGCAGCAUAUGUGGUACUUUCUAGAUACUUUUUCAUGGUCUUAUAUUUCAACAACUAGCAAUUAUACUGGUAUUUGCAAAGACUUUCUAGAUACUUUGAUGUCCUUUUGACAACCUUGACAGUGUUUUAUUGAGGCAUUUCUUGUGGACAUAAGAAUCUAAUAAUUUUCCUUCAUAUGAUGAUAUGUGCAAUUUCCUCGAUUUUUAUUUCUUCUUGAAUUGACCAGGUUUUUAUUCUUGCAGGUGCUUGGCGACAUACUGGUAUUUGCAAAGACUGCUCCAUUAUUGUUUGCUCCAUAUGAUGAGGACUUCUUCAUAUGCUCUUCAGAUCCAUACCAGACUAGGGCUUUAAAGCUUGAAAUACUGACCACCAUCGCCUCAGAGUCAUCUAUUCCUGCCAUUUUUGAAGAAUUUGAGGUAUUUGUUUGCAACUGUAUAUGUUGUUAUCCCCUCAAAAAAAAAAAACUCUAUAUGUUGUUAAGAUGUGUGUUCGAGAAAAAUUCUAGUUAAUAUUUCUUUACCCAUUCUGUUUGUGGAUGUUCAUGGUACUCUUUUGUAAAUCCUGCCAGGAUUAUAUCAAAGAUCCAAAUAGGAGAUUUGUGGCAGAUACAGUUGCUGCCAUUGCGCUGUGCGCCCAGAAGCUCCCCUCUAUCUCAUCCACUUGCCUUGAGGGGCUUCUGUCCCUUGUAUUUUAUGGUGAUGAUUUCUCUGGUUGCAUACUUUGUGGUGGAUUCUACUCUGUGAAUACUAAGGUUUUAUUUUUUUACCAUGUUACAGAAUCAUCUAUCACUAACUCAGUUCACUUGGACGGAGAAGAUAUUGUUUUAGUUCAAGCAAUCCUUUCAAUCAAAGCAAUAGUGAAAAUAGAUGCAGCUUCUCAUGAGAAGGUAUUAGUAUUGGAUACUUUAUUGCUUGUUAUCCUAUAGUUAUUGGAUACUUUAUUGCUUGUUAUCCUAUAGUGCGGCAGAUUUUUUUAAUUUGUUUCAUUUACGUGCCUAGAAACUAGGACUUGUUUGUAUGCUUCUCAAUACAUGGCUAAUGUGUUACUCUUGACCUUGUGAUUUUCAUCUGAUAAUCUAUCCACGUCAGUGUUUGGAAUGUAGGCUGUAUUGUACAACUUAUGGGCUUUCUUAUAUCACCCGCAAAUUAUCUUGGUCCUUUUAAUCAGUCAGUGGUAAUUUCCCUACUGAAGCGUGAAGGACUUCUGUAGUUCUGUACAUAUUCGACAUUGGAAUUUAAUACGACAUGCCAUAGUUUUUGUUGUCUUGUUAAAUAUUGACUUAUUUUCCAUGUUAAGUUCUUUUAUCUCCUUUUUUUUGUUUGUUUGAGGUAUGCUGUAUUAGUUAUUGGAACUACACUGAAGAACAAACGCGGAAGGAUGCCAUCAUGUGCUAUUGUUUGAAUGCAUAUCUUAUAUUUUGAUUUGACAUGUUCACAAUUCUUUUUCUCUGAAGGUGAUUAUCCGCCUGGUUCGCAGACUGGAUAAAAUUAAGCAGCCUGCAGCACGGUCCUUGAUUAUUUGGAUAUUUGGCGAGUAUAGCUCUGUAGGAAACCUCAUUCCAAAGAUAAUUCCACCUGUUCUCAAGUAUCUAGCAUGGUCUUUUGCUGCUGAAGUGCUCGAGACAAAGCUUCAGAUCCUAAAUGCUUCUGCAAAGGUACAUCCUAACUUAAGUUUCCUGCUAUUACAUAGGGGAUUGGUAAAAAAGUUUGCCUUUCCAGGUUAUAAUACAUUCUGCAGAAGAACACUUGGAAGAAUUCAAAAGGAUAAUGGCAUAUAUCACCGACCUGGCUGCAUGUGACUUGAAUUAUGAUGUCCGUGAUCGUGCACGCUUUAUAUCAAAUCUUUUGCCAUGUGGCAAGACCUCUUUAAAUGAAAAUGACUCCACAUGUCAAUCUCACAGUCAAGAUAUUCGUAAGGAGCUAGCUGAUCAUAUCUUUGGUGGGAAGAUACCUACAACAUCUCAUUCAGACAGCAACUACCGGAUUUAUCUUCCUGGUUCCCUGUCACAAGUUGUUCUUCAUGCAGCUCCUGGUUAUGCACCACUUCCAAAGCCUCAAAGUAUGGAAUUAAUUUAUCACACCAUAAAGCUGACCAGGGACACAGCUAAUUCUUCUGAAAGUAAUAAUUCCAAUGCUGAAUCUGAGUCUUCCUAUGAGAGUGGCUCUGUUUAUGAUUCAGAGAGUGAAGGUGGUGGCUUAUCUGACAAAGAUGCCACUGGAUCUAGCCAAUAUCCAAAUGAUGACGGACAUAACCUCCAUCACCGACAAGAUAAUCAGGAAGCCCCUCUGGUUCAUAUGUAUGAUGACAAUGUAGAUCAAGGCCAGACAGGUCGAAACGUUGAGGACAAUUUGUCAUCUCUCAUCUCUACUGAUUUGACUGAAUUAAUGUCUAAGUCAGCCUUGGAGUCAUGGCUUGACGAGGCUCCUGCUUUGCCAGCUGUUCAGGAAUCUAUGCAGAAAUCAAUUGCAAGAGUUUCUUUUACCAACCGCAGCUUUGAGCGAAAACCUAAACUGCAUACAUUGCUAGACCCUUCUAAUACUAGUGGUCUGAGUGUUAUAUAUGCCUUCUCAGCGGAGAUUUCCCCCAUAUCACGCUUGCUGGUAUGUAUAGACUUGUUUGUUGAGAAUAAUACAACAGACCAGUUGACAGAUAUAAUCAUUAAAUCUGAAGAGGCUUCUAUUAGUAAGGAUGAAAUGGACCAAACAUCAGAAGGAUCUGCAAGGUAUGCGCCAUCUGUGAUAUUUUUAUUUUUUAACAAACAUUUAUAUUGUUAAAUAUUAAAAUGUUUAUUAUGAAAACCUGUUGAUGGUUUUUAUUUGUCAACUUAUUUUACCUCGCAGCUCAUACAUAGUAAAUCAUCUUUUCCUGCAGCAUCCCAACUCUUGCUCCUGUGGAAGAGAUACGCUCGUUGGCUCCACAACAGACUGUGAAGAUGAUUCUUCAAGUUCACUUCCAUCAUCAUCUCUUGCCCCUAAAGCUGUCUGUUCUCUGCAAUGGGAAAAGGCAUCCAGCUAAACUUCACCCUGAUAUUGCUUAUUUUGUACGGCCACUACCCAUGGACUUGAAUGCUUUUCUUUGCAAGGAAAACCAGCUGAGGGGAGUGUUUGAGUAUGCUAGAAGGUAAGAAAGUUUCAUCCUAUCUUUGUUUGAGAGGAUGCCACUGGCUAGAUCCAGGUUGUUGAUUGUCAAACAUAUAUCCAAUAACUAAAUCUAUUGGAAUUGCAAUAGGUGCACCUUCAAAGAUCAUCUUCAGAAGCAUGGGUGCACUGAAGAGAGUACGGACCACACCGAUAAAAACCUUCUAGUAGCGCAGAGUCUUGCAUCAAAAGUACUCAGCAAUGCCAAUGUUCACCUAGUGUCAAUGGAUAUGCCAGUAACCUUCAGCAUCGACGACGCGUCCGGCUUAUGCUGGCGAUUUAGCAGUGAGAUUCUGAGCACUUCAAACCCCUGCCUAAUUACCAUCUUGGCGGAAGGUCAUACCUCAGGACCACUGGAUCUCACCGUCAAGGUGAAUUCUGAAGAUACGGUGUUUGGCCUAAACCUCCUGAACAGAGUUGUAACAAUCAUCGAGUGAAGAGAAUCUUUUAAGUUUUGCACAUUUAAUUUUACAGACCAUUUUGUCAAUACUGUAAAUUGUUGUACAUUUGUUUCUUUUAACUCGUAAAUUGUUGUACAUUACUGCAAGCGCUGAGCCGCUGACGGUUAGCAUAAAUGGGCAGUGGCUGGUGCUGUUACCAACCUUGUUCUUUUGCAUUAUCAGAGAUGUUCUGCAAGUUACUAAUGAUCACACACCCUUGUUUCUUUUAAGUGUCGCGUUAAUCUUCUUUUUUAUUAGCUGAUCGCAGUUCACAUUCUCUUAAUCCCAUGUAGAAUUUCAGAAUGUAGUUUUCGUAUCAUGGAGAAAUUAUACACCAGUCUACAGAACAUGCAUCGAAUACAUCUGUUCUAUACUUAACACUUAAUAUCUCAAUUAACAGGGCCUCUCACGCCAGAUAUAAAUAACGCCCUUAGCCAAAAAAGGCUGACCCCCUAAUCAGCUUACACUUUAUGAGCCGAUGAUCUACGUAUUAGAUAAGUCAUUCAGGGCCUAUUCAAGCUUUUGAACGCAGAAUUUCAUAGGAAAUAGCUCAAUUCCUACAUAAUUCAAGCAAAAUCUCCACGCUAAGCAGGAACAAAAAUCUCUGCGCCUAAGCAGUAACGAGGCUGGGCUCGGAGGGUGGAGAUGAUUCAAGCGGUUGGUUGGUCUCGGAUGGCGGAGAUGAUUCCAGGAGUGGAUUCUUUUGGAACUCAUUCCUGAGCUGUCCACAGGCUGCGUUGGCAUCAAGCCCACGGGUCUGUCGAACGCUGACUGUGAUCUUCCGAGAUUCCAGCGCAUCGACAAAAGCUUGAAUCUAUGCAAAUCAUCAAUAUAAACAUUAAUAAUCUCGAACACGGAACAAUUCUUUAUUAGGCAUUGCUCCUAAGCUGAGAUAAAUAGCAUACCGCUUUUCGGUAAGGCCUCUUGUACUCAGAACCUUCUACGGGGUUAUAGGGAAUCAGAUUCACGUGAUAACCACCUCCACACGCAUGCAGCAGCGCUGCGAGUUCUUCAGCAUGCGCCUUUUCAUCAUUAAUCCCAGCUGGGAAAAGAUGAAACAGUUCAGACAUGUUAGGUGACAAUGGCCGAAAUGAUAAUGCAGUUCUUAACAUCCACUCUCUGCAGACAGAUUUAACAUUCAGUGUGUGUGAACAGUAAAGGCAUAGCUGGAUUACCUAGCAGAGUGUACUCGAAGGAUACCCUGCGUCCAGUUUCCAGGAAAUAAUUCUUGCAGUCAUCCAUCAGUGCUUCCAAAGGAUAAGCCUUCGCACUUGGAACAAUUGUUUCGCGCAGUUUCUGAUUUGGGGCGUGCAGGCUGGUUCAAAUACAAAAGACUAGUCAGCAAACACAUUACAGAAUGAAAUGCUGCAUGUAGUCCAGUUCGUUUUAGUUAAGCUCAGAGUUGUGAAAAUAAGAAGACAAAAAAACAGUUCUUACAAAAAAAAGAGUAUCAAGCAUGUUUGACAAGUACUAAGCAUAAACCAAGACCAUACUAUCUAUCCUUGAGGAGAAGAAGACAGAUACUAAAUUAAUAAGAGCGUACCUGACUGCCAGUGUUGACUGAAGCUUGUGAGUUGCUAGCUUAUUUAUCGUGUUGGGAACGCCUACUGUGGAGAUUGUCAUCAUCCUUUGCCCGAUCUUUAGUUCCUGAAAACAAGAAAUUCAUUGUGUUGGGCACAUAUCGAAGCCUUUUAUUAAAGGAAUGCAGAGUAAUUUUUUACUCUGUAAUGAGUGAGCACAAGGAAGAUGCCUACUUGUCAAUUCAACAUACCUUAUUCAAGCAUCGGUGUGCCUCCAAAACUGCUUUCAGGUUCAACAUGGGUUCACCCAUUCCCAUGAACACUACAUUUGUCACCCUGUGUUUGAACGACUCCUCUAUGGCCAAUACCUACAAUGCCAGAACAUAAACCCAAAGUGCAACAAAAGGAAACACGAGGUCAAGGUAGCGAUAGGCGCAGGUUUUCUGGGAGAGAACCUGCUCAACGAUCUCAUGUCCGUGAAGGUUCCUCGCAAACCCUCCCUUCCCUGUGGCGCAAAACGAGCAACGCAAGGGGCAGCCGACCUGCAUAAGCAUCAUUAAGAUUGUCAAGAACACUGAGGUCAGCAAACCAGUGAUAGAAUCCAGAGUACCGGUUCCAAAGCACCUGUGAUGAAACGCAGGCGGUGAGUCGAGAUGAGCCCUUGUCGUCGACAGGGAUCCCCACUGUCUCGACCAACCUGUUAUCCUCCAACUUGAGAAGUAUCUGUAAGGAAGGACCAACGGAGAGUCACGAGCCGCUCCAACUUAUCAACCACACACUUCCUUUUCGACGCACAAAUGUCACAUGAACAUCGACGGCGUACCUUGGUGGUGCCAUCGGUGGCCGUCACGGCGUGGUGCACCGGCGACCGGCCAACUCUCCACCCCGCACCAACCAACGCCUCCCGGAACACCUUCGGCACUGCAUGAAUUCGAACCCCCAACAUCACAUCACGGUUCUAAGAACAACAGCCGAAGCAAAACAACAAACAGGUGGCGCGCACAAAACCACAAACACAAUCCAGCCCCCUCACCGUAUGCGAAUGCUUCAAUCUGCGUGGCCCUGUUCUUGUAGACGAGGUCAUGCAGCUGCUUCCCCCUGUAGCUUUGCUGCGCGUGUGAAUGCAUGGUGCCACAGUAAGCGCUGGGGCAAGAAACCAUGGGAAAGCAAAGGCGGGGUUACCAACCUGGCCGAGGUCGACGGCGAGCUGCCGGAGCUCCGGCUCUGAGAGGCCGAGCAGCGCGCGGCGAGGCGGCGUCGAGGCGGACCUCGCCGGAGCGGAGGCGGAGACGCGCGUGCUGAGGCGGAGCGCGCGCGCGAGCGGCACGGCGCGGACCUGCUGCGGCGCGGCCAUUCUUUUUCUCCUACUGCUGUUGCGAACCGAAGCUGCUGAGGAUUUGUAGCAGCCUCAUCCACUUCUCCCUCGCUAAUUUGCUUGGGCUUUUUAUCAUCCUGCCAUGUGGGCCUUAUAAACGGUUUCUUGCAACGGCCCACGAAGGAUAGAAGGAGAUGAUAUUUUUUUAGCUUAUGCUUUUGUUAAAACAAAAUUUCAUUUUUGGUCUUUUAAAAUGUUAGCCCUCCGUAGUAAAUUUCUGUUUUCGGAAAGAGGGAAGAAAUUCUUUGAGAGGUGUUUAGUUGAGUUUCAAAUGCUUUGGUUGACAAGUAGCUGAAGUGCAAGUGUGCAAAUGGGAUGCAUCCAUCUCCAUAGUCAAAAAAGAAAAUCUUGUCGCUGACUUCCUUUGGAAAUCUUAUGUGUUCCAUCAGUGUUUGUCCUCUGACUUUCUUGCGAACAAAAAUAAGAUCUUUUGGAAACAGAGACAUUCGUCCCGAACAAAAGUUGAAACUUGUACUUAGUACAAGAUAAACAGUUAGUAGAAAUUAGAAGCCGUUUCUGCAUGUUGUUCAGCUUAUCAUCAUAAACAAUCAUCCUGCCUAAGACUAGUAAGAGAGAAGCCAAAAAUGUAGGGGAAGAUCUGAAUUUCACAAGAACAAACGAAGAAGCGCUAAAUUAACAACAUUCAGAAACGAAACCAUCCUCUGCGGCUGCCUCUGCUUUACAAUUUCAUCUCAUCACUCGGGAGAGGAGAAUCAUCUACAGCAAAUUCUCACUCGCGCAGCGGCAGCGCCGGCAUCCGCCUGCCGUACUGCUGAUGCUGCCGCCGGUGCCACCCGCCCGCCGCCGCCGCCGCCGUCUCCGCCUUCCCGCCGCGCAUCCUGACGAACCCGCCGCCGCCGGCCGACGGCGGCGCCUCCUUGGCAGCGGCGUCCUGGAGCUGCCCUAGCGCGGCCACCACCUGCUCCAUCCCCGGCCGGUUCCUGGGGUCCCCGGAGAGGCACUGCAGCGCGAGCGCCGCCGCCUUCUGCGCCCCGGCGAGGGAGUACUGGCCGCCGAGCCGCGCGUCGAGGAUCCGGAAGAUCCGGCGCUUGCUGGUGAGGUAGGGCCGCGCCCACUCCACCAGGUUGUGCUCGCCGGAGGGGCGGUUCUUGUCCAGCGCCCGCCGCCCCGACAGCAGCUCCAGCAGCACCACCCCGAAGCUGUACACGUCGCUCUUCGCCGUCAGGUGCCCUGCCAUCCAAAAUUCACAUUCAGAAACCAAUGAUCCAUUUUGAAUCUAGUAGUACUAGUUUUUGUUUUCCCCAACUAGAUACUCCAUCCAAUCCACAGUCCACACUGGGCUUUUGGAAUUCAGAUUCCAUAGGUAUCAAUCAAUCAAUCAAAUUGAUGUUCUUUAUUUAGUUGUUUCUGGUUCGGGUUCAGAUGCUUCAGAGGAACAGACAGUGAUCCAGCUUAGCCGGAUUAGAUAUAACCCAACAUGGAUUAUAUUAGAUAUAGUAAACCAACAUGGAUUAUCAGUGUACGCAUCACAAGUAUUAUAAGGCGAUUGCACAGCUCAUAUACUACCUAGGAACAAGUAAACUAAGAAGAACAAGCUCUGCCACCCAUUGACCUGUUUGAUACAGAGCACAUGGAUGCUUAUCUAGCAACAAGAUUUUGCAAGUUUUUUAUGUAUCAUUUUUUCUACUGAAAUUUGCAAUUCCUUUAUGGAUCAUCACCUGCUAUUCCCUGAAAUUAAAAGUGUGUGGUGGUGGUGAUACCACUUGAUUAAUUAAUCUGGGUUUCACACAUCUGCUGGAUGGAUGAAGGGGUCCAGUACUCCAGUUAGGUCUGGAAGCAUGACUAGUUGGACCAAGUUGUGCUGCACACCUAACCCAAAGGAUUAAUAAGAGUAGUGUUCUUCACUGCUUCUCUUAGUGCUUCAAGACACCCACAAACUGCCAAACUGAAAAGAGGACUUUUAUUUUUCUUGGCAAACCUCAAAUAAUCCAACCAUAACUACUGCAUAGAAACAAGAUUAUUAUGCAUUCAACCCUGACGACAGGCACACUGGAGUAUCAUGCUCAAAGUUCAUCACACCUUUUGUUGGUAUAAACAAAAAUAUUUCCAUAUGUAGGAAUUGGAGCUUUGUGAAAUUUUACCUGUGGCAAGAUACUCAGGCGCAGCAUAUCCAUGGGUGCCCAUGACCCUUGUGGAGACAUGGCUCUUGUCGCCGGUCGGCCCGUCCUUGGCCAGCCCAAAAUCAGACAGCUUUGCAUUGUAGCUCUGCAAUCCAUACACAGAGUUAGCACCAGUAAGUUAAAAUGAAGAAAUUACUUUAUGUACCAAAUUAGAAGGCAGGAAAAAAAACGUACUGAAUCGAGAAGAACAUUUGAGGUCUUGAAAUCGCGGUAGAUGACCUUGGCCUUGUCGCUGUGGAGGAAGGCGAGCCCCUUGGCUGCCCCAAGAGCCACCUUCAUCCUCAGAUUCCAUGAAAGUGGCUGGAAAUGUGAGCCCCCUGCAUCAUCAUCAUGGUUAAUAUCCCAAUCUUGUUACCACCAUAUUAUCUUCAGUGACUAAGUUAGCUAGGGAAGUGUUCAUUAAUCAAUCAAUAAAUCAAGAAAGGGAAGGUUAGCUCUAUUACUCCUGAAGAGAUGGUUCUCCAAGCUUCCUCGCGGCAUGAACUCGUAGACGAGGAGCCGCUGUUCGUCCUCGAGGCAGUACCCGACGAGCUUCACCAGAUUCGGGUGCGAAAGCUGCCCCAGGUAAUUCACCUCAGCCUGCACAAACCACAUUCAUUCAGAGGCAGUUUCAGAAACCUCAGCAACUAACAGAUUGAUUCUGAAAACAGAUUCAGAACAUUCAGUAACAGAGAAGAAGAACUGUACUAACUGACCAGCCAUUCGCGGUGUCCCUGGAAGCCGUCCUGGUUGAGCUUCUUGACGGCGAUGACGACGCCGGUGCCGGGCCUGGCGGGGGCGAAGGUGUUCUCGUCGAUCCACCCUUUGAAGACGGACCCAAAGCCGCCCUCGCCGAGCACGCUGUCCGGCCUGAAGUUCCUCGUCGCCGUCCGCAGCUCCGUGAAGGCGAAGCUCUUCACCUUGGCCGACUGCAGGAUCUCCCCCUCGCUCCGAGGCGCCCUCAGCUCCGCGCUCUUCGCGUCCCCUACUCGAUCAUCAUCAUCAAAGAACAGACGAACAGAUCAGCUUAAGAAAAUCGAAAUCUGAACUUUCCUCUCUGAUUACGACAGGCGGAAAGGAAGAGUCUGGAAAAAGGUGCAGAUGUGAUGGCUGUAGCUAGGACGCCAUGGGAAGAAGAAGAAGAUACCUGAAGAAGGGGAGGCGGCGCUGCUCCGGUAAGGGCUGUCGGAGCUGAUCCUGGUCCCGAAGCAGUUCCCCAUGGCGACCGAUCAAACUCAACUCAACUCAACCCAAACCAGAACUCCAGGAAUUGAAGCAGCAGAAGGAUCGAGCUAGCUCGCCCAAGAAGAAGACGAAAUCGAAGCUCCUCCGAGAUGAGGACGGGCAGCCAGCAAGCUUUGAUAUAUACUGCUAGCACCACCGGCCGCGAGCUCUGCCUUUUCCUCUUUGUCAGACGGUGGAUCACGGGAAGCCUGCAGGAGCUCGAGCUCAGGUUGACCUCUCUGUCUACCUCUCCGGCCACUUGCGCGAGGAGGAAGAGGAAGGUCGACUGGGCGAGGGCAUUAAUGGCGGGCGGGGCUCGGCUAAGGGGGGAGAUCGAAGGCGAGAAGAAGGUGCUCUGCUCUUCUCGCCGGUAGCUUUCGCUUCUUCAUCGCUUCUCCGUAUAUAUAAACGACAGGCCCUUCUGUCCGCUGACAUGCGGGCCCGGCUGUCAGAGCCGAGUGGCGUGGUUGGGUGGGGAUCGGCGUGGGCCGUCGGAUGUCGAUCGGACGGACGAUCGUGGCCGUUGCUUAAGACAGACAGUGAGCUUUUUCGGUGUCUUAGGCAGGCUUGAAUUGGUAAUUAAACUGUGGGUGGUCAAUUUACGGCCAACAACGGCUUGCCGCCGGGGGAACGCUUUUCGGACAGGUGGAUUUGGAUCUUUUUGGCCCGUGCUAGACUGCUAGUGCGUGUGCUUCUUCGUUCUUGUUGUUUUUCUCGUUGUCUUCUUCUUCGAUGUUUCUUCUCUUGUUAUUGGUGCCGUCUUCUUCUUCUUCUUGCUCUUGAUCCGUCGCCUUCUCCUCCGCCGUUUUAUGCUCACAUUGGUCUAGCGUUGGUGUUGACCGGUUACGAAAAAAGGUGUGCGAAUUUAUUCUCGGGUAAAAAUCGUCAAUUGUGGUGUAUUUGACCCUUGUAGCACCGAUGGAGCGGAGAGGGGAACAAUCGAGUCCGUUGGGUCGUCAUCAGAAUAGAUUUCGCUCACCUUUGGGUUCACCAUAAAACCAUAAAAGGGGCCAAAAUGCUUCUUUGUUCUUGUUUUUCUCGUUGUCUUCUUCUUCGAUGUUUCUUCUCUUAUUAUCGGUUCCGUCUUCUUCUUCUUGCUCUUGAUCCGUGGCCUUCUCCUCCGCCGUUUUAUGCUCACAUCGGUCUAGCGCUGGUGUUGACCGGUUGCGAAAAAAGGUGGGCGAAUAUAUUCUCAAGUAAAAAUCGUGAAUUGUGGUGUUUUUGACCCUUGUAGCACCGAUGGAGCGGAGAGGGGAACAAUCGAAUCUGUUGGGUCAUCAUCAGAAGAGGUCUCGCUCACCUUUUGGUUCACCGUAAAAAGGGCCAAACACAUGUCCGAAUCCAAAUUAAUGACCUUUUCAACAUAACGAAAGUGGGCGGGGCGUUUGGAAUGGUAGUAUACAGGGGAGUCGAUGAUUGUCGGAUGACCAUCGAAGAACCGACUAUAGGAUGCGUGCUCAACUCGAGCAGAGAAAGGCAGACAUGAAAGUCACACUAUAAUAGUUUUUCUUUCGUUCAGUACUCCUUCCGUACCAUAUUAAGUGACUCAAAUUUGCCAAAAAUAUGAAUAUAUCUAUGCUUAAAAAACGUCUAGAUACAUGUAAAAGAAAGUCACUUAAUAUGGGAGUGAGAGGGAGUAUUGUUUUAGUUUGACAUGGUGCAGUGAGAUUAGUUCAGACAUUGUCCCCGCGUUGGGGUGUACACGGAAUGGGUGACGACGACAAUUCCGGCCUCGUUAAUUUUCAACGACCGUAACAAAACAAGAAAUGGUAAAAUGAAACCCGGCCAGACAGGUCUCGUGCGAAAUUGUCGUCGCAGGCAGGAAUUAAUGCCACACACACACGUGCUAUCUUUAAUUUAAUUACCUAGCUACUGCUCCAAAACCUUGAUUAGUUAGCUCGAUCCGUGUGGGUCAGUCAAUUACAAGAUCCACACAAUCAAUCAAUCAAAUCAAUUGACCCAACUGAACGCAGAUUACGGCGUUAAAACUAAAUUAAACUGAACAGAUGUAGAUUUGGGAUGGAUCGGUCGACGUGGACAGCAUGAGCAGCAAACUACUCUCCCAUGACAACACCAUGCCAUGCAACUAAUUAGCUAGCAGCAUGUCCUAAUAUAAUACCUGUCAUUUUUAACUUACGGAAGAAACAAAAAAUCAAUCAAUCAACUGUCUGAUCAACUGUGUAAUUAAUCCAUCGACGCUGCAGAUAUGGUGGUGUGGGUGUGAAUUGUGUGCGUCUUCGUCCAUGUAACUUAACAAAGCCGGUUCAGUUUAGUUAGUUAAUUGUGCUCUAAAAGGGGGGUCACGCCGGCUCUGUGCGCGAUGGUAGGUCGCCGGAAAAGAUGGCGGCCGCCGGGGGGUAAUUAGCUAGGCUUAAUUGUUGAAUAAUGCGGUGAUCAGAUUAAAAUCAGCAUAACCAUCAGUGCUCUCUGUCAUUAGUGACGUUCGUCGUCGUCACUUUGCAGCUAGGGACAUUUUAGUGCGAGCACAUAGCUUGAUAGCUAGCACACGUGCCCUUGAUUUAUUUAGAUAAGACGGUGGAGAGAUAUUCAAAGCUCGAAGCAAUCAGGAAAUAGGCAGUAUGCCGAUUAAGAGCAAGCAAAGAAAAGUGGUUGGCUCUGCUAGUGCUAGCUGGCUGGCCUGACGACGGGUCAAGUCAUGCAUGCAUGUAUAUACACGUACUACUCCGUACAUGUAGUACGUGUACUUGUACGGGUCAAGGCCUAUAGUUUUGUUAACUCAAAUUUUUGUUAAAUUUAGACUGAACUUACAACAAAAAUAUCAUCAUGCAGUGUCAAACCAAUUAAGAUGCUAUGGAAAUGAAAUUCACAACGCGUCUAAUGAUCUUUUGUUGAUAUUUUUAUGAUGGAAAUACUUUUGUUGAUAUUUUUAUGAUGGAAAUACUUUGUUGAUAUUUUUGUGGAUCUAAAUUUCACAACGUGUCUAAUUAAUGUUAUGAAAAUAUUUUUGUUAUAACAGUGAGCGGUGGUUAAACCUUAGAAAUUUGACAAUCAACAAAAUUGUUGUAUGCACUCGACAUUUGAAACAGAGGGAGUAUGUUCUAGUUACAAGGGCCUUGCUAGCAUGUAUAUGUGUCAAACGACACCAAUGUUUUUUUUUUUGCUAAUCCUUCUUAGAAAUAGCGAAACACAUUUAAUAAUAAGCAAUGAUAAGUAAAUUCUAUAGAGUGAAGCCAGCAGUGUAUUGUUUUUUCUUUGCUUCACACUGCCUAGCUAGCAAGGAAGCAAUGGAUGGAUGGAAUUAUUGACCAUCGUCCAUCGGUACCUUACCAGCUACCGUUCACCUUAAGUACGCUCUAUAUCUAGCUCGAGUGUGAAUCAGCCAGCAGCUAGCUAGCUGCUUUGCACCUACACAUAGUGUUCGUCGUCGUCCUGCUGCUGCUGCCCGUGAGCCUAGCUUUGACCAUCUACCAGUCCUAGCUAGUGUUAUUAUAUCGUACCUACGUAGCCCCCAAAGUCCAACUGGUUGACCAUUAGAAACCAGAUCCAUGGACGCUGGGUCAGGCUGGUCACUCGUGAACUGCACAAGAGCUGACCGGACACAUGCAUGCAUCUACAUUGCAAUAGAGGGCUAGCUGGGAGCUGAGCCAAAAGGUGGGUGUAGCUUUCAAGAGAAAGGCCAAACAAAGGUCAACUGGAUCACAUGGGCUUAUUUGCACAACUGUUCGACGUACGACCCCAACUGCCGUCCGGUAUAGUGCAGUGCCAGCUGAUCACUCUCAACUGAUCGAUCCCCGACCACAACUUGUACGUGUUCAGACACCAUGUAUUGUAGAUGCAGGUCCGGUCGGUCAGUACUCUCAGUAGUGUCCUACUAGUGUAUAAAUUAAUCUCAUUACUCGUAGAUUAGCUGCUAGCUAAGAGACUUAGCUGGCCUCUCUACUCUACCCGGUUGCAAAAGCCCACCAAGUCAAGCAUGCAUUAUUGCUGCAUCCAUAUCUACUCGAUCCAUCCAUCCACCCGUCUUAAACAAUGACCUUUUAAAUCUGCUCAAUGCAUUGCACAAUGUUUUUAAACAGGAAUUAAUCCCUGCCAUAUAUGUACAUAUAGCUUCCAUGUGAUCGAUGGAGCUCCUAGAAGCAGCUAGCAGUUGUUGACCUUUUUUAAUUAACCUCUGUCCAUUGUAUGUAUAGCUUUGGAAAAAGCUUUUUAUGCAUGCAUUGCAUCCAGCCGUGUAUGUAUAUGCAUGCAUGUGACCAUCCAAUCAAUAUCCAUCCAUCGAUGUGACUCUAUCUAUAUACCUCGAGAUUUUGCUAUACGAGUACAGUAAUAACUCAAGAGCAGACGAUCUGAACCUUGUAUAUAUGCCCACGAUGCAAUAUCUGUUUUUUCUUCUUGUAUUAAUUCUUCUAAAACUAAAUUCGAAAGCACACGAGAUCAUCACACACGUGUGCGCGCAUCGGCCGAUCUUUUAUGCAUGCCAUCUAUAUAUGCAUAUAUACCAGCUGUAGAGAUAUAUCCGAUAACAAAAAUAAGGGAAUUCGAUCGAGGGGAACGAGUUUAAUUAAGGUAAUUUUUGUUUUUGUCCGGUCAAUAAAAUAAAGUAGAGUAGGAUCGGAAUAUUUGUUUUCUGCAUGCAUGCGCAGCGGCGGCGACAAGUCAAACGAGCAUGGAUGAUCGGUGCAUGGAAGCGAUGACGUCACGGAGUGCAUCACGGUGACACCAACAGCCACGUGCAUGGUCUCGUCGUUUGACUUUCUAAGUUUUUUUUUUGGCUCCGUGUUGGCUUCUGCAUGCGUUUCUUCACAUGUUGUUUCCUCCAACUACAAACUUUCCUUUUAAAAAAAAAACUACGAACUUUCCUAUAAUGGUUGCUCAUUGUUCUUCUCGCCCCUGUGACAUUUAAUUAAACCCAAGUUCCUAUAUAACAAGCCUACGUACAAUUUCGUAUAAUGAUCACUUAGGUCCUAAUUUUAUUUUAAGUGCUAGUUUUAGCCUGUUUGACCUGUCUACGUGGCAAGUUGGCCCGGGGCAACAUUCAAAAGCAAUUUCAAAGGACUUUCGUUCAUAAACUUGAAUGUGAGAGGAGAAUGACACAAGUUUAUGAAUGAAACUCAUUUGAAAUUGAAAUAAAACUGCUUAAGAAUUUGAAUGUGACAAGUGUACCGGGUCAGCGUACCACGUAGGUGGGUCAAACUGGUCAUAACCAGCUUAGGACCUCGCGUGCACAAUUAAAAAUAAAAUUAGAACUUAAGUGUGCAAUUUCAUAAUUUUAGGAGUAAACUGACACCGCAUCAAUAAUAGUAGGACCGCAGGUGUAUUUACCUCAUGGUUAAACGAGACCAUUCAUAUCCAAUGUCAGGGAGGACGCUUUUAAGCAUACGAGCAGUGUAAAGACGAAAUUACUUUUCAUUUUCGGUGCCUUGGCCUUGGAUAAUGUGAUUUGUUCUUGGACAAAAUAAUGAGUUUUUUUAGAAACAUCUGGUUUUAUUGAUUCAAUAAACAAAGUACAAGUAAUCGAAGAUGAAACGAAUAACCAACAACAAAAGGCCCUAAUGAAACUAAAAGUUACAUUAAGAUUCUUUGAAGUAAAUAACUCUUGAUCCGUCAUCCGUAUCUUGAAAACUCUCCAUGUCUCCAACGAUGAAAUUGCAGAAGACCAAAGCUGCACAAGCUGGACUAAACUUAUAGGUUUGAAUAGCCACAUGAGUCGCUCACCGCAACCGAUGAGAACCUAAUAUCGUUGAACGCACUCUGGCCGGGGACACACCCCUUGCAAGGAAGGUUGUCGAUCUGCUGAUUCGUCGCCGAACCAACUAGAAAGAAGACCAAAAAUAACGAAAAAACAAACCACGAGAUCCACUAGCUACAUGGAGUAGAUCGUGUUGACUACACCAGGAAGAGGAUGGAGCCGGAAGACUAUUAUUCCAUAUGUCGUCGCCUCCACCAAGACGCCAUCGCAAGGAUACAAAACCUCACAAAGAAUGUAGACAAACUGCAGUCAGACGUUGAUCUAUGGUUUCCCUCACCACCCGAUGCCUAAUCGGCGGUCGGAGACGAGGGGAACCGGAAGAAAAAGCGCUGAUCGGAAAACUCCCGGCGGCCUCCUGGCGGCCAGGGCUUGGAACGGGGAAAUUACGCAAUAAUGAGUUUUUUUUAAUCCGCCGGGCCUCACUCUUAAUACAAGAGGCUUGGGCCAGGACAGAAGCUUCUGAUCCGGGCCUUCAGUUGCAGCCCAUUCCAUUAGCGGGCCGAAACUACUAGUACAUUAGUAACAUUACUCAGAAAAUACUGGCCCGGUAAGAAAAGGCGCCAAGUUUCCUGAAAAACGAAAUAGAGGCGCGAAAAGUAGAACCGAGCCUCUUGCUCCUCACACGCCGCCGCUCGUCUUCUUCCCCCAAACCCUAGCACGGCGGCGGCUCAUGGCGGGGCAAUCGGACCCGCACCUCUCCCUCUUCUCGCCCUCCGAGGUAAGACCCCGCCCUGCAUCCGUCCGCCCGUCCGCGCGCGUGUAUCAACAUAGGACCUGUUGCCUCCUUGCUGCUGGCGGUCAGUGGAUCUGUUUGAUGAUGAGCGCAAUUUUGGUUGGUUGGUUGGUUGGUGCAGGUGGAGUUCGUGGCGGAGGACGAGAUCGUGGAGAUCGUCCCCAACAUCCGCAUGGAGGCCCUCAACAUGAUCUGCGUGCGUGCAUCUAACCGAAUCCCAAUUUCUUUCUUUUUUACUUGUCAGUAUUCUUCUUCUAGUGGUUUGCUGUCUAGUGGUUGGUUGGUUCCUUACGAGGUUUCCAUGGAUAUUAGUUGGGUUUUCAGUACUCUCUGGGCGUUCUAGUGAGAGAGCUGUGCUGAUUUCAGAGUCCAGUUGGGUUUAAUGCAGAGGGGUUGCUGAUUAGAAGGCCCCAGCUUGUGUCUGUUUUUGGCUAACAUUGUGCUCACACUUGUCACCGUGCAGGGUGAUUUCGGGCCCUUCUUCCCGCAGAUUGCUAGCAAGGUCCCACUCUGGCUUGCUGUGGCGCUCAAGAGGCGUGGCAAGUGCACCAUACGCCCACCCGAGUGGAUGACUGUUGGUGAGUGUUCGAUUGCUUAAGUAGCUUUAUCUCCUGGCAUACUUGUAUCCUCGUUAUAGGAUUGAUUGAUGGUGCGGAAAUGAAAAUCAUACAUGGGAGGGGUUCUGUGCCUCUCUCUCUAUCGUUGAUGCGUACAACUGGCACAAGGCGAAAUGCCUAGCCACUGCACUUCUUUCUGAAAGAGGAUUUUUACGGUACCCCGGUACUCCAUAGGUAGGUGAGCGAGUACCAACCAAAUCUAACCGUCCAUUUAAAAGGGUGUUUUGACCUUUUUUUUGUCGUAGUUAAUUUAUAUUUGGAUUAUAUCUAUUUUCCUCCUAAUUUCCCGAUCAAGUUCAUAUUCCUCUCCUGAUUUUCCGAUCAAAUACAUGAUGCCGUGCGCCUUCCUGCACAAACUGCGCCGCCUUCAGCUGCCUGCGUAUGGCAGGUUCAGGCUCGGCGGCGGCAGCUUCCCGUCCAUGGCGCCACACAGAUCUCAUGGAGCCCUAGAUCGAAGUGCCGGCUGCUAAUUUUUCCCUGUGGAUGGAUGGAUGCGAGUCGAGGGCGGCUGGUGAUGAGUCGGGGAGGGGUGGGGAAUAAAUGAGGGGCGGACAGGCGGAGAGGUGAGCGCCGGCGGGGGCUGCUGGCGUCGGUGAUGGAGUUGAUCAACUCCAUGUCUGCAUGCUCGUGGUGCCCAAAUCGUCCCCAAAUCCCAAAUAUGAGACUGCUACAGGCCUGCGUGCUCGUCAGCCUGGGCACUUCUAGUUCUUCGACAGUAAUUACUCCUAGCAAUUACGCGCGUGUUCAUCACAUUGGGAGAGCCCAACGUGCUCUUGGAGAUUAAUUAAGUUUUACCAUGGAACGGAUUAUAUCCUGUGCUCAUACUAAAACAAGCAAGAUUUCGUGAUUCUUUUCUUUGAACAACAGUAUUUCCUCUAGUUUAUUUCAGAAUUAUUUUUUAUUUUUUGACCACACAAUAAAUUAAUAGAUUACGGUUUUACCCCUAACAUCAAGGUACUCCUUAGUUAUUGGAGACAGUACUCCCUAUGAUCUCUAGUGGAGUACCACGUAAUACUAACCGUUAGAUUAGAGAAAAUAGACGGCUCAUAUUAAUCCCGGGGUACCAUAAAAGAGCUCUUCUGAAAUUGUUAAUAAGUGCUCAUUUAUUCCCUAAAUAUCAACAUCUGGUGAAACUGAAACUGCUUAUACCUGAUAUAUACCUGGUUUUAUUUUGUCCCUCUUACUAUUUCAUACAUUCUAGGUACUUAGCUGCUUAUUUUCGUCCUUUAACAGUCUGUUACUUUUAUUUGCUAGAGCGCCUGACGCAGGUGUUGGAUGCAGAAAGAGAGUCACCUAGAGAAUUUCAGCCAUUACCAUUCCACUAUAUUGAGAUAUCUAAGCUUCUGUUUGAUCAGUAAGCAUACAUAGCAGCUUUCUUAACUCCAUUUAUUCUGUAAUAAGAAUCUGUAAAGAUCCGUUUAGAAACAACAUGUAAAGCUUAACUCUCCUUUCUUCGUUUUGUACAGUGCUCGUGAUGACAUCUCAGAUGCAUACUUGGUAAGUUAUAAACAAUUUUGACAGGAAUCUGAACUGUCUAGUUGGCUUUGAUCUUCUUAAAAUUUCUUAAUUGUAGCUUUGACACAGGUGAGAUCUUUGAUUGAGGACAUCAGAGAUGUCCGGUUCCAUAAGGUUGAGACUGGAUUGGAGACAAUCUCUGGCCGUACUCAUGCUGUGAAGGUAACUUUAUGCCUACCCAGCUCCAGCCAUCGAACCAGUCUCUUGAUGUUAUCUUAUGGUACCCAAUGGUUAACCUUAGAGAUCUAUGAUUUAUAAUUAGUUAUGAAUUUCGGCGGAGCCUGUCAUACAGCUCUGUUUGCGGCACAUCGGCGCUAUUACUACACACAGCUUACUAACAAUACAGCAAAGUUUGCUUUAUAUUUGGCUCACUGUUUAUAAGUUAAUAAUAAGCUUGAUUUCUGAUCACUACCUGAAUUUUCUUUUCCUCCAUUCUCACAGCUAAAAAAUCUCUCUGCGAUGGAAGUGAAUAUUGUCCGUCCUUUCAUGGUGAGAACUUUGCAGGCAUUUUACAAGCAUGACAGCCCACAGAUGAUUCAGCAAGCAGAUAAUACAGGGAGCAGCAGAUCAACACCAGUCACAGACCGCGGUCCAAGAGUAAGCCCUAUCUUUUGUAGACAUGAUCUGUUCCGGCUUGCUAUAAAGUUGUUGUCUUUACCAGAAUUGGCGUGCACACAAUUGUCUACCACAAAACUGGUUAACAUCAUCAAGUGUGUGCAUGCAUAUGAUGCAUAUAUAAUAACUCCCCUGGAUAUUUCGAGUAGACAUAAGAUUCAGUACUUCAUAUCUGUUCACCACAAUCUUGCUUCUGAUGUCAUGUUGAAUAAAGUCCUUGCUCAAACACAUGAACUAUUGAACUCUUAUUAGCAUGGUUUGUCAGGAAAAUUUCCACAUCACAAUUUUGCCUCUCUUUUUUAAAACUUUUGCAGAGAGAUCUAAGACACAGAUAACAAGCAAGAUAUGCAUGUACCAGCCACUUGUAUUUGCAGAUGAUUUACUGCAUAUACAUGGAUUGCAGUAAAUUGGAGGUACUUGAUUUGCUGUAAUAUUCUGUAUGUUACUUGCUGAGAAGCCACUUAAGUUCCUGCAGUGUGGCUUCUGCUACUGUACUGGAUACUAAAGGCGCCAAGCUUAUCCGUUAGCCAUAAGGAUGUGCUAUGAGAAAUGAAUCGACUGUCACAGAAGAUCAUUCUCAUGUAUUUCAGGAUGAAUAGUGUUUAUGUUAUGUAUUUCACUAUUCCAGGCAUAAAGUAAAUCAGCUGACUCUCUUGUGUAUCUUGUUUAUAGCUGCUAAGUUUCUUAAAUAUUAAUUUCUUUUGGUGAUAUCCUUUUGAGCUUCAUGUUUGUCUAUUAUGCUUUGUUAAUGAUAUGAAGGGAACAUGAUUUAGUGUUGACAACAUGUUCAUUAUUGUCUCAGCUUAUCUUAGGUUUCAACUUUUCCAUCACAUCAGAUUAAAUGUUUAAUUUCUAGUUUGAGUUAUCUCAUGAAACUUUCUUUCAAGUGGGAGCAAGUAACAAGGUCCCCUGCGUAUGUAAGGAGCAUAAAACUUGUUCCGUUGCUGCAGGGACAGAGCUUACUUACAACCAAUAUGGACCAUGCCUUCCAUUUAUUCGUGUAAACCUUCUGCAAAACUAGAUGUCAUUUUUUUGGUAGAAUAGGCUUCAGAAUUGAAAUGGCAACUUCUCACUUGCAUAGUUCACGUAUCAUUUGCUAACAGCCCUGCCUAAAGGUUGAUGUUAACCUUUUUUUGUGAAAUGCCAAAUCAACUUGAAUCAUAUCUCCAGAUUGGGAAAAAAGGGUAUCAUCUCAUGAUAAUAUCAAAACAGUCCCGGGUAUUUGCAGGUCACAGUUGUGAUCAAGUUGCUCCGUGCUUACUACUUAUAUAGAAAAAAAAGCCUCCAAUGGCUCUAUGCUCUUAUUUUAGCAACUUGGGAAAUCACCAGCUAGAAUGGCCAUCCUGAGCUACCAAUUAGGAAUACUGGAAGCCCCUAAGCAAUACUAACUUGUCGUGCCGUCUUGGACAACCAUACCCUGUCAAAUUGGAGAACCUUUUUUGUUUGUUAGCGAAGCAUACCUGAUAUGUCCACGGAAGCAUCAAAAGCGCAAAAUGAUAGCUGACCUUUUACAAAAAAAGAUCAUUGAAUCUGAAUUACAUGGCUUAUGAGCACCUUUAGGGAAAGCAUGCUAAAUCGAUACUAUUUCCUCUCUGGGUUUCGUGAACUAGUGGCUUGCAGUUCUUUGAGAAAGCUUUCGGUGCUUUGAGUAACUGAACAGCUGGAGAUCAUGUUUCUCUUGUCAAUUUUCAUUGAGAAGACUGGUGAAACACUCCACGAUCCCAUUGCCAGGCGUUUCUGUAAGGUGAGUUUUAUACUACUGCUUAUCUGUGAAAUGAUGCCUCAUGAGAUGAGAUCGAUGCAUCCAAUCCAUGCAUACAUUCUGUUAUAAAUUAUAUUCUAGCCUGCCUGCCUGCCAGCACCUGUUUUCAUUUCGGAUAGAUUGGCUUGCUGACACAUGAACCUGAAUAAAGAAAGUGCAAGGGCUCUCACCUCACAUGGUGGUCCUUACACUGUCUAUCCCCAACAGACCACACAGUGGAAUGAUGGAUCCAAAGUACAGUUUGCUGCAUAGCAGAGCAGGGUCCAUAUUCUUCCUUCUUUUUGUGUAGAACAGCGAGCCAGGCAAUUUGGCAUCUGGAACUGAUUGAUUGAUAGCUCUCAUUGUGUCCUGAACCGGUGCAAGAUUCCAGACAGGCUAUGAAAUGAACAGGAUGAGCCAUGGCUUUUGUUAUUGCAUCAUUAGCUUUAAUUAUUCCUGGGCCUAUCUAGGAGUAUCCACCAGCAUGCAUUUUCUAGUGUCUAGUGUGGUUCAUCCUGUCUAGAUGCCAUCAGUUUCAGGAGGAAUGUGAGUGCCGACAUAUGGCCUCAACAAUCCUGUGCUUGUCUUUGGUUGUGCAUUAUUGGUAUGUUGCUCAUUAUCUUAAGAAAUAAAUUGUUGGUAAUGUACUACUAGCUGGGCACAAUUCUAGAUCAACCGAGAAUAAUGAUAGGUUCUGUUAUUGCACAUAUGGUUGUUUAUCUAAUAUUCCACUUGUCAACAUUUCCAGGCUAGCCUUUUGCAUGCUUGUUGGGUGCUUCCCCCAUUCCAAAAUGCAUACAUAUACAUGAUCGAUGUUCCAAAGUCCAAACACGGUUUCCAAGAUCGAACUCGAAACGUUUGUUAGCAUUACAUGAAAUAUUUCCCAGGGCAAAUAGAAAUCUCAUCUGGCCAUCCACAAUAAUAAUCUCUUUAUAUAGCGGCAAUCAAGGUUUCUGUCUUGGAACAGAGUCUGUUUGAGCAUUGUUUACACCAUUGUCAUCUCUUUAUCGUUUUCGAUCUGAGUUGCAUAGCUGGGGUUGGGAAUGAAGAUGAGCAGCAGCAGCAGUUAAUCUGCGCCUAAUUUAAAUUUGAUGACUAGCUAGCUUUGCAUCUACAUCCAGUCUUAUUAUUAUUUCCCUGUCAGUGUCAGAGUGUCUGCAUCUGAUUGAUCCUACAGGACACAGGUAGAGGGUAUUUUAUAUGCGAUGAGACUUUUGACAAACGGUGGUAGUAGAAGAAAGGCAGGAGUAUAUUCUUUUGCAUUAUCCGGUCUGUACGGGACCUUAGAUCCAAAAAUUAGGACCUGGGACUUGACAAUGGAGCUACUUGGUACUAGUAGUACCUCCAAUUUUAUUUGGCCAAGCAUUGUAUUUUUACUUGGUACUACUACCUUCAUUCCUAAAUAUAAGAUGUUCUAACUUUGUUUUGAGUCAAACACUAAAAAUUUGACCCAGUUUAUAAUAUACUAUAAAAAUUACAUGACAGAUUUAAUAAAAUAAAUUUAGAGUCGUAAAUGUUGGCAAUUUUUCUAUGAAUUUGGCCAGACAUAGGUAGUUUGACUUGAGACAAAAUUAGAUCAUUUCAGUAGUUCUCAACUGCAGCAGUACUGGCUAUGAUUAGUUUAAUUGAAUUAAUAAAAUUUUGAUGGAGCAAGUCUUUGGGCAGGUGGCCCUCAUUGGAUAUUAGUAGUUUUUAAGUCUUUGGGCACCUGUUUUCAAAGGGGAUCACAUGUUUUCCGUGGCUGCUGUUGAGCUUAGCUAAGCGGUCGAUCGAUCGAUGAUGAGCGUCUCUUCUGGAAGCUUCCUGGAGCCUCUGCUUGCUUCUUGUAGCUGCAGAGCAACGCUCAGCCGUUGGAUUUGGAUCUCGAUCGACUUGCCUCCCAAGCCAAAUUUUUGGCAUCUCCUGAAGCGGCUAGCUUCUUCCUUUUUUUUUUUCGUGACACACUCCAGAAGCACCUAGCUAGCUAGGAGCUGUAGAACGAUUAUUAGUUAAUCGUAGUACUACCUUUAAUUCUAAUUUGCUUUCGGCGAAAUAAAGGUGAAUGAAUAAUUGAAGUACGUACCCGGCAGCUAGGCUGGUAAUAAUAUAUACUCAUCGGCCAAGAUUUAUUUAAUCAUGGCGAUACUCGGAUCUUGAUGAAAUGCAAUUAAUUAAUCGAUCGACCGGGACAAGUAGCACGAUCAGCAGCCGUAAGCCGUUAGUUAAUGGGCACAGUAUCUGUUUAAAUAAAAAGAGUGAUCAAGAUGAGCAGCAUUUUCUGUAAGCACGGCAGCUGGCUGUGUGUUGGUGGUCCUAUAUGAUACGUUUGGCGACAUUACUUGGGCGAUAAUCCGGCUCUUUUGGAGUAACUUUCUUCUGUCUGUACUCUUCCCGUGUAUUGUAGUAUCCAUAUGUGCAAUUAGUAUUGAUAACUCUUGCAAUUAUGUGACCAGAUCUGGUCUGAUCCGGACAGCUGAUGCAUAGUAGGCCCCACAUUACUAAUUAAUUACUAGCCUAGCUGGAGUACGUACAACAUAUUGGCAUAAUUACCAUAAACCUCUUCUGUCUGUACUCUUCUGGUUAGAACAUAGGAAGAACUUAAGCUGCAUUUAGCAUUCAGGAAAAUUACCAUAAACCUCGUUUCCCCACAAAAAAGUCUGUUUUAACGUAAGAAAUCGCCUUAUUUCUAGGAUAAGUUGGCAAUGCACAUGUAGAAGAACACGUACGUACGCAGCAUCCGAUUUUUCUAAGCUUGCUGAACACUUAAAGUAAAGAGUAAUUUUUUUUAUUUAUUUUGGCAGGAACCGAGAGAGGAUGAGUUUUUACCUGUCUUGUGCACCAAGAAAGCACACCACUUGCCUGUCAAGAAAAGAAAGCACCGCGAGCUUGCACAUGCACUCAGGGUAUCAAAACAAUUCAUUAAUCGAUCGGCUCCCAAUCAGGAGAGCAGAGCACACACAGCUAAUGACCCAACUAAUCAUGAUCCUCCACGCGCUAAUCUAAUCACCCAUCUUAAACUAAUCACGACCCGCCGCGUGCUUAACCUCUCUCUCGAAUUUUAUAUGAUGCGAUUUUGUUUAACUACGGAUGUACCGAGACGCAUUUUAGUGUGUAAGUCGAAUCAGAAGAAGCAGCGGUGGCACCUAACCUAAACCCCCAAAGAAGGAACCAGAAUUAACCGUCCGAUUAAAGCUGGCGUCCGAUCCGACCGUCGGAGAAGCCCGGCCCGAGGAUCCGACGGCCGGCGACGAGAGGAUUCGAAACGGUAAGUCAGCCGCUUCCCGCCCCGACCGGUGGGGCCAGCGUGUCAGACGCCACCAAACCCGCUAUAAAUAAGGCGUUGGCUUUUCCUCUCCCCAGUCGUCUCGUUCGUUCCCCCUUCCGCGAGAUUUCGCCGAUUUCUCGCAGAGAGGGAGGAACCAAACCCAAAUUCCCCCACCUCUUCUUCCUCCGAGGACGAAUUCCAAUUCGCGGGGGCUUCUUCUUCUUCUUCGCUACGCUAGCUUCCUGGUGGUUUCGAAUUCCAGGGGCCGGAAUCUCUUUCUCCGUUUCGUUUGAAUUUAUUUUCUGUGGGGGCGUUCGUUCGAGCUGUUGUUCUUCGGCGGGCGGGCGAGAUGAUGCUGGUGGCGAAGGAGUUCGGCAUCUCGCCACCGGCGGCGGCGGCGGCGGCGCCUCGGCGGAGGAUGGCGAGGGUGGCGCCGUGCGGGGGGUCGUCGCCGGUGGGGGAGCUGUGGCUGCGGACGCGCGGGGGAGGAGGGGGCGCUGCGGCGGCGGAGGGGGUCGGGAGCCACGGCAGCCACGAGAGCGAGAUGGACCUGGCCAUGCUCGUCAGCGACUUCCUCGAGAACGGCGGCGGCGGAGGGGCCGGCGCCGGGGACUCGCGCGGCAGCAGCGACAGCGAGAACGGACUCUCAGACCUCGCCCACCUCGCCGAUAAGAUCUCGGUACGCAUAUUCACCUACCUACCCUACUUUGCUCCUGUUGAUGUUUUGAUGCAGUUGGUUGAAUUUGUUCAACAUUGGACUGGAAUUACGCCAGUUAGGCGGCUGUUGACGUAAAAAAAAAGGUUGAGGGGGUCAAAUUAGUACUGUACUUUCUGAAGAUAUGAUGUGACUGCAUUUUUUUUAUUUUUUUGGAAAUCAUGUACCAGUUGCUUUCAUGUGAAUUGUCGUUAGUAUUUAUGUUGCUGCUUGCCUGUUUCUACAGAAUUUACUCCACGACCACAGUGCAGAAUUUGUGCAGUUGUUAACUGUCGUUUCUAUCAUUGCCUUUGAAGUUUUGAGUGCAUAUGAAUUGUCGUUAGGAUUUAUGAUAUAUCCUGGCCUGGCCUGGCAUGUUCUGUCUGAAUUCAUUCCAUGACAUAUAUGUCCUUGGCAUGUUUGGUCUGAAUUUAUUCCACGACCAUACUGCAAAACUUGAUAAUUAGCGUGCAUACUUGCAGUUAUAAUUUUAAUUGCUGUGUACAACUGUAAGGGUCUAAUAGUGUAGCAUUGAUUCGAUUUAGAUUGUACCGUCAAACUGUUGCAGCACACUGGAAUUAUACCUCUGAAUAAUGUGAAAAUUACUCCCGAGUAAAAAAUCAGUGGCCUCAUCAAGUCUGAUCCAGCUAUGUGCAAGUUACACUUUUGGCAGUUCCUAGUAGUUUUAGCCAACUUAAUGAUUGAAUAAAUUACUGUUAGCUACCUUCUGAUUAGUAAGCUUUGUAUGCCUGAACUUACGACUAUGCAUUUCAUUUCAGAUGUACAAGCAAGGUGGGGAUGAGAAAGAAAAUGAGCUGCUCUCUGUGGUCCACUCGCUGUUGUUCUCGAUCCAUGAGUCGGAGCUUCAGGCUUUCAUAAGAGGUCAAUGUACUGGCAGUUGCAUCCGUCAUUUACUUGUGAAGCUCUUGAGAUACUCUGGAUAUGAUGCAGCAGUUUGCAUAUCCAAAUGGCAGGGUUUUGACAAGAUACCUGGAGGUAAUCCACUCGAUGAAUGCUUACUGAUACUCUGUUUUUCUCUAUAAAUUGUGCUUGGUAACUAACAGGUUUUUUUAUUCCAAUUCAGGUGAUCACGAGUACAUUGAUGUCCUAAUGAACUGUGAUAUGAUGGGUCCAGAGCGUAUGAUCAUUGAUAUCGACUUCAGGAGCCACUUUGAAAUAGCAAGAGCAGUGGAUUCGUAUGGCACUCUGUUGGACUCGCUUCCAGUGGUCUAUGUUGGUACCCUUCCCAGGCUGAAGCAGUUCCUUCAUGUGAUGGUAGAUGCUGCGAAAUGGUCCCUGAAGCAGAACUCUAUGCCCCUGCCUCCAUGGAGGUCCUUGUCUUAUCUCCAAGCGAAAUGGCACUCUAAGUAUGAGAGGAAAUACUUACACUCUGAGCAAAACUUCCAAGGCACAGCCCCAGAUCACGCGCUCUGUGUUGGGCAUCUGAAGAGGCUGAAAUCAUCCCUGCAGUCAGAACUUGAUACCGGGAGAUUGCUCAUGAUGCCGAUCAAGACUGACACGACGAGGAGGGGAAAGUUUGAGAGGCGUCGGCGUUCCCUGCUCAGUUUCUGAUACAUAUCUGAACUUCUGGACACGGAAGAAUUUUUGAAAGAACAAAAGAGUAGCGAAAGGAGAGGAUUUGUUUUACAGGCUUUUGGACAGUUUAUGGGAAUUAGAUGAUGGGACACUAACAUGGCAGGAGAGUGGAGAUAAGAUGACAUGCCAGGUUUUUUUGAAGGCAUAUAUACAAAAAAAUACACAAAUUAUUUUUUGAUUUCAUUUUUGUUUUGUUUGGCGAAAGAUGGAUGCUAGUGAUGAAACCGCUGGCAUACAAGUGUACAACUGAGCGUUGUUACAAGUUUCCCCCCUCACAUUGAGUUUUGAUCAUACAGAUGUUCUCCAAUCUUUCUUGUAUUUUGAAACCCACGACCGAUACAUGCUGUUGGUUGGUCCCCCCUUUUUGUAACCGUGGCAAUGCGUAAACUUGAGUCGAUGUGUGUUUUGAAAUGAAGAAAUAUACUACUCCUACUAUGCUUUGCUUUAUUUGGUUCUGCACAAUAUGGUCAGUUAUAGUUUGAAAGACUGUUGUGGCUCGUGGGUUAAUGUAUCUUGAGGCAUUCUUUAAGCCUUUUUCAACCUCCAUAAAAGCUUGCGAUUUGAAAAAUGCGAGAAUCUUUCGAUGAGAAAGAAGUUGCACUGUGCGCGUUUUACAAACAAAAAAGGGAAAAGGUAAAGAAAGGGAAGAUUUGCGAGGAAAGAAAGGAACAUGAUGCACUUAGAAAAGAGCUGCAUACAAAUGGCAAAGACAAAGCUUGAUUCCCCUCCUUUUUUUUCCAGGCUGCUUUGCUUUGUCUAAUGAUCAUGAUGUUGUUGUCCAUUUGUUUUGUUUUCCGUUGAUCAAGUGGGCGCUCGGGCAGACAAAUCAUCAGUGAUGUAAGACGCGAAAUCGAGCUGGAUUAAACAAGUCGCUUUGUUUUUUUGCGAGGAAUAGAUUAAACAAGUUGCUGCUAGCCUCGGUUUGCAUGUCCAGACUGUCUGCCGGUGUUUGAGCUUUGUUUUCGCAAAGAGAAUUCUGCUUGGAUUCUGAGGAACUCACGAUGCAGGCGUGUGUGUGUUGGGCUGUGCAAAACAAUUGACCCAGCAGGAGUUGCUUCUUGCAAGCAUGAUUUCUGUAUGCUGAUGUGAGCAGUAAAUUAAGCAGGGUGGAGGAUUAAAUUGUGGAAAGCAUAAAGGAUCACUCCAUGACAGGCACGAAUAGAAAAAAACAGACUGGGGUGAGAGAGGCUCGAACUCUCGACCUCAGGAUCACUCAAUUUAGCUAUGAGACCUACGCGCUAGCCAACUGCGCCACCACCCCUAGUUGCUUACAAGGCAGUAUCUUACGUCUAUAUAAAUUGUUUAACAUUUUUAUUACAAAAAAUUGGUAGCCAUCCAUUUGGUCUGCUCAGAUUAUUCUCCAAAUUGCUAGAACAUUAUCAUAAUUCCCACACAUUUGGUUUUUGCAUACUAGGACAAAUUACUUACUUUCAGAUCAUUGUUUGCUCUCUCUUAUGCUUUCCAGAAUUUAGUCCUCCACCCUGCUUAUUUCUAGGACAAAUUAAUUACUUUGAGAUCAUUGUUUGCUCUCUCUUGUUCAGGAUAUAGUUACUUUGAGAUCAUUGUUAAUUUAGCACAAAAUUGGGUUUUUGCAUACUAGGACAAAAUAAUAUUUCUAAAAUUUGCUGGCCAUAAGCUAGCAUGCAACCACUCCAACCCAACCCAUCUACCGUCCUCCAACCAAACACAUCCAAGGUCUUGAGAGCCAAGUUUGUUGGGUUGUUCAAAGAAAAUUAAGUAGGAAGUGAAAGCCACUAGGAAUAAGGUUUAAUCACAUAUGAGAAAAUGACCACCAUAUAUUUUGAAUAAAAGAGAAAACGUGCACGACUGUGAUGAUUAAGAAACUAGCAAACACUAGAUCCAGAAAUGCAUCUUACACCCAAUGGGGAAACUAUUUUAUUUUCCUCUCAAGGGAAGCGACACGAGCUUUGCCUAUUCAUUAAGAAGAAAAAAAGGUCAACCAGUUUACGAGAAAAGAAUGGACAAAAAACCAAACUAGGCUCAGUUAAUUAUUCGCGAAAACUACAACCCAACUGAGCACUACAACCAUCGACACCGUACAAGACAGAGAGUCAGAACUCGAGGGAAGCGAAUGUAUAGGCUUCUCGGACUGCAUAUCUUUAUUGUUUAGUUUUCAUUGAUAAUGCAAACAGUCAACUUUACAGACUAGUUGUUGUGCUUUGCUAGAGGAACCUGCCACAUGCAACUAUUUUCUCAAAGAAUAAUGGGAUUGUUCAGCACAAACUAGAGCCAACCUUCCUGUAUAUGGUUUUGGAAAACCAUAUUGAUAACAAAAUGGUUUCGUGGUGUAGUUGGUUAUCACGUCAGUCUAACACACUGAAGGUCUCCGGUUCAAACCCGGGCGAAGCCAAAUUUGUUUUAAAUUUUUGUCUCUGAAAAAUAAUUUUUAAAAAAAAAAACUGGCCCAUGCAGGUCUCGAACCUGCGACCUUCGCGUUAUUAGCACGACGCUCUAACCAGCUGAGCUAAUGGGCCAAUUCUUGCUUACGGUUUUUACACAAACUUAUUUAAACUUUAGGUUUAAUCUGAAAAAAGCGUGUCGAAAUUGUAAGACUUUACUAGUUUCUUGCCCUCCUGAAAGUGGAUUUGAUGAUGAUGUGACAAACGUAUAUAUGCACUAUCUAUCAAGACGGCAUCUCUCCAGCCUGUCGUGUAUAUAUGCAGUUAGCGACCGGGCAGGGUAAAGGAUGAGAUAUCUCUUUCGAAUUUUGCAACCAAAUCUUACUCCUUGUUGCAUGUAUUAGGCGAGGACAUUAUAUCUCCAUGAAAAAAAAACACGUCUUUACCCUAUAUAUCACUCUCUUCUCUACCCGAUGAAAAGACGAGAGAACAUGUCCAACUAUACAUGACAAUUGUUGCUAAAAUGCGCGAGGAUAGAUUUUUGGUGACAUAGAAGAGAGAUGGAGAGAAAAAAAAGAAGAUAGAUGGAAAAAAAAGAGUGUGGCUGUUACUCUAGAGAGUACCUACCAUGUGUCAAUUAACAAUUUUGUAGAGUUUUUUGGAACGGGGUGAUCGUGAAACAGUCUAUUAGAGAGGUUUGUUUUUUAAAUGGAGGGAAAAACUUUGCUCGUCUCUUAUGGAUCAAGGAGUUAACAAACAACACACAAGACAACGAACAAGAGUAACAAGCCCUUACAUACAAGUAGUCCAAUAAAUCUCGUGGCACGAUGGAUCUUUGCAAGGUGGUUACUUAUUUGCACGGAUGUGUUCUUCCCUUCUCUUCUUAGUAACAACCUAGCUAGGCUAGGCUCUGAUUACCUGUCAAAAGAUAGAAAAAAAGCUAUGCUCUGAUAAAAUCAGUGAUAUUUAUCUGCACACAGGUCAUAGUCACUUUUGCAAUAAGAAAUAAAGUCAAGAGUUGCAUAGCCAUAGACCGAGCUUUCCACAGGGGGAACAAGAAUUGGCACUAUAUAAACCGGCACGCCAUAUAUACCCACCCACUUCCCUCUAUCAUGCACCUUUAUGCAUUUGUGCUUUCCUCAGAAAAGCAACGGCUGUUCAUGAUAUUACUCCGCCACAUUUACGUGCUCUCUUCAUAUUAAACUUUCGGAUGGAAAUUAACUGUACCUAAUUUGAAGCUUCACAGAAUUAUGAGGAAAGUCUCGCAUGCGUGUCCAUGGGUAUUUGCAAAGUUUCAUGAAAAAAUAAAUUACAAAAUAAAUCUCAAAUUAAAUUUAACAAGUGUCUAAGUGAUAUUUUCUUGAAAAUACAAAGCAAGAGAAAUAUUGUAUCCAGUGAUAACAAUAUAAUAUCAUGUACUCCCUACUGGGUUUCGCUAAAACCAAACAAACUUUGCCCCUGGCCACUGCAAGGUUUUUCUCAAUGACAUGGCGAUGAAUAAAUAAAUAACAGAUCCAUUUUUUAUUUUUUCAGCUCGUCUAGUUAGUUAAUAAUGCAUUCCAUUUUUUUUUUGCAUUCCUAGAUGACUAGAUCUUUCCUCCGUUGACUUGGAUUGUAAACAAGUAGUCACGAUUAUUUAUUCGAAAAGGAGGUUAAGUUGUCCCAAAUAAUAUAUGCUUGAAUUUUCUUCUUACAAUACCACGAGUUCCUUGCAAGAAAGAAACAAAAGGUAUGAUAGAAAGAAAGUGAAUCAAUCAAUCAAUUAGGUGAGCAUCGCACAGGGGCGCGGCCCCUAUCCUAUCCUUGUUAUUCCUCUUCCCCAAGCAGUGGUCCCUCUGUUGCCCACGUCCAUUCUUUGCCAAAGUGCAGCAUCUCAUGUCGUCUCCAUCCAUCUCUCUCAGCCUUCUCCUUCUUCUUCUUCUUCUUCCUGAUCGAUUGGCUAUAAAUAGCCCUGGCUGCCUUGCCAUUGUUCCUCAAGCCAGCAAGAAGCACACACAAGCCUAGAAGCCUUCAGCUUAAUCUUCUUCCUAAGCAAGUUCGAGCACUCGACCGAAGAUGUCUUGCUGCGGAGGAAACUGCAACUGCGGGUCAUCCUGCAAGUGCGGCAGCGGCUGCAACGGCUGCAACAUGUACCCUGAAGCCGAGGUCCAGACCUCCAGCCUCCUCGUCGUCGCCACCGCCGCCCACAAGGCGUACGUCAUUCAUUUAGAUCAUAUAUACUACUCCAUCCGAUACAUAAUAAGCGUCGCUGAUUUAUUAUUACAAUUGUCGUCAUGGAUGGUCUUAUAAAGUUUGGUUGUUGGAACAUAUGUGCAGGAGCUCCGGCGGGAUGGAGAUGGCCGCGGAGAACGGCGGCUGCGGCUGCAGCACCUGCAAGUGCGGCACCAGCUGCGGCUGCUCAUGCUGCAGCUGCUAGAUCUCAAUCUGCUGCAGCAGCUUAAUUUGCAUGCCAGGGACGCAUGCAACGACCAUCUACAUAUAGCUACUCGAUCUACCGCUACCAUGAACCGAUCCAAGGCUAGCUGCACAAGCUAGGCCCUUAUUUCCCUUUGUACGGGUGCAUGCAUGCCAUCCCAUGCCAUGCUUGUAACCCCCCAUAAAUAAAAUCGCCCUGGUUUAACUAUACAUGCACGUACGUGUGUGUUAUCUCUGUGAUCAUCGUCUUAACUAUUACUAGCAAAAGACCCGUGCGUUGCUAUAGAACAACAGAAAAUUGUAUCAGAAUGUCAAAUUAAUUGCCUCAGGCUCAUCCCAUCGCUGUCCAAGUCCUGUGUGGAGCCACCGGUACGCACGAGCCGGUGGAGGCGGCGCAGCCGCCUUUCUCACAUGGACGGCGCCGACGCGCACGAGCUGGUGGAGACGACCAAGAGCGGCGGCGGGCACCGGCGAGAUCCCAAGGGAUAGUAAUUACUGUGCCCGCGCGUUGCUACAGGUCAAUAAAAUCACAAACUGUUUAUUUUUAUUUUCUGUGUAGGCAACUCAUGGCGCUGUCGAGGUCGGCAUGCGGGUGUGGUGGCGUCGGUUGUAAGAUGGAGUAGAAAAAAUCGUGAAAAAAACUGGAGGAAAAGAAAAUAAUGGACAGUAGCAUAUUGGUGAAAAUAACGAGUAGUGACAUAUUGGUUGUAAUUUUAACGAAAUUAACCUACGUCGACCACGACUGUACCAUCACCACCAACUCCAAUUUAAUAACGAAGUUAACCUACGGCGACCGUGACCGCGACCGUACCAUCACCACCAACUCUAAUUUAAUAACCCAAUUUAAUAGAUAGUAAUUCUCACAUGGAACAACGGAAAGUGUAUCAAGCACGAGCCGGUGGAGGCGAAGUCUGGACAUUAAUUUUUUGAUUGGAUUGAUUUCCAUACUGAGAUGGAUACGAAGAAUUUUGGAUUUCAUGCUAAGGAGAUUGAUUUAUUUUAGGAUUGUUCGUAUUAUGUUGUGACAAAUUUGGACCGUACAAUAACUUUCGGUAAAUCUAAACCGUAGAAUUUCUGCUACUGAAAUCAUGAAUAAGACGGGAGGAAAAAAAAAUAAGGGGCAGUGGCAUAUUGAUUGUAAUUUUAACAAAGUUGACCGACCAACGGCGCCCACCCAUCACCACCGGUUCUAAUUUAAUAUAUUGUAAUAGAAUAUAUUGUAAUAGAUCAGUUAAAUUCUAACAAGGGAGUUCUAAAAUUAGUUCUGCUCAAGAGAAGAAUAACCUAAGCGAAAUCCAGAUCGAGGACUGUUUGCACAUGGAAAACAUGGAAAGUUAAUUUCAGUGGAGAAUGCACGAGACAUGCACGCACGCUAAGCCUAAGCUGAUGCAAAAUUAGACUGCCAAGAGUUUUCUAGCUUAAGUGUAAUAAAAAGACCCUGGACAAAAGAGAAAAGACAAACGUGUUUCCCUUUACGUAGUUUUUGUUAACAGUUGAAGGAAAGGAAAAAAAAAUAGAUGCAUCUGUUGCUUUCAACCGUUGGUGUCGGCGGUACGUCAUCUUUUAGAACCCUGCCACCUGUUGAUUCUGUACAAACCACUAAAAUUCGAACGAGUAUGAAUUAUUUAAUCCGAGGCAAUUCAUACAUGCUCCUAGACCGGACAUGAAAACCACUGUCCUAACUAACUAAGAGAAUGUGCACUGUGUUGUCCUUGCGAGGUUUAUUGUCCUUCGAAUCUUCACACCAUGGUGAAUCAAGUGUAAAAUUUAUGUGUAGAAUACAUACGGAGUACUCGUUUUUUCAAUUUGAAGAGUACAUUUAAAAUGAAAAAUUGAGAGGAUGUCUUUCUCAAAAAACAAAUUGAGAGGAUGUAAAUGUAAAGUGAGCUCUCACUACUCUUCUUCUCCGCUGGGGUCACUCCCCAAAGAUAAGCAAACGCGAGCUCUCCCCCAUGCCCGCCGCCGUCACCGUCCACCUGGCGCCGCUCCCCAAUCACCCACCAAAACAACCUCCGCUGCCAAAGCCCAACGCCGCCUCGCUCCCGCAAUGGAACGGGCUCCUCGCCGACCUCUCCCGCGCCGGCCGCCACGCCGACGCCCUGGCCAUCCUCCCGCGGCUCCUCGCCGCCUCCGACGGCGUCGCCCCCGACAGGUUCACGCUCCCUCCCGCCUUAAAGUCCUGCCGCGGCGACGACGGGCGCCAGGUCCACGCGGUCGCCGCCAAGCUCGGCCUCGCCGACGGCGACCCCUUCGUCGGCAACUCCCUCGUGUCCAUGUACGGCCGGUGCGGCCGCGUCGACGACGCUGAGAAGGUGUUCGAGGGAAUGGCGGGCAGGAACCUCGUCUCCUGGAACGCGCUCAUGGCGGCCGUCGCCGACCCGCGGCGCGGCCUGGAGCUGUUCCGGGACUGUUUGGAGGACCUCGGCGGCACGGCGGCGCCCGACGAGGCGACGCUGGUGACGGUGCUCCCGAUGUGCGCCGCCCUCGCGUGGCCGGAGACCGGCAGGGCGGUGCACGGCCUCGCGGUGAAGUCCGGGUGGGACGCCGCGCCGCGGGUGAGCAACGUGCUGGUCGACAUGUACGCCAAGUGCGGCGAGAUGGCCGACGCCGAGUGCGCGUUCCUGGAGGCUCCGCCAGGCGCCGGGAGGAACGUCGUGUCCUGGAACGUGAUGCUCGGCGGGUAUGCGAGGAACGGCGAGGCUGGCGCGGCAUUUGGGCUCCUCCGGGAGAUGCAGAUGGAAGAGCGUGGCGUGCCGGCAGAUGAGAUCACCAUGUUGAGCGUCCUGCCGGUUUGUUCGGGGCUGCCUGAGCUGGCGAAGCUGAGGGAGCUGCACGCCUUUGUGGUCCGGAGAGGCUUGCAUUUGACCGGCGACAUGGUGCCGAAUGCGCUUAUCGCAGCCUAUGGGAGAUGUGGGUGCUUGCUCCAUGCCUGCCGUGUCUUUGACGGCAUCUGCAGCAAGAUGGUCAGCUCAUGGAACGCGCUCAUCGGCGCGCACGCGCAGAACGGCGAAGCGAGCGCCGCAAUUGAGCUGUUCCGUGAGAUGACCAAUGCUUGUGGGCAGAAGCCUGACUGGUUUAGCAUUGGGAGUUUGCUCCUGGCAUGUGGCAAUCUGAAGCACCUGCUCCAUGGCAAGGCAGCUCAUGGAUUCAUCCUGAGGAAUGGACUGGAGAAGGAUUCCUUCAUCCGGGUUUCGCUUCUCUCUGUUUACAUCCAAUGCGGGAGGGAGUCUUUGGCUAGAGUCCUGUUCGAUGCGGUGGAGGAAAAAGAUGAGGUUUCAUGGAACACCAUGAUCGCCGGUUACUCACAGAACGGAUUGCCCGGUGAAUCCCUCCAGCUCUUCAGGGAGAUGCAAUCCAAGAAAGGAGGCCACUGGCCAUCACUGCUUGCAGCAACAAGUGCCUUGGUGGCUUGCUCAGAAUUACCAGCUGUUCGACUAGGGAAGGAGAUGCAUUGCUUUGCCCUGAAAGCCGACCUCUGCGAGGAUUCGUUUCUAUCCAGCUCAAUCAUAGACAUGUACUCAAAGUGCGGAUCUGUGGAUGAUGCCAGGGUGUUCUUCGAUCGGUUGAAGGCGAAAGAUGCGGUUUCAUGGACGGUGAUGAUCACCGGGUAUGCCGUCAACGGUCGUGGGAAAGAAGCUGUUGGGCUGUAUGACAAGAUGGGGAGGGAGGGGAUGGAACCUGAUGGAUUCACCUACCUUGGCCUACUGAUGGCAUGCGGCCAUGCUGGAAUGUUAGAAGAUGGAUUGUGUUUCUUCCAGGAGAUGAGAAACCUUCCCAAAAUUGAGGCAAAGCUAGAGCAUUAUGCUUGCGUUAUCGGCAUGCUGAGCCGAGCAGGGCGCUUUGCCGAUGCCGUGGCGCUUAUGGAGGUGAUGCCAGAGGAGCCUGAUGCCAAGAUACUGAGCUCCGUGCUCUCUGCCUGCCACAUGCAUGGAGAGGUAGAGUUGGGGAAGAAGGUUGCUGACAAGUUGCUUGAGCUUGAACCCCACAAGGCUGAGCACUAUGUUCUCGCCUCCAACAUGUACGCAGGAUCCAGGCAGUGGGAUGAGAUGAGGAAGGUGAGGAAGAUGCUCAGGGACGCCGGUGUCGCCAAGGAGCCAGGCUGCAGCUGGAUCGACAUUGCAGGCAAGGUGUACAGCUUCGUCGCCGGGGAGAAUUCACUCCCGGAGAUGCACAAGGUGAGGAAGAUGUGGUACUCUUUGGAGGAGAAGAUUCGCGCUGCCGGCUAUGCUCCUGACACCACGGUCAUGCUGCACGAGCUGGAGGAAGAAGAGAAGGUAGAGGCUCUGCGAUGGCACAGCGAGAAGCAGGCCAUCGCGUUCGGGUUGCUGAGGACAGCCGGGCCGACGAAGGUGAGGGUGUUCAAGAACAUCAGGAUGUGCAAGGAUUGCCACAAUGCCGCCAAGCUCAUCUCCAAGGUAGCAGACAGGGAGAUUGUGGUCCGGGACAAGAAGAGGUUUCACCAUUUCAGGGACGGGCUAUGUUCCUGUGGGGAUUACUGGUGAAUUAGAAGGGAAUGCAAAUUCUUUUGCAUUUAAACGUUGUACAGAAUUGUAAAAGGUAGAGUUCAGGAACAUGGUAUGCAAAGGGAUACAUCCAAAUUAGCAGCAAAACUGUUUUUGAACAUUCAAAAGAAAUUCCUUUGGUCCCGCUACACCAUUUACACUUGCUCCAGCACGAACCUACGAAUCAGAUGUGUUGUCUGGAAAUGCAUUGACAAUGUUUACUUCCAGAUAGCAAUUACACCAGCAUUUUAACAUCUAAGCUUUUACCCCCCAAAAAACAUCUAUGACUAUGUUACAUACGAUGGAAAGGCAGGUAAACUAAACAAACACACAAUACAAACUAUCAUUAUCGAUCCGAGCAUGCCUCAGAAAAAAGAGUUGUGCUGGCUCGAUCUCAAGUCUUGGCACUGCAUUAGAAAACUUGUAGGAGUUGCAUUUAUCAACACCAUCUCAUCCUAACUCAUUCAUCACUUCAUUGAGAUAGUCAUGACGGUGGGAUGUUUAUAACCAGAUGAUCUACAACCCAUCCUGCAAUUGGCAGUGACCCCCAGCUGGAUGAUCUACAACCCAUCCUGCAAUUGGCAGUGACCCCAGCUGGAUAAUGGUUCAAUUGUUCAGAUCCAAUAAAGAAUAAAGAAAUUCAGAAGCAUGUGCAUGCAUCUGGUAGAAGCGGUACUUUACAUGAUCCACUCAUACAUCUGUAGAUUUAUCAAAACCCGUUAGCAAGCUCAUCAAGUACAGAGAGAAAGAGGAGUGGGAGCUGGUGAGUCAAGAUGGGAGACUGAAGUUUGACAGCACUCACCUUCUUUAAGUUUGGAGCAGAGAAGCUCAGCUACAGAUUCUUCUACACUAGGUAUGGUCAAUAGUAGCAAUUCUUACUGGAAGCUUUGUACAUUGAAAUGUCAAGCCAGAGUGGUUACUGAACUCCUAGAUCAUUUGACAACUGCAAUAUCCCGCGCAUUUGAAGGUAUGGAUUCUCCAAAAGUUUUUCAUUGUUACACUGAAGACAACAUAAGUAGCAUCAGUGCCAAAUUAAUUUAUGAAGGGAAUUAAAUUUAUUAUCGAGCUUGAACUGCCUGAACAUAUCAGCACGAGGUAAUCUAGAUAACAGAUGCAUAUAAACAAGAUCCCUGUACCUUUCCAAAAAAAUUAAUUUAAAUUUCACCCUGAUGAGAUGAGAAAGGCAAGGAGCAUUACCUGUUGAGCCUUUGAAAUGAGACUUUGAAGCAUCCGUUGGUAGAUCUCUGGUUCUUCUGUCAUCAUCCUCUGUACAUCCAAAUUUCAUUAGCGAGAAGUGCAAUAGAACUAUCAGCAAGAAAUUAACAACUGCAACAGGCAUACCUUCAAAAGAAAAGCAGCAGAAUAAUAUGCUACCCUUGAGUCUGUAUCAUCUAGAAGCCCCCUAUUGGUGUUGGGUGGAGAAAGGACAAAUAUCAAGCAUUAGCUAUGCACGACACUUUAACCGACAAAGAUAUGCAGCUUAGAAUAGACUACCUGAAGAACUCAUUGCCUUCAACUUCCUUAAGUGCUUCCUGAUCCGCUGUGCAUUUCCCAAUCAAAAGCAAAAGAAGGGCCGCUCUAAUAUCUGAUGUAGCGCCAGGAAUAUUGCCUCUACCUGUGCUACCGACAGCAAUACCCAAUGCAAUAUCAUCACUGGCAGCACCUUCAAGUUGCAUCAAUGGCCAGAAAAACAAUGAAGUUGGUACACAGGUUACAAGCUGCAUCGGAGCUAUUGCAAGACCUCUCAGAAGUAGUGCUGCCAUUGAUGUUUCACACAACAAAGUGGAUUGAUUAUUCAUGCUUAUAUCUUGCAAUGUCUCAUUCCUGCAAAGGUUCUUGGUUCCUGUAUUUUGGUGCGAUGCAAGGGUUUCCAAAGGGCUCUCAAUGUUCUUAGUUGUACAACCAAAAAGUUGACCAAGGGAUUGAAGGCCUCCCAGUUGUAUCACAUUCGUGGACGGAAGCCUCAGACAUAAUUGUGAAAACAACAUGUCACACAUCUGUAUGAGGAAAGUUCAAAUUAGAGAGGAUUAAAUCAUAAAGCUCAAGAGUACUACUGGUUGAUAUAGACACGUCAUUCCACAUCCAACAUGGGAUCCAAGAGGUAAACAACUACCUUCAGAACUUAAACUGGCUGUAGAACAACUUGCUUUUAGCAGUUAAACUGGACAUUCAGUUUUUAAUCAGGGGAGUCAGGUACAAAAUUAAUUUCAGUUUUUGCAGGUAGAAAUUGAAACUUAGAAGCCUAUGCUUUGUUUCAGUUGCCUACGAAUAUCAACAAUGAGAUCUUUCUAAGAAUCCGCCAUCAAGUUCUAGCAUGCAAGAAUAUUGACACUAACACACUAAUCCUUAUUGCUAAACGGAAUAAGCACAACGACCAAGCAGGUUCAUUGCUGUCAAUGAUUACAGAUGUCCACCCCAUUAAAAACUAAGAAAGGCUGCCGGUCAGUAACAAGUUCACAACAGAAAGCAACAUGCCAGCCUGACAGCAGAAACUGCUAACUGGGAACUUUAUGGGUCGUAAUCAGUAACAAGGAAUUGUCAACAAUGAGAAAAAAUUACGAUGUUACUAGUUUUUUUCUAAAUAUAAAUAUACCAUACAUUGCCUCUUGCAAACUUUUAGUUGUGAACUUUCACUUUUUUAAGGCAACUUUAAAAUAAACAAUUAAGGGUAGCUUGAAGCACAUACGCCAAAUGCCUGCUGCACUUGGGUGAAAGAAAUUCACCUUUAAGAUGUUGAUAUGGUCUGUCUCAUUAUUUUGAACCACGAGUAACAAAGCACUACUCAUAAUAUCUAUAACCACAAAAGCUUUGUCCAGACGAUUUUUGCUAUGAUAAGCAACUGAUUGAUCUUGCAUGUCACUGUCAUCCAAUAAUAAUUUGCAGCGCAUCAGAAAUUUCUCUAAAACAUAAAGAAAUCCCCAUCUAAUGAAGUUGUGUUUUGAUUUCAGAAGCCCACAUAGCAGACAAACGGGCAGUGAAACUUCUGAACAUGAUACGUCUUGGCUGCCAGCCACUUUAAUUUCCACUUGGAGCUUUUGGACUUUAGACCAGAUAGAGCCAUCUGUUUCUUCACUAAUUUCCGAGAGGAGCAAUUCAACUAACCAAAUAUAUCCAUGGUGCCUAUAUGAUGAGAUUUGUGAGUGAAGAAGCGAGUGCAAAGUAGCCCAGCAAAGCCUUGCUCUAUGUGCAAGAUCACCAUCUUCACUUCCCUCUUUAAUGCUGCUGAAACACUUGAAGGAUUUUGUUACUUGGAUCAUGUAAGUAAACUCAUUGUCAAUCCUUGAAAAUGUGCUGACAGUUGCAUCAAUUUUCCCGAUAACCUUUUCUAGAAGCUACAAGUAUUGAAUUUUUUUAUCAGAACAAACACAGUAUUUCAAAGCGAAUAUCAACGUAUAUUGCCGUGGUUCGAGACGAAAACAUAUACUGCAGUUUUUAUCAUGAAAUGAAGUCAAAUGAACAUACUAAGUGUGAAUAGCAGAAUGUUGCACGAUCUACUCGGUUAAUUAAAUUAACAAUGGGGAUUCUUGGUGAUGACUACCGCAUGUUUAUGUGCACGCGUACAGACCUCAGUUGAGAUACACAUUAUAGAGUUGAUUACUGGAGCCCUCAAUGUUGUGGAUGCAACUUACAAGCAAUGCACAAGUUCAAACAUGUUUUCAUAGUUAAUUUAUUUGGUAUUAGGUGUUGAUACUCUUUUGUAUAAACUUGGUCAAACAUAAAAAAAGUUUGGCUUCGAACAAAAAUUAUAUGAUUUAUAUUGUGGGAAGGAGGGAGCAACUAUCUACUCUUAGCUUCAUAAAGAGCUGGUUGUGCUCAAUCCACAUUUAUCACAUACUAGUACCAUAUAGUAACAUAUAGUCAAAGGCAUAUUACCACAUUUAAUUGCUCGUAUUCUGCUGACUGUGAUAAUGCCGCAGAUAUAGCUUUUGUCAGCAUGUCCCCAACACCUUCAACGCCAUGCUUCACGGAUAUAUAGAAUGCCUCUGGGGCAUCAGCAGAUGCAAGAAGGGAGGCGAGGGGCUGAGCAUCAUCAUAAGUAUAUGUUGAAAGACUGCCAGCCAAGCAUGUUUCAUUUAUCUGAUGCAGUACGUAAUCAAAAAGGACAAAGAACAAAUCCCGCUUCUCUUCUGCUGAGUUAGCUCGUGAAUACUGUAAAUGACCAGAAAUUGCAUUUAUUAAUAACUAGACAUAAUAUUGUGGAAAUGCCCAUCCUGCUAUCCACAUAAGGGUCACUAGAUGCAGAAACAUUUGUUAUUUCACGAAAAAAUUCCUAUCUAUGUUGAGCUAUUGCCUGAGGUUUGAGGAGCUUGGAACAAUGGACAGCACAGCAUGCUGAACUGGGGUUCCGAUUGCAUAUGGUUGCAGUCAGCAAUCGCAACCAGGAUAGUCAAUCCUGUCCAUUCCGGACGUUUGACCAGAAAUUGAGACAAACCAAUGUUGUAUUUGGCCUCUCAUUUUAUGGAACAGAAUGGGAUAUUCCAGAUAGUACUGGAAUGGGAUAGAUAAGGUUAGCUAGCUAGGACAUGACAGUGAUGCGCUAGUGGAGACUGACAAUUGAACAGGUGAUCCAUAUUCCUAUGGAUCUUCGGGUCUAUUGUUCACUUGUACUUUCUGCACAACUGAGAUAGCAAGAUGAUAAUAUGUUACAGUAGAAUAGACAAAGUGCUCAGCUGUCAACAUCCAUGCAUGAAACAGCAAAAUCCAACUAAAUAUAAGGGUAAUACCUCAAGACAGAUAUAGUCAACUCCACCAAGAAGAUCUAUCCGUUCUGGAGCAAACUGUGUAUCAAGGGCACUGCUCUGAGUUUCAUCUGUUACUUGGUACAGCAUAUUUGUCAGCAUGCAAAUGAGCUUACUGUGCACUACUUUUGCCCAUGAAUGUUCCACACUAAUCUCAAGAAGAGUUUUAACAACCUGCUCAUGAUUAAAAAAAAAAAGGCAAAUAAGUUCUCAGGCCCUUGUGAGCAAGAAAUAGCACAAUUUACAUCUUUUAGAAACCUUUCGCAGACCGAGAUCAAACUGGCUUAUCAUAUGUCAAAUAUAUGAGAAAAAACCUGACUACAUGCAUCAAAGCCAUAAAGAAGCAGAAGAAGCAGUCCAAGUGCAUUUCACAGCCUGCUAUGGCAGAAAAAUCUUAUGCUGGAAGCCUGGAAUACCAUUCUACACCAAGAUAUCAGAAACACGUCAACAAGACGACGACAACAAUAGCAAUAAUCUACUAAAACCUGUAAUUCAGUAACGCUGCUAGUUGUUGUUUUCAUUUUUCAUUAAUACAUUUGCGUAAUACACAAAUACUCCCUCCGAUCCAUAAUAAGUGUCUCAGAUUUUGUACUAACUUAGUACAAAGUUGUACUCCCUCCGUCCCAUAUUAAGUGACGGAAUAUUACAUGUAUCUAGACGCUUUUUGGGUAUAGAUACAUCCAUAUUUGGGCAAAUUUGAGUCACUUCAUAUGGGAAGGAGGGAGUACUAAAUCUGAUACACUUAUUAUGGAUUGGAGGGAGUAGUGGAAAACAAAAGUGUACGUGUAUUGUCUAGUAAGCUGAAAUUCAUAGUGCUCAACUGAUAUAUGUUUAGCUUGAAUGAGACAUAAAAUGUGUACAGUUUGAACUACAACUCCAAUAUUCACCAUACCAAUCUUCAGCACUUAACUUCUAUAUAGUCCAAAGGCACGUGAAUAACAGGAUUGAAAAAAUGGGAACAGAUAGAGUCCAAGCACACUGUUCAAGAGAAUGAGUACAUAAACUCAUAAAGAAAGAUGUGUUUCUUUACCCUUAUGUCCAAACCUCCAAGUCUGCUCCGGAUGAUUUUCCCUCCAUCGCAAACAAAGUAAAACAGACAACUUAAAGCUGAUGCCCAUACUAUCUCUUGUCGCUCUUCCAUCUACAAAACCAAGAAGAUCAUAUAAAGCUAUCAUAUGUAUCAGCCUAGCAUAAAUAGGAGCUGUCAGUGAAGAACUUAAAGAUGUAGAAAAAUAUUAGAGGCCUAAAUGAAUACGAAAUUCAAUAUUCUAACCACCUGAACUAAGAGAAGAAGAACUUCAAAUAGUAUUUUCAGAAGCCAGGACUCAAACUGAUCGAUAGCAGGGCUAAACUGAUCGAUAGCAGGGCUAAUCCUCUGCUCUUCUUCAGGUUCUGCUGCCUUCUGUUCAUCCAUACUUGGUCCGUACUCGUUCAGAUAAGAGUUAUUUGCAGUUUCACCUUUUUCAACAGGUGGUGCGUUAUAAACUAUCAUAGGCUCCAGCAGGUGCGCAUGAAUCCCAAGGUUUAGAAUAAGAUCAAAAGCCUUUGUUCUUGCAGGCGAUUUUUGAGAGCUCAGCAUACCCUGGAACAUAAAAAAAUAUUAGAAAUAUUUCACAUGUUCCUUUUUGGGAUGCAUACAUGUAAAGAGUAUAACACCUCGAGCAUAUAAAGUGUCAGAGGAGCUGCAGCCUCAGGAUCCAUCAUAUACCUGAACCAAACAAAACAUAAUCAUUAAAACACAAAACAACUGUAGUUCUAUGGUUUCAAAGGUAGUUUUAGCACCAAAUCGAGAUAAGUAUAGUUUCUACGAUUUUGAGAAAAACAUUUGCUCACAUGUCACAUCUUGCAAGAAUUGUACUUUGAUGCAUAAACCUCUGCACCAUUACAAUGUAACUAAAUUACUGGAACCACUUAUUUUGGUAAAAAGAACUAUGGUAAACAUGGAAAUCUUUAGUACACAUACAUCAGCCCAAAAAUAGAAGUUAAUAAUUACAAAAGCAAAGCAUCGAGCAAGCUGACAACACAAGAAAAAAAACACAUGCUUAUACGAUAAAAUAAAUAGCAGAACAAUAUGCAAUUCAGACAAAUAAGAAUAACAUGGCAGAUCAUGUCACUUAGAGAUUUAUGUAUUAAACUAUACUAUCAGUUCACAAUGGUUCGUGAGGCCUGAAAUCUGCAGUAAUAAGAGUACUACCUCUAAUGGAAGCAAACAGCAGAUUAAAAAAUAACGAAAAUAUGCCAACACAAUUCCAGGGGAAAAAAAAUCUUGAGAGCAUUCAUCAAUCUGUGAACUGGACAAAGAAUGAAAAAGGGUGUAAGAUUAUAUACAUGUCAAUGACGAGUUUAAUGAGGACACUGAACGCCACAUCCGCUGAAGGUUGCCGGCUCUGGGUGGUCAAUCUUGAUGGAGCAUUGAACUGAUUUGCAUUUGAAGUUAUUUCUGAACAAACUUCAGCUAUGACUUCAGAUAUUUCAGCAGGGUUCAAUCUUAAGGGUUGCUGCUCACUAUUGAACAAAGGUACCACAAUGAGCAGCCAAUGCAUGUAAGCACAUUGUUAGACAUGAUCGUAAGUUCGUAACACAUUCAUAAACACGUGAAACUCAAGCUGAAUCAUGGUAUCCCUACUAUCUAGCUAACACUAGUACUAAAUGGUUUCACUGGGGCUUAUUGUAUGACGUACUAUAAAUGGACAAAUGUUUCACAGAUGGAAAAUGAGAGUUAUGUGACAAAAUACAAUUUUGAAUUUCUAUACUGCCUUGUUAACGAAGUACAGAUUAUUGUCAGAGCCCCAUCACCAUCAAAAUGCAUGUCUAGCUAUUUUUUUUCUUCUUUCUCUAUAUCAUGGUUGUGAUGGUAGAAAAUUGGUUCAGCCAUAAUUAACUCAGGAUAUUUCAAGUUCAGUGAUGCAACGAUGAUUUUACAAAGUACAUUUACACUUCAAUAUAUACAGUCCUGUACAAAAUGCUAUGCUAGAUCCUAGAUUAUAUGCAAAGUAAAUAAAUGAAAUAAGGAAAUACCUGUAGUGCCUAUACUGAAAAAGGGGGCGUGCUCGAGGCUGGUAUGUGUUUGCAGGUAUGUUCAUCCUACAAAAGAGUAGAUUUUUCCCCAUGUAAGACCUUUUCUAUUCAUUUUAUUAAUCUCAAUAAUUUAACAGCUUCGCAAUAAUGACUUUGUUCAUAAUGAUAUGUCAACACAGACAAAAAAGUUUUUCUCAAAAUACAAAUUUCAUCAAGUUCACAACUAGAAAUAUCGACUACACUAAUGGGAAGAAAAUUUUCAUAUGAGCAAACUUUGAACAGCAUUUUAAAAGUCAAGAUAACCUUCUCAAAAAAACUGGAAAGGAAAAGGGACAGGGAAGGGAAGGAGGAAUGUGUUUGAAGCAUGCAAGGAAACCUAUGCUAUCAUCACAACUUAGUAUCGGUAUACAUGAACAAAAAAACGUACCAAACUUGACUUGGGCCCGAUUUCAUGCGUUUUGAGGCGGUUAUUGCUUUCAAAUGACCCUGUGAUGAAGCAUAAGUACUAGCUGUAGAAGUUGAAGGUUGCAACAAAUCAAUAUCGGGAAAUUCCUGGAUAACAGAAUAUUUCCAUUGUUGAUCAUUGAUCUUUGCCUCCAUAUCUCCUACUAGAAGGGCUGCAGCACCAACUUCAAGAAAACCCUGUGUAUGAAAAUCUUGAAGGCCUGCAAACUCAUUGCUGGUGAUAAAGGAAACAAACAAUGCAGUCAGUGUUUGCAAGACUAUUAGUAUCAUACUUCUAAAUUCCAUUCCAGCCAGAAUGACUGGGAUGCUUCAUUCCAGCCAGAGUGACAAGAAAACCCAUACAAAACACUGACCUUAAACAAUAAGCACAAGAGAAAUACCUUUCUUUGGCAGAAUUCGAUGCUUGUCGUUCACCAUGUACAUGCCAUCGCCAGUUUAAAAUGUCAAAGGAUAUAUACUUGAUAUCAUACCCAUGCUCUCCCCCAUCAACCUUUUCGCUUGCUGAUGAUAUUAAAUCGGAAGGAGUAUGGCUUUCCUUUGAUUCAAGAUGUUCUCUGUUGGUAAUAACUUCUGGAGUCAACUGAGACACUAAGGACUUAUUCAAAAAUGACGAAAGUGAAGGAAGUGAUUGUUUUGUAGGAUUUGAUAUAACGGAUUGAGGGAAUGACAGCUUUGGAAUAUGCCUUGCAACUAACAAGCGGACAUAGUUUAAAGAUUUCACAAGAGACGCGGAAGCAAAGUUUGAUAUUGGUGGGGCAGCAUGAGAGGAAUUUGGCAAAGCCGCUGAUGAUACAAGAGUCUGGCCAAAUGAUGAUGUUCUGUGACUUGCCACCGGGUCAUACUUUACUAUUGUAUUUGCACAAAAGAGAUCGAUCUGACGUAGUGUCUGCACCCUUGGAAUAUACCUUGGAAUGCAAAAUUGUAUAGUGUAUUAGUGUUAGUGCAAGCAAUUUUCGAGAAGAAGUACAGUACUCUGGCAAGGGACACUCCGCUUACCUAAUAAGAUAUCUCUUUAACAAUGCCACACAUCUUGGGACAACCGCUGGGCUGGUUGAAAACAUUGUCCAUGUUAGGAAAAGGAGUAAAAUCAUACAUAUUCUAUUUUAAGAAGCACCAUAGAAAAUGCAGAUCAAAGAGUCAAGAUGCACCAAUAAAUUGUGAAUAAUUUCCCUCUCCGAUUUCUAUUAAAGAAACCAGGGUUCUACAUGAGAAUAAUUCCAAGUAUUCCAUAUUUUCAUUCGUUUUGAUUAUGCCAUAGAGGAACAAGCAAAAUAAUUGGAGCUUAUGACUUACGACACAAGGCUAGAUAAGUUUCUUAAGAAUAAUGCAGGAGCUACAUAUAAUCCACAUAAGCGCAAUAUGGUGGACAAUCAAAAGGUAUUCCCCCCUUCUAACUUAAAAUGGAGGGGGUGGGGGGGGGGGGGGGGAGGUAGAAAAGGCAUUGAAAUAUCAAAGCUGAAAGCAUACCUGCGAUCUCUUUCUGCAACAGCAUGGUCAAUCAGGACAUUGUAAGCCAUAUCAAUGGUUGAUAGAUUGGCUAUAUAAUCCUGCCAGUAUAUGAUCACCUCAUUAAGAAAUGGCAUAUGUACGAAAUGACUUGACGUAUACCAAGUAAAAAGAAUACUAGUGAAUUAGAAAACUUUGUUUGUGUCCAACGCUUACAACACAGACAGCUGUAACAGACAAAGCAGAGAACCUAAAUAUGCUGGGCAGUGAUGGAUCAUAACGGAUAUACCAAACAAUUAAUAAAGCGAGCGACAAAGCAGCGAUACUAACAUAUGGUAAGAAGAAUGUAAUUAAGAAUGAGAAUUGAUAAAUAAAAUGUCCAAAUGCUGAUAAUCGUAACGUAUAAACUGCCUUUACCUUGCAUCUUCAUUAUCGUUUCACUGGAAGGAGAUGGUAAGGUUUAAUCCACCACCAAAAUAGGCCAUAACAGCCUGUUAGUAGCCUUAAAUAAACGACACGUGUUCCGUUCACGGAUCAUGCAGCCAUAAAUACAAGAAUUGGUCAAUGAGUACGCGACAAGUUCCGUAAUGACGCCCCCUGGGCAAGGAUUGUCUCUUAGCGCCACUGAAAUAAGCUGGGGUCACGUUUCAAAUUACUAGACCUAUAGAUGCAAAUUCUGCGUGUUGUUCGAUGGAUUUAUGCGGCGUAGCACUGGCAUCGCACACGGCAAAGCAAAUUGAGGAGCUCCAUAGGGCGCCGGUGACUCGGCGAUGUAUCUCAGGGCAGCAAACAGCGGCGAGCAUUGCCAAAUCAAACCAUUUGCAGCUUGCUUGACGUGAUCCGGAGCUAUGUAGGCGGGGCAUUGCAGGCGUGCGAGGGGCUAAAACGAAUGUUGACAGGAUUUAAAGGGAGACCGGGAGGGAGGGAGGGACUGACCCGUAGAGUCCGGGACGCCUCGGUGGCGGCGGAGGCGGCGGCGGCGGGCGGGCCGUGGGUGUGCGGCGCGGGCGGGGAGAGGCAGUCGGCGACGGCCCUGCGGAGCGGCUCGGGCGGCUUCCGCGCGGAGGUGACGCCGGAGAAGGACGGCGCGGUGGACAUGGACCGCGGCGGCCGCUGCGGGGGCACCACGGAAGCGGCGGCGGCCGCCAACGCCGCCGCCGACGACGACCCCGCCACCCCCGCGUCGUAGUAGUGGCGGCUGCUGCUGCUGCUGCCGGCGGCGGCAGCGGCGGCGGUGGCAGCGGCCCGCUUGGACGGCGCGUCGCGGCGCCGCAUCCUUCUGCGGAGGCCCGUGACAGCAGGUGGCGAGAUCUCCUCCGAUGGGUCUGGUGGCAAACCCUAGGCAGGCAGGGCAGGGCAGUCCUCGGCGUCGCCAGUCAGUCCGCGCGGAGGAGCAUUCGGGAGAGCCAGCCAGUCGUCUCUGGCCUCUCCUGCAGGGAUCAGGGUGCAGGGAUCGUUCCUUCUUCUCGGGUGGCUGGUCGUCUGGGGAAGAAGAAGAAGAAGGCCUCUCCUGCAGUCUGUGGGCUAGCUCCCUCCUAGCUGGUUGCCUGGUUUGCCAGAAUUUUAUUUAUGUUUGUGAAAACCAGCUCUAAAGAACAAAACAAGAAAAAAAUGGUUUUUAUCUUUAUCGAAAAUUGACGUAUUUUGUUUCGUUAGAACAAGCAUGUCUUAACAAAACAAAAGGAGGGAGCAGUAGUAUUAUACUCCUUCCUUCUAAAAAGGCUUUGACCAAUAAUAAUUCAUUAGUAUGUCAUCUGUAUGAUAAGAAACCACGUUUAUCAGGAAGAACUUGAUGACAAAUUUAAUGUGUUAAAAACACAUGUUGAUAAAAUAAUCCUUGGUCAAAACGUUUUUUUCCAAACGGAACCAAACAUCCAAACCUUUGUGAAAAGGAGAGAGUAUUAUCCAAAAUGAAAAUUUUCAGUUUCAGAUUCUUGCCCACUGAAAAUUUGCCCCACUUAACUUUUUUAUCCAUCUAUUGUUAUACAUACUUACCACAGUAUAUACCCAAGCCACUGAGAUGCUAUAUACUUUCCGUUGUUAAACACAUACACUAUAUGGUACUACAUGUUGUCAUUGUGUCCGUCAUGUUGUACGUACAUAGUGGUUUUAUUUAUCUCUCAUCAUGGUAGCAUUAGAGGUUUGUUCUUCCAUUUAAGAUUGAUAUCCGUUUUUUAUUUGAUUUCUAGUAGUUGCGAAAAUGUUCUAACGGGCCAGCCAUCCUAUAUAAUAUAGCCCGCUCGGCCCACGGACCUGCUUCCCAUCGAACCCGAGACGGCCCAUAACCCAAUAAACUAUCCUACCCGUGGUCGCAGUCUAUAGACAGCCUGCCCGACUCUGACGUCUGCUCCUCUUAUCCCGCUCUGGCCAAGGCCGUGCGAGCAGUGGCUGCCAAGGGCCUCUUCCUUGGGGCUCUGUGUUGCAUUCGUGGCUCCGUUUGCCAAUUAAGGAUACAUAUACUAGGUUUGUAGGAAUGCAAAACAUAUGAAUAGGAAAAAUCGUAUGAAUAGAAUAGAAAACCAUACGCAAAAGUGAGAAUUGAAAAACAGAAUCGGCGGCUCCAGAUGCUGUGAUCGCCGUCAGCCAGGGAGGCAACUCUGGAUGGACGUACGAGGAGAUGGCAUAUAUAUUCCGAUGCGGCGGAGACAGUGGACAUGAACUCCACAUCCCGCUGGCGACCAAGAUUUUGUUGGGAAUAUGCCCUAGAAGCAAUCAUGUAUGAUGUAAUUCCCAAUGUAUUCAUAAAUAUUAUUAAGUUGUCCUUGUUUGAACAUCUGAUAUGUAUCAUUGAAUAUGUGAUUUGAUUGUGGAACUAUGUAUUCAUGUUGUUCAUACUAAAUUGUCCUUAGUCAUUGAGGUUGUGCUGGACACAUAACCUAGACUAAUGUGAAAGUUGGCUGAUGACUCGGUUUCACUUGUCAUGGGCAUGGUGAUGUCAUUCCAGCUUACACGGACUCGGCUAAAGAGUUUAGCGAGUUGGACUGACCCAUAUUGAGAUGCAACGAGUAGGUCGUCAUUUGCAUGUCUCAAUCAAUGUAAUCCUUAGACCUGAGGUUAUCGCACAAUCCGAGUUGUGGAUCACCAACUUAGGUUCUGUCAAACGUUGUUCCGUAACAGGGCAGUUAUAAAGGCAGAGUUCGGGUUGACUGAGAAUCAAGCUGUGUGAUGUGGAUAACCAAGAUGGGAUUUUGCCCCUCCGACUGGAGAGAUAUUCUCUGGGCCCUCUCGAGUGAUAUGAUUCGGGAAGCAUGGCCAUGCGCGACUUGGUUAACUGUUAACCGGGUCGAUCGACUAAGAGUUAGUCGGAUGAAUCGUAUAUCACAGAUCGAGAAGAGAGUUGAACUAUUAAAGGGAUGACGAUUAAUCGCCUAUAGUUCGACAAGGUAUAUCGUGAGGCAAAAGGGACUAAGACGUAUGUCACAUUGGAAGGUACGUCGUCAUGACUCGAUGGUACUUGGGAGUCGGCACGUUCUGCUAGGAGCCGCUACCGAUUGAUCGAUUGUGAGUCAGACUCCAAUCGUGUCCAAGUCGCCAUGAGCCUGCGGGGUCACACACUUAAGAGCGGGAGCAAGUAUUUGGUCGGGUUGGACCCGAACUGGAAUUGGGCUGACAAUGCGAGUUGGACUCGCAGGGUGGAUGGGCCACAAGGCUUGGAGCCCACUUCCACUCGAUAUAUAAGCAGGGGCGUGGGAUGCCUAAGGGGCACGGUUUUUCCACUCUCAUGCGUUGAGAACCCUAGCCCGAUUCAGUUCAACCGUCGCACCGGACCUAGCAGUUCGCCGCCGGAGCUCCUCCUCGCACGUGUGGAUACCGGCAGAGGUGUUGUACGUUCAGCACUUCGACGAUCGCGGGAUUGGAUCGGCUGGAUCGGAUCGAGGGACUGCACUGCAUCAAGGCGCCGCAUCAAUAAUCUGCAACUGCGCGUCUAGUGGUAAUCCUCGUGGCCUUCUACCUCGGCUAGAUCUUGGGAGUUCGCGUAGGAAAAGUUUUUUGUUUAUCUCUACGCGCCCGUUCAGAUUUCUGUAGCGCUCUCCCUCCCUCUCCAUUCUCCUCCUGAUUCCUCUGUUGAAUCCCUCCGUCCCCUUGACAUUCCUCUUACCAAUCACUAAGAUCGUUUCUGCGUACCGAUUUGUCUGUGCGUCUUUUUUUUCCAAUCCUGCAUGCUUGCUUGCUUAAGUUUCGCGUGACUUCUUGUUUGCAGUUGACAGUUUGCCGUGUCAUGGGUUAAUGUUGCUGCUGUUUGAGACGCCCUCUGGCUUCGCACUUUACACGUUUUAUGGGGCUUCCUAUAUAUGGCUUUGGAUGUAAUGUUCUUCUUUCUAACCUUUGUCAACCAUGUCCUUGCUUGUUCAUGUGGUCUACGCCAAUGACCUAAUUUUCUAUUCCAUCAUUUGUCUCCUACAGAAUCUCUGGUUAGGUUUUGGAGACCCCCACCUGGCAAGGAUGGUUAGUUCCAACGACUUUCCUUGCUUUCCCUUCUGAUUGCUAUUGUUAUCUUAUAUGCUUGUUGUUAAAUUCCAUCUUUGCAUUAAGGGAGAAUAUGAACUCGUGCUCUUUGUUUACUAAUAGCCUCAAAACACAUUUUCUCCCCAAUUCUAAGCAUGCAGCAUGAUGCUAGUUUCGCUGAAAGGUUCAAGGAUUCUAAAUAAUCAAUCAAUGCAAUCCAGAGACGUGCAUGAUAAUUAAUUCCUUAAAUGUUUCUUUGUGCCCAUGAACAUGCUUGCUGCUAUUUCUUUAUCAGGCGGUUCAUCCGAAGGGAUUUCUAUCUUUUGAGGACAAAUCCAGCGCCAUCAAUGCUGAUACUGGUCUUGACAACCAGCUUGUUGCUCUGAUCAACGACUAAAGAGGACCGCUUACCAACGAGUCAAGGACUAAUGAAGUUCCUGAGUAAUCGUGGAUUUGAUGUCAAACUAGAGAUGGUGAGUUCACUAGUUGGACUUGACAUGCUUUCUGAUUUAUAGUUCCCUGCUAUUUAGUAUUAGUUUAUGUUGACAAAUUAGGUAAUUUCGAUGAAUAUUUAAUCCAGAAGGACAGUGUGUAAAACAUGUAGCACAUUAUAUCAUGCAAACUAGACAAAUUAAAUAGCAACACACAGCAAUAAAACUCAUCUAAUUUCACGGCAUGAAUAAUAGAACUACUAAUCAAAAUCAACAAGAAAGAGCAGAUUACGUACGGUGCUGUGCUCUUUUCUUGUGUUUGUUUGUUGAGGUCGGUGACGAGUCCGGUGGCGUCGAUGUUCAUGCCGGCAGCAGCAGCAGCCUUGACUACCUCCUGAGCAACGGCCAGUGCCUGCGCUUGCGCCUGUGCAGCAGUUGCCUGGGCUUGAAGUUGGGCAGCCUGCUGCUGUGCUUGGAGUUGUGCAGCCUGCUGCUGCUGAGCUAGAGCGGCAGCCUGAGCCGCGGGAUCUCCGAGGUCGUCGGCCAUUGGUGAUGAAGAUGCCGAUGAAACAGAAACGUGAAGAAGCGAGCAGUCCCGUGAGAACGCUCCCCAAAAACCUUAUCGACCGUCUCCCGGGCAGGAUCUCGAAGGUCGGGGUUCCGGAGGCCUGCUCUCCCGGCGAUCUGUGCACGCAGUCGACGGGAUGGAGUAGCAGUUGGCGGCGAACAACGAGAUUGGAUCGUGGGCGUGACGGCUAGGGGUUUUUUUGCGUCGUUUUUCCGGAGGCCGGGGUAGUCUUAUUAUAUAGGCAUGCAGGCGGACUUCGGUUCGGUUUAGGAAACCAAAACCGACUCCGCAAUUAUCGGGAUUUGUUACGCGUCCGCAACGGAUUCCGACUGCCAAAAAGAUAAGCACGACCCGGGACGGCUCGGGCUCGGGCUCGAUCCACGAAACGCGGCGCGCGCGCGUCGUGACGAGGCGAGGCGAGCGGAGGAGGAGGAGCGCGCGUAGGGAUUUCCCUUGCUCACUUGCUCAAGAGGUGAGAACCAACAUACCUUAUAUAUUGGUCCAACUCCCCCUAAACUAGCAAUGUGGGACUAUUCCCACUUCCUCAUCCCACUACAUGAAUGGGCUUUUGAGAUUUUUCAGAAAUUAAUUUCAGAUUGGUCCUUGGGCCUAACCCAAAAUUCCAAUAAUCCCCCACAAUAUCUCAUAAGCACAUAAAAUUGCCGUUGAUCCAAAACUCUGUUUUUGAUAUACCAGCGUUUCAGUGGAGACCGGUUAAGGUUGAACAUCUACCUAAACAAAUUGCUUCACUCACGCACAACUGAACAAUGGACAAACCUUGAAUUUUCAGUUUUCUAUGUUAGAGCUUCACUAAAUUGUUGUCUGGUACUGGGCUGCCGAAUGCUACCCCGCAGUGUGGAGCAUACAAGUCAUUCUCCAGGCCUUUUCAUGAGCUUACUAGAGACCACCCAAAUCUCAUAGACUGCGACCAACAGUCAGGCUCAUAUAGGUGUGUUAUUUAGAGACUACUCUGUAGGAUAGUAUCUCCCUUGCAAAUUAAUGCAACGCGUUAGAACACAUUAAGUUAAACAACCUACCAUACAGUACACGAGAGUAAUGCAUCGUCAACGAAGUGGGAUAAAGAAUGUACACUCUCCUCAGUUAUCCAAUGACUUGUUUCCCAGGUCCUAAUUCACGGGAUCUCCGAUCACAUAGGUUGGUUUACCGCCAUGGUAACUCACGUGGGUCGCAAUCCCAUCUCCCUUGAUGCAGAUUCUAUCACAUUUCUUGAUAGACCCUUUGUAAAGGGAUCUGCCAGAUUUUUAGCCGUUGGGAUAUAUCCCAAUGCUAUUAUUCCGGAGUUUCUCAUUGCUCUGACAGAUUUCAGACGUCUCCUGACGUGUCUUGAUGACUUCAUAUUAUCUUUAGAACUGUUCACUUUGACUAUCACAGUUUGAUUGUCACAGUUCAUAAGAAUCGCCGGUAUUGGUUUUUCAACAAUCGGCAAGUCCAUCAAGAGCUCACGAAGCCAGUCGGCUUCAACUGUGGAUGUAUCUAAUGCUGAAAGUUCUGCUUCCAUUGUUGAUCUGGUUAAGAUCGUUUGCUUGCAAGACUUCCAUGAAACAGCGCCCCCUCCGAGUGUGAACACAUAUCCACUCGUGGCCUUUAGCUCGUCAACAUCAGAUAUCCAGUUUGAAUCACUAUAACCCUCAAGUACCUUGGGGUACCCAGUAUAGUAUAUACCAUAGCCCAUUGUGCCCUUUACAUAGCGCAUGACCCUCUCGAGUGUUGGGUUCGUUGCAUAGGAAACAAAAAAUUUCCUACGAGAAGUGCGGAAGAAAACCCAAGAAUAUAUAUACUAGAUGUAUGCAACGAGAGGGAUCAUGAACACCAUACCCUCGUAGACCGCUAAGCGUUACGAUCACGAGAUCGUUGUUGGUGUAGUGGAACUUUCAAUGAGAUUAAUCUCAGUGCCGAACGGACAGCACCUCCUUGGUAUCCACACGUUCAGCUUCACGUCGUCUCUUCCUUUCCUUGAUCGAGCAAGCGAGAGGGAGAGGUAGAUGAGAUCCCGGCAGCACGACGGCGUGGUGACUAUGGUGAAUAUCCCCACGGGCCGUGCACGUGAGAAGAGGAGGAGAGGAGGGCUCAGGGGAGAGAGAUCCAACUGAACGCUUGGUGUAUGCUCCCCCUUGCCACCCCCCCUCUAUUUAUAUAGGGGUAGGGGAGGGGGUGGCCGGCCAGAUCUGCCCCCCUUUCCAAAAGGGGGCUGGCGGCUAGGGGAGGGAAACCCUAAUAGGGUUUCCUCCCCCCCCAAGUUACCCUUUAGCCCUAGGGUGGGCUGGCCGCAUGGGCCUUGUGGGGGGCAGCCCCCUGGCCCAUUAAGGCCAGGGUACUCCCUCACAAGCCCAUGUAGCCCAGGGAUAGGUGGGCCUCAAGGUGGAAACCCCCGGAUCCCUCCGGAACCUUCUAGAAGCUUCCCGGUCAAAAACCGGAAAAUAUUCCGAACUUUCCGGAACCUGAAAACAACUUUCCAUAUAUAAAUCUUUAUCUCCGGAACAUUCUGGAGCUCCUCGUUACGUCUUGGAUCCCAUCCAAGACUCCGAAUCAUAAUUCGAUAUCAUCAUCAUUUAUCUCAUCUAACCCAAGCAACAUGAAACGUUAAGUGUGUGACCCUACGGGUUCGAGAACAUGUGGACAUGAUCAAAUAUCAAUAACCAAUAGUGGGACCUGGAUGUCCAUAAUGGUUCCCACAUAUUCCACGAAGAUCUCAUCGGUUGAACCACUAUGUCGAGGAUUCAAUUAAUCCAGUAUCCAAUUCUCUUUGUCUCGCGAUAUAUUACUUGCCCGAGAUUUGAUCGUCGGUAUCGCCAUACCUAGUUUAAUCUCGUUACCGGCAAGUUCUCUUUACUCAUUCCGUAAUAUAAUACCCCCGCGACUAAACAUAUUAGUCGCAUGCUUGCAAGCUCAUUAGGAUGUUAUAUUACCGAGAGGGCCCAAAGAUAUCUCUCCGUCACAAGGAGUGACAAAUCCCAGUCUUGAUCCAUACAACCCAACAAGCACCUUCUGAGAUAUCUGAAAAACACCUUUAUGAUCACCCAGUUACGAGAUGACAGUUGAUGCCCACAAAGUAUUCUUCCGGUACUAGGGAGUGGCAUGAUCUCAUGGUCUAAGGAAAUGAUACUUGACAUAAUAAAACAUAAGCAAUUUAAACUUAAGUGACACGAUCAAAAGCUAUGUUUAGCUUUGGGUCUGUCCAUCACAUCAUUCUCCUAAUGAUAUGACCUCGUUAUUAAAUGACAACACAUGUCUAUGGUUAGGAAACCUUAACCAUCUUUAAUCAACGAGCUAAUCUAGUAGAGGCGUAUUAGGGACACGGUAUUUGUUUAUUUAUCCACACACAUGUAUUUGAGUUUCCAAUCAAUACAAUUAUAGCAUGGACAAUAAACAUUUAUCAAGAACAAUGAAAUAUGAUAAUAACAAAUUUAUUAUUGCCUCUAGGGCAUAUUUCCAACAUCGAGUGCAUUCCCAUGAUCAUCUUCCGGAUUCUUAUUGAACCGACUCAGUUUGCUCACAGCAAAAGAGAUGUCAGGUCUAGUUGCGGUAGCCAAAUACAUGAGUGAACCAAUAACCUGAGAAUAUCUCAGUUGGUCUCUUCCAAUUCUGUGAUUUUUUCGAAGCAGAACGCUUGGAUCAUAAGGAGUUGGAGAAGGUUUACAAUCAGCAUAUCCGAAACGACUCAAGAUCUUCUCUACAUAGUGAGAUUGCACCAAAGUGAUCUCACCAUUGUCGCCUCUCACGAGCUUGAUGUUCAGAAUAACAUCAGAUACACCAAGGUCUUUCAUGUCAAAGCACUUCGACAAGAAAGUCUUAACCUCUUCAAUCACUUUGAGGUUAGUCUCAAAUAUUAGUACGUCAUCGACAUACAAGCAAAGUAAAACUCCCCCACCCCCACCAUGGCGGUAGUAUACACAUUUGUCAGCUUCGUUUACAACAAAGCCGUCAGAUGUUAAAGUUUUGUCAAACUUCUCAUGCCAUUGCUUAGGAGCUUGUUUCAGGCCAUAUAGAGACUUUAAUAACUUACACAAUUUGCCUUCAUGACCCUUUAUUACAAAUCCAUCUGGCUGGUUCAUGUAAAUUUCCUCGUCCAACUCUCCGUUAAGGAAAGCUGUCUUAACGUCCAUUUGAUGGACGAUCAGACCAUAUGAGGCAGCCAGUGAUAGUAAUACUCUGAUUGUGGUCAAUCGAGCUACAGGUGAGUAAGUAUCAAAGAAAUCUUCACCUUCUUUCUGGGUAAAACCCUUGGCCACAAGUCGCGCCUUGUACUUCUCAAUAGUACCAUCAGGCCUAAGCUUUUUCUUGAAUAUCCACUUGCAUCCUACAGGUUUGCACCCGUACGGACGGUCAACGACCUCCCACGUACCAUUAGCCAUGAUAGAAUCCAUUUCACUACGAAUGGCUUCCUUCCAAUAGUCUGCAUCCGGAGAUGCAAAGGCCUCAUCAAUGGUUUUAGGGGUGUCAUCUACAAGGUACACAAUGAAAUCAUCACCAAAGGAUUUAAUAAUCCUUUGUCGCUUACCCCUAAGAGGGGCUUCAUUGUCAUACUCCUCAGGAAUCUCAUCGCGUGUUUGUUCAAGAUUUUCCACUGGGAUGGCGGGUUCAGGAGCUACACCAUGAUCCUGAUGUUCCUCUGAACUGACGGGUUCAGCAGGUACAUCAUGAUCCUCUCUAGAUGUGCUAUGCAUAUCUCUCAUGGGAAAUAUGUCCUCAAAAAAUGUAGCAUCCCUGGACUCCAUAAUUGUACAGACGCUCAUGUCAGGUACUCCAGAAUUUACAACCAAGAAUCUAUAGCCGACACUUCGAAAUGCGUAGCCAAGAAAGACACAAUCAACCGUUUUUGGUCCAAGCUUACGUUUCUUGGUGAUUAGCACAUUGACUUUCGCCAAACAGCCCCAAGUCCGUAAGUAAGAAAGUGUGAGUCUCUUCUUUUUCCAUAGCUCGUAUGGGGUGACUUCUUUAUCUUUUGUAGGAACACGAUUUAGGACAUGACACGAAGUCAAUAGCGCCUCCCCCCACCAUGCCUUGGAUAAACCAGCAGUGUCUAACAUGGCGUUGACCAAGUCAGUCAGCGUGCGGUUUUUCCUCUCAGCAACCCCGUUUGACUGGGGCGAAUAGGGAGGCGUCCUCUCAUGGACUAUGCCAUGUUCCUCACAAAAUGAAUUAAACUCACUGGAGAAGUAUUCUCCACCGCGGUCAGACCGCAAACGUUUAAUUUUUUUCUCAACUUGAUUCUCUACUUCAGCUUUAUAGAUCUUAAAAUAAUGCAAUGCUUCAUCGUUUGAUUUUAAUAAAUACACAUAACAGAAUCUAGUCGCAUCAUCAAUGAAAGACAUAAAGUAACGCUUUCCACCUUUGGUUAAUAUACCGUUCAUCUCACAAAGAUCAGAAUGUAUAAGCUCUAACGGUGCUAGGUUCCUUUCCUCAGCAGCCUUGUGAGGCUUGCGAGGCUGCUUCGCUUGCACACAAUCUUGGCACUUCGAACUUUUAGCCACAGUGAUUUUAGGAAUUAAACUCAGAUUUGCUAAUCGCGUCAUGCAACCAAAAUUAAUGUGACAAAGUCGUGAAUGCCAAACAUUAGACUCAUUAUUAAUAGAAUUGACGCUGUUCACGACCUUAUUACAAAAAUCCGAAAGGGAUAAACGGAACAAACCUCCGCACUCAUAACCUUUACCAAUAAAUUGUCCAUACUUAGACACGAUAACUUUAUUGGACUCAAACACUAACUUAAAUCCGUCCUUGCAAAGGAGGGAUCCACUAACAAGAUUCUUCUGAAUGGAGGGCAUAUGCUGCACGUUCCUCAGCUGCACGAUCUUUCCCGAAGUAAACUUCAGAUCCACCGUGCCAACACCAUGAACAGAAGCAUGGGCGCCGUUCCCCAUCAUCACUGAGGAGCUGAUGGCCUGAUAUGAAGAAAACAAGGAAAUAUCAGCACAAACAUGAAUAGUUGCGCCUGUAUCGACCCACCAAUCGAUGGACUGACAUACAGAAAAUAUAGUAAAUAAAUUACCAUACCUGCCUGCAUCUUCAUUGUUGCCAAUGGUCAAAUUAGCAAACUUUUGCCGAAUCUGUCCUCUUUUGCGCUCCUUGCAGUUACUCGCCCAAUGGCCAAGUCCUCCACACACAAAGCAAGGAUCCUUGUCCUUGUUGCCUCCUUUCUUCUUCUUCUUGAAAGUGGUAGUGUUCUUUGGACCAGCAUUAUUGAAUGCCUUUCCCUUUCCCUUGUUGUUACUGUUGUUGUGGUUGUUCCUCUGAACCAUGUUGGCAGUGGACGUACCCUCUUGUGUGUUGCCUUUGGGGCCAGCAUCUUUUGCUCUCGCCUUCUCCUCAACAUCAAGAGUCCCAAUCAGGUUCUCCACAGAGAUUUCUUGUCUCUUGUGUUUUAGUGAAGUAGCAAAGUUCCUCCACGAGGGAGGAAGCUUGGCGAUGAUGCCCCCGGCGACAAACUUGUCGGGUAGUGGACACUUGAAUUGCUCAAGUUCCUUAGCCAUAGUCAAUAACUCAUGAGCUUGUUCCACUACAGAUCGGUUUGCAACCAUCUUAUAGUCAAAGAACUGCUCCAUGACGUACAGCUCACUGCCAGCGUCAGAUGCGCCAAACUUGGCAUCGAGCGCAUCCCACAACUCUUUGGCAUCCUGAUAGUGCAGAUAAGCAUCAACGAGCUUAUCUCCCAGCACACUACAGAUCGCACCGACGACUACAACACAAGCCUCAACAUACAACUGCUGAGAAGCAAUUGUUUGAGUCUUCCUGUGUUGUACCGCCCACCAUGCGCCCAUAGCCACGAGCCACAUAUGACAUUUAUACUGCCACCUCUUAAAGUGCAGUCCAGUAAACACAGGUGGUUUCAAUGCGACAGCAAAUUGAGACAUCGAAAAUUGCCUACACGCAUAAGGUUUUUGGAUUGUUGACAAAUUAGGUAAUUUCGAUGAAUAUUUAAUCCAGAAGGACAGUGUGUAAAACAUGUAGCACAUUAUAUCAUGCAAACUAGACAAAUUAAAUAGCAACACACAGCAAUAAAACUCAUCUAAUUUCACGGCAUGAAUAAUAGAACUACUAAUCAAAAUCAACAAGAAAGAGCAGAUUACGUACGGUGCUGUGCUCUUUUCUUGUGUUUGUUUGUUGAGGUCGGUGACGAGUCCGGUGGCGUCGAUGUUCACGCCGGCAGCAGCAGCAGCCUUGACUACCUCCUGAGCAGCGGGCAGUGUAUUUAGGAAACCAACAAUUAUCGGGAUUUGAGAUAAGCACGACCCAGCUCGGGCUCGGGCUCGAUCCACGAAACGCGCGCGUCGUGACGAGGCGAGCGGAGGAGGAGGAGGAGCGCGCGUAGGGAUUUUCCUUGCUCACUUGCUCAAGAGGUGAGAACCAACAUACCUUAUAUAUUGGUCCAACUCCCCCUAAACUAGCAAUGUGGGAUUAUUCCUACUUCCUCAUCCCACUACAUGAAUGGGCUUUUGAGAUUUUUCAGGAAUUAAUUUCAGAUUGCGCCUUGGGCCUAACCCAAAAUUCCAACAGUUUAUACGUAGCUUGUGUGCUCUGGACUUGGAAACCUUUAUCUCACGGACCAAUGUUUGGGAUUCAAGCUUUCAUAGAAAGACUUGCUUUUAAAUUUUCUUUAGCUAUGAAGCAUUGCCUUCUGUAUCCAGGUCAAUGAGAAGAUUUAUUUUACGGCAUUCGCCUUGUUUAAUUGUGAUGAUGACGACAAGAGGAAUUUAGCAAUCUUACGCGAUGCUGGUCUCUACAUUAGAGAUAUUUCUGGCAUUGCUUGUGAGGAUUGGGAGAUACUGAAGCUUGCAAUAGCUGUCAAGGUGAUAUAUGUCGCCCUACAGAAGAACUCACAGAUUUUCAUGUGGUAAAUAAUACUUGCUAUUUUUGUAUGCGGUCUCUGCUGCUCGGUGUGCAUUUCAUGGAAGCUUGUAUAUAUAUCAUAUAAUGUGUUAAAUCAUGCUCCUUUCAGGUUCUUGCAGAAGAUGUGGUAUCAAAGUUGAAAGGUGAUGCAUGGAAAUAUGAAGGUGUCGCAGUUAAGGUCCAUUGGCUGACUGCCUACAGAUCAGUUGCGUCUAACCAUGGUCUCAGGAUUGAGAAGAAGAGAAUGUUGGGGUCCUUGGUUAGGGAAGCUAAGAAAGCAUAUGAAGCAGAAGAAGCGGAAGUAUGUCAGAAGGUUAAUAAGUUGCAUGAAGAGUCGCAGCAAAAUUUUGAAACGAAAGCUGUGUGACAACAGUGGUGAGGGUACUCCCCAUAAGCGACAUAAAUACUGAUUAAAAUGCUGGGCAGCCUACCAUCUAUAGGUCAAGCAUUCUGAUUCAAGGGUCUCAUGCUCUCUUGUCUAUGUCCGAGGGUGCUCUUUAAUAAGAUGGGAGUCGGGGACAUGAGCUUGAGGUUGUCGUCGAGAUUGGAAUUCAUGGACAACUUAUUACUUGUUCGAGUUCAUGAUUAAUUUUAUGCAUUGUGGUAAGAUAUAGACCUGCAUGGUGUUUGACAAAACAAAACGACCCUCGAUCUCGAUGUAGGGCUGUAUAAUCGUGCUGUAAAACUAGAGAUUCCGAGUAGCAUCGCCUCGCCAAUGAGGAAGAACAGUCACACAAGAUAAAGUAAAAAAAGAAACAUAAAUGAAUGUGGAGCACUUCUCUUUAUUCAAUACUAUAAUCAACUUGUGUUUACAACACGGGGCACUCCAUUUAUAUAGGGGUGCCUAUUCAUGGUAAGAUUCGUAUAUUACUAGUCAAGUAGCCCACACGUAGGACUAGGACUAGACCUUCCAGAGUCUUCCUAAUUCAUCUCCUAUUUGGUUUCAUGACAUAUACUCAACCUUGUGCUAUUUGAAGUUGCAAGCUAAGUUUGCCUUAUUCCAGGUCACUUUUUGGCCUCAACAGGAAAAAGUGACUAAAACCUACUUAUUUCAUACACUGCUUCCUAGCUAGCUACUCCCUUGGUUCUUUAAACUACUCCACUGUUCCCAUGAAUUAGCCUUUAUAGUGUCAUUUUCCCUCACGGUAGGUCACUAUAAGGGGUUGAUUCAUGGGAUUGAGGGAGUAAUUAAUUCUUACACUAUUAUUAUUUAUCCCCUCCUUUUGACUUUUAAGCCUUCCUUUCAGGGAUAUAUAAACCUAAAAUACCCUGGAGAAAAACUGUCCAGCAUCAUGCCACGCAUGCUCAGCGGUGUGUCCAACAUCAUACCACACAUGCUCAGCAGUGUUUCCAACAUCCUGCCACGCAUGCUCAACAGUGUUUCCAACAUCAUGCCACGCAUGCUCAACAGUGUUUGCAAAGUUUUGAAGUUCAUUAUAAGCUUCUUGAGCUAAGCUCAUUGCGCUGUGAUAACCUUGUUCUACCAUGUUUGGAAGAUUGUCGAAGAAUUCCUUCAAGGGAUGCUCUAAAUAAUCAGUGUAAACAUUCACAAGAACAUGUUCAACAUGCUCAGCUGCAAUAGUUAUAACACCUGCUUUUACAGCUUCCUUGAACAUGCCUCCUAGUCGGUAUGGAACUUUUCCGACCCAUACCUGCCUCAUCCCUGGCAUUUCGCACCUCUUGUGUUGCUAGAUAUGUACGGCUGCAAAAAACAUUGUGUCACCGUUAAAUUAAAUGUUGACCUUGCUUUUAAGUAAGCUUCCUGGUGACAGACUAACUAAGUUUCAAAAUGGUAAAAUAUAUGUGGUCAAACUUGUUGCGAGAAUCAAAUAAGAUUACGAUAUGAUGAAGAGGAAGAAAAGUCAAAUCUGCGAGGAAGAAAGUCAAACCAAGAAAUGUGGACUUAAGGAACCAAACUCUUAACUGAGCAACAAGUUAACCUUGAGUGGUUCGUAGACAGAGAAAAUAGAGGAACUCGCAGAUCAAAGAGAAAAGGGAGAGAACCCAUGAUAUGCUUGUUAACACUGCAAAUCAGAAUCAGACCAUCGCUUGCUUCAAAGAAGCUCUUAUCCUGGGAUGCUGGAAUAUUUGGAAUCAUCGAAACCAUAUUAUUUUCCAGAAUGAGAAUAGGAGAUUAGAUUCAGCUUUCCAACUUUUUUUAAAUUAUUUUACUCAUGUCAGACACCGUGCCAAACCAAGUCUGAAAGAAGGAAUGCCGGCAUGGCUAGACACUUUAUGAUUUUCCUCGAUCAAUUUUGUAAAUAUCCAUUGUACAUACCCAUCUUCUAUAAAUGAAAAUGACACGGUAGGAACCUUCCCUACUGUUUUGUGUCUAAAAAAAAGGGAGAGAGCCAGGUGUAUGCACCUCAAUUUGCACAGGGGUUGUUCUUCGGUCUUCAGCUCUUUGCUCUAGGGUGGAGGACGAGAGGAACGGAGGGGCUCUAUUUAUAGCCGCAAAGCUGGGUUUACGUCAUUCGCUUUGUACUAGUAAGAACCCGGGGCCUGGUUGUAGCCUAUUUGUCUUGCAUCACAGCCAGGUUAUUCGACAUGGUUCUGGAGCAAGCAUAAAUUGAAUGGUUGGCACCUCCAUUCCACUCCUGGGUUCGGCCAUAUCCAUAUGGCAUAUUCCAUUUUCUAUAUGUGGCCUUCAUCAUAUAUGCUAGGUUAAAGCUUCAGAUUCGCGGGCCGGUCGUUCCGUUGCCACACCUGUGUUCAUAACGAUCGGCUUAGCCACGGCUCCAUACCUUCGCAGCUCGCGUUGCGUCUGCUCGGCUCCAAAGUGUCGUGGAAUGUCCGAACGUCGUGCUCUCGGCGCACUGGCAAAACGACCAGUCGAUGGACGCGCCGGAGCCCUACAUCCGCAUGCGCACCGGCGACGAGAUUAAUCACUCAGAGAUCCACUACCAGGAACUCCAUUCAAUAGUGAUGUAAUAGGUAUAAAAGACCCUGAGAUACCAUCAGAUUCUGCUUGAACAGUAUUCAGCCACUCGAUAUGAGACAUAAUACCGUUAUCCCUUCCAACUCUUCGUUUAGGCAUCAUCACCAAAUCCUGAGACCACAAUCAGUAAAUAUAAAUAAGACAUGAACAGUGAAAAUGGUAUCAACACAAAGACCUAUACCUCUGUUGUAGUGUAAGAUUUCAGUGGACUGGACUCCACAAAUCUCAGUCGGUGUUCUCUUCUGUCACUCUGCAGGCAUGGAAAACAUAAAUUUCUGAGCUAAGAAAACGCACAAGCAACCUUUUGUAGUCUGUACCAACAUAUAUGACGGACAUAAACGUUAAGAGAUGUUAGAAUUCAAGUGAACAACCUACACACAAACAACAUAUCAAGAGCAAGCCUAUUGGCACAUACAUCAUCCUUUUCCAUAUGUGUCUACUGUGUAUGGCUAUUGGCAGAUUCACAGACAACAUGUGUGGAUGUCAAUUCAACAAAUUCCAAUUAAAGAAGUUAGAGCUGGUAUGCAAUCUAUUUGCACUGAUCAAAAGCUGCAGUCCUGUGAGUACUGAGUACUGCCAAACUACAGAUGUGAACUGCACAUAGUUUAUUGCACAAGUAGCAGGCUAUGGUAAUACUAGAUACCAGUUAAGAUAUUUAGUGUGGAAUAGAAAUAUGCAAGGGCAAGUGAAAGUCAGAAAAAUUUAGAGGCUAGUGAAACAUCUUAUCCUUAUCUUUAAGCAUCCCUGAAACUAAUGUCAGAUUGCCCAUUUGCAUCAAGAAAUCUCCUAUAAGACAUCUCCUUCAAUCGUUUUUGAACAUCAACAUUCAACAGCUUGCAAUUAGAAAAAAAAAACAGCAAAUUUUUAUUAGAUGUAUAUAUAUUAUCCCGCCGCCGGGCAUACCUCCCACCCCCACCCCGCCCCUGGCUAUCCCGACGGGCAUACCUCCCCCCUCUCUCCUGCGCGUCCUAACCCUAGACCCCCAACCCUAAUCCUAAGACCCUAACUCUACUCCUAAUCCUACCUGUUCUACUCGACUUGCAAGUGAUCCAAGGCUCGCCUCUAUAUGCCGGUGCUCUUCCAUCUCCGCGAGCCGUGUGAGACUAAAGGAAAUACAGUAGCACGUACCGGAAUAGCCUGGCCGCCUUCCCCGGCGCGAAUCCACGAGGACGCCGACAGCACGGGAGAACUCCGCCGCCUAUCCUGGGCCUCUGGUCGCCGGCCGGCCGGCCGGCCGGCGAGCUCCUCGAAGCAGUCCGCCUGAGAGCGAGAAGACGAUCCAGGGCACAGAGAGAAAGAGUCGGUCCGUUCAGUAAUAUAUCGGCCCAAAAACGCUUCGGCCUAAAAAGAAUCGAGCCAGUAAGCCCAACGGCCCGGCCCAGUAAAACAGGAUAGGUCAGCCCACCUAUGUCUUCUCGUCUUCUUCCCCUUGCCCUCGCCGCAACCGCAAGCGCAACCAACCCUCUUCUCCUUCUCCACCCGCAGCGCAGCCAGCCACGAGCUCAAAUCUCAAUCGAUCGGAGGAGGCGGAGAACCGGAGAUCGGAUCGGCGAUGGCGACGUUCGACCCGUGGCCGGUCUUCUUCCGUAGGGAGUGGAAGCGCAACUGGCCCUUCCUCGCGGGCUUCGCCGUCACCGGCUUCCUCAUCACCAAGAUGACCGCCGGCUUCACCGAGGAGGACCUCAAGAACUCCAAGUUCGUCCAGGAGCACAAGCGCCGAGCCUGACGCUCUCAGGUCACCCUUCCCCCUGCUUUCUUCUCCCUGCUUCCCGUCGUAUCCUGCCGAUCCGCCGUGCAAUUAGGUCUUGGUGACCCAUCCAGCGCUGUUCGUUCGCUCGUUCGUUGUCUUCCUGCCGUAUCCGGGCGCCAACGUUGCGUCGAUGCGUUGAAACGAGGCAAGACCAACUGAGACCGAGAAUUGCAUUGAUCGUUUGAUCCUGUGGAUGGAUGUUUGUUUUCUGCAUAGACAGUAGGUCGUAGGAAUUGCAUCCCCUGACGCAGUCAUUUUGUGUUAUCCUUCUACAUGUAUUCUUAGGUUACUGUGGUUCUUAGGUUACUGUGGUUUGUUGUUUGGAUACGUAGCAGCAAGCUUCAAGAUGUUGAUGCCAUUGCAAAAUGACUUGUCUUUUUUUGUCUGGACCAUGAAAAUGAUUUUCAGAUGAUUCAAUAUGGUGUUCCUGUUUUCUUUCCUGGGAUAAGCUGUUUCAGAAAAACACUAGUAAACCAUUUUGGAACUACAAACAGCUGCCGUUUAUUUACGCUUUACUCCCAACAAUAACAUGGUCAAAGUGCUUGAAGGAUCUAGUUUGUGUUCAUUGUCAGUCUUUUGUCAUAUUGCCAUGAAUACAGUAUCUGCUUUGGUUGGUUGCUGAGCUAACCGUGAGUUUAUGCCCUCACAUUGUUCAAUGUUCAUAUGUUGACAUGCUGCAAUUGAACCAUGUAUGCUGCAUAGUUGCCUACCACAAGGAUCAGGUUACUGACAGGUUGAUGAUUUUGUUUCCUCCAGGUGAAGGAAUGGCUGCUGCAGUUCCCAGUCAUUAUAAGCGUGGUCGGCAAUUUUCUUACGUUAUUUGAAUGAAUUCACCAAAGGAAUGACUUAGUCUACCCAAGUUUCUACUGUAAUGUUGUAAUAAGAGGCUUUUGAAUACCUAAACCAACAAAUGUCAGCUCCAAUCUAUAUUUCAAGUCAGAUUAUUGCAUAUCUUGUUUUCUUUUCACAUGGUUAUGCUUGGGGCAACAUUUGCGAUGUGGUGACUGGUGAAAAACCAGAUCCUUUGUUAUCAUAUCACCAUUGUGCGUUGCUGUGUGAUUGAUGUGUCCUGUUCUUUUGGGGGGUGGGAGGUAACCUGUUUGGUUUGUUGUGCGCCUGAUAAAUCACAAUAGAUGCUUAUAGCUGAUGUUCAUGUUCUUUCCAUCUGUAACUUUGGCUAUGGCGACACGGAGCAUUGUUGGAAAGGGUAACUGCAUCAGGUAUAUGCAUGAUUGUCCGGGAUGUGCAUAACUGGAGCAGAGGCUGCCCAUGUUGCUUGUUUUUGCAAUGUGAAAGACUGGAAUUGUUCAUGCCGCAAUUCACUAGGCAAUUGGUGGGAGUGCAGCUUGUCUGGAUUGCUUGAUUGCAUUUGCAGCUGUUGAACAAUUUAGUUUUCCAGUGGAAAGGAAACUCGAUCGUGCCCCUCAAGGUGCAGCCAGGUUUAUUGCUGGAACCUGGCUCCCAAUUCUUCACAGAUUCAUGGGCAUGCACAAUACUUUUGUCAGUUUCACAUUCGUGGGCUGUCUCUGUGUGAAAAGUUCCCCGACAUCUAGUAGGUGAUUCAACAAAGCAUGCAUUGAACAAGGUCUUUUACAAGUUGGACAAAUGCAAAUUCAGCGACAAUCACGCCCAUGGGAUGGGUUAGAUGAUCCUCUACUGCAGCUAGUGCCCACCAAGAACGUCUGAUUUGCUGAUGCAGCGGCGAGCACCCGAAUCUUGGAAGAGAUGUCAAUGAUAUUUACAUGGUCUUCAACUUUGAAAGUGCUUUCUUCCGCUGCCCAAGCAUGUAAGUAUACAUAUGCGGGCUCCCUGCGGUGAAAAAUUAAUUUAAAUUGUCAAUAUUAAGACGAGCACACAGUGAAGUUGAAUGAACGGAAAUUGAUGCCGGGGACAAGGGAGGUACCUGGAACAUAAAUUACAAGUGCAAGGAUUGAUGCAUAGAGGUAAUCAAAUGAAAAGUUCCAUUUAUUGGGCAUUCUAAGACAGUACUUCUCUGAUGCCUGCAAUUAUCAAUUUGAGUGCAAAAAGCAUAUUAGCAACAUAAAUUAUGUUGAUGUACUGAUCAGUUACCUUGAUAGAUCUCCUCAGAAAUUAAGAGAAUACCUUAAUGAACUGCAAUGCAAUGUAUAUCAGGCCAACCUCGCUGCUGAUACCAGUUGGGUACAUGACUAGGAAGGAACUAUACCUGUAUAAAUUCAGGUUUGAUCUUUUGAGAUAAUGAUUCAGGUCUAAUGGUUGCAAUGUAAAGAUCUUCUCUUUUAUGAUUGAUGCUGCUUUAAAUUAAAUAAAUACGUGAUCUUAAGCAAAGUUAAUAUUGGUAGCAGUGUAGCUUAGUCUCACCUAAGCCAUAGAAGCCAUGACGGAGCGGAUCCAAAAAGCUCUUUUGUGCCGAAGAAGGAAUACCUGAUAAUCUGCAAUGCGACACCCGACACUCGAGUAGUUAGGUGUCUGGAUGCUGCAGAAUUUGUUUCUAUCCAUGGAGUGUGAAGUGGUAAAAUCAUCUAUAUCAGCGGGCUCUAAGAAAGCAUGGGCCGUAUGAAUAUGACAUGGCUUGACAACCUAUGUAUACAAUACGCAACACACUUUAUUUGUAAUCCGCCGCUUUAAAGCAAUUAUUCCCUAGUGGUUGCUAAUGUUGUGUUUCUACAAGAGCAUCAUUGCACUGAAGCCUGAUCCACCUCAUUUGCAACUAAUUGUACUGAAAAUAGAAGGCAUGAUUGAAUCUAUAAACUGCAGUUACGCACACAUUUUAGUGCCUUUGACUUAAAGCUGAUUUCACUCAUGUAACAGUAUAGUCAAUUAAGCUAGGACAAUCAUGUGUUAAUUUUCUGUCAUUAGUAUCUUAAAGUUCAACUUGGAACAGCAAUAUCUUCAUGCCAAAAGCAUCCUUGCAUCACUUUAGGAAGAGAUUUUCAGUUAGUCUGACAACAACAGGUCCUGCCUCUGACAUAGAGUCUAACAUGUAUUUCUAGUGCUUAUUUCUGCAGUACAUACAUAUAUGCCAGUCAGUCAAUGAUGUAUACCUCAGUGAUAGACCAGCUGAUGACCAAUGAGCUCACCAGAAUGUGUGUCCUGACCUGCAAGCCCAAUCACAAACAGCAUGAAGCAAGAUGAGCAGCAAGAACACACACGGCGGCAUGGUACUAAUGGCAAAGGUAGAAGAUGACUGGGAGAGCAGUGUGAGCCAUGGGCACCUCAGGGAAGCUCCAGAGGAUGCCCCAGGUGACGAAGAGCCGGGAUCCGAUCUGCGGCAGCGUCGCCGACACCGGCGACCUCACCAAUCCCACCAGCCCGUGAAGAAUCUGACGGAGAGAAGAAAAGAAACAGCUCUCAGAAGUCGGACAGAUCAAGACUCGAGACACGGCAGCUGCAAGAUCCAUCUAUCCGGCCGGCAAGGUAAUACCUCGAGGACGGCGGCGGUCUGCGCGAGCUGGAGCGGCCUCUCGACGGCGGCGUACACGCCCUCGUGCCCCGCCCCGAGCAGCGCCGUCACGGCGUAGUACAGCACCUGAGCCCUGCAAAUCCAUCAAUCAAUAAUCAAUCCCAAUCCACUGGCGAGGACACAAGAAUUCCUAUCGUGGGAAGGAAGGAAAGGGACGAACCAUCCGAAGAAGACGGCCCAGUUGUAGACGGAGAGGUAGGCGCGCUUGAGUGCCGCCGCCAUGGCCGCCGCCGGGUGUGGAGGAGACGAUGGGCGGAGGAGCGUGUUGAGUUAUAGCUCUCCGCCUCCGCGUGGACAGUGCAAGAAACCGACAGGGGCGGUUGGGGGUGGAUUCUUGUCACGCCUCAGCUGUAAUUGUAGAGCAGAGCUCAGCCUCAGUUCAGCUCAGCUGCCUGCUACCAGCACCAUUAAUUCAGUACUAGCAACCAAUUCUACCAGCCAAAUCAAUGCAGCAGCAACCACCUGAUUCACACACUGCACUCACUCGCUCGCCGAGCUAGAGGAAUCCCCAACGGAAUCGAGUUCGUCAGCAAGUUCUCGUGCGGUUCAUCGGUUUUGUGUGCGUGUGCAUGCGUGCACAACUCUGCUUCUCAUGUAAUGCUUCUAGAUUUCUUCCUGGCUACAAUUUUCUGAUUGAUUGGUUCAUGGAAUGUUGCAGUCUUGCAGAGUGCACGGCAGCUGACCGAAUAUAAUCAAAUGAUAUCUAUAAAUAAUCUAUAAAUUGAUUAUGAAAUCCUUGAUAUCCGUCGAAGUUUAUGCUUGAUGGAAUUGUUUCUCAACUUCUCCUUCGUGUUCAUGCCGAAUAGGUCGAUGGGGACGAAUUCUGUUGUCAGAACUUGAUGUUUUUGCAAUGCCAGCAGUGGUUAGGUACGAGAAAACGUCGUUGUAAGACAAUUUGACAAUCAAAUGAUGCCAUUCGUGCUGAAAGGAAAACACCGCUUGCUACCUCAUCAUUUUCUACCAUGCAUGGAGACUAUCUUUGGUACACUCCGUCCCAAAAUAACUGACGUGGGACGGAGAGAGUGUAAAAAAAAUAUGUGACAAUGUUAGAUAAUUUAUUGAUGACAAAUUUGUAAGAAGGGUGUUAUCUCUAAGAGGGAUUUUUAAUUUUCAAAAGGAAUUAGGUGUAAACUGAAAUUGGAAAUUUGAGACGGUAUGAUAUAAGGUUUUUUCAAUGGGUUUUCCGGUACCUGAUGGCACAGACAGCCAACAUAUAAAACAAAACUAUAUAUGUACUCUCGUCUGAGCUAUUCUACGGUGCCCCUAAAUUAAUUUAAACCGUCCAAUUUUUUGAUCUAAAGGCCCAGAUUAGCAACUACUCUUUGAUACUCCAACUAGGAUCCACGGAGUAUGGCAGUGGAGUAUCAAACAGACAAGGGUAAAGAUGUAAUUUAACCCGAUAAGAUUUGCGAUUCAGCCGCCAGCGGCCAACCACCCUCACCUGCCGCCGGCAGUCAGCCCGCAACGGCAGCAGGGUAUUCCGACCGUCUCCUCCUUCCUCCUCUCCUUCUCCCUCGAUCUCAUCCAGGACGAUGGCGCCAUGGUGAAGACCACAUCGGAUGCCGCGCACCCGUGCCGCGAAAGCCGAUGAGCCAACGAGGAGCGCGUCAGCCGCGACCAGGGCCUCCGCCUUGGCCCUCUGAGGCGGCGGUUGCCAGUUGAUGUCUUACUUGUUUGCAGCGUCCGACGAGCGCGCACCUGCGUAUAUGCUAAACGCCGUCGUGGCUCCUCGUGGUCGGCAGUGGCUCGGGGCCAGGGGAUGGAUACACAGUCCGCAUUUUGGUUUCAAUCUUGUCCCAUGGAUGCUGCCAUGCCGCUAGGCUGGUGCUGCUCCGGUGGAUUGCCGUCGUUAGCGUCGUGUGGAGGCCACUGGAUGGCUGGAUCAAAGAUUUGAAGUGGCCGGCGGAUGCUUGGUCUCGGUCGAUGCCUGAGAAGAGACCUGCGGCGGGCCGCCGACAGGAGCAUACUCUCCGUUUUUUUUUAUUAAUGGAAAAGUCAAAAUUGUCCUUCUUCCCUAAUACUCCGUUCAGACUAAUGGAGUAUUAGGCACCGUAAAAUCUCUCAUAUAUAUACACAAUAUGACAUCGAGUUAUUCUAAAGUACAGGUACUGAUUGCCAACAUAUGCAUGGAUCAAUGCUGUCCAAAGGGAACGAUCGAUCGACAAUCCUACACAAUCUCUAGACGACGAGAUUCGUUAAAGAAGUGAGAAGCUAUAGCUCUAGCUGGAUAUAGGAGAGUACUAGGGGCAUAUAUUUGUUGCAGGUUACAUCGAUCGUGUAAACAAGCAUCCAUGCAUCGGGGAAGACGAAGAUCAAAACAUGAACAAAAGCAAAGAUCCUGCAUGUGUUUUGCCAUGUUUGGUCAGAAAAAAAGAAACAGCAAUCUGAAAAUAUUCCUCCAAUCCAACCCAAUCAAAUUAAUAGUUAAUUAGUUAAAGACCAAACCAUAGAGAUGUGUGUGUGUGAGAUAGAGAGAUCUAGAGAGAUAAGAUGUAGAUGAGUAAAAUGGUGCAUGUGCAUGGUGGUUAGCUUUAUUGCCCCAAUGGUCAGGAGUGUGUGAGAGGGAGGGCUGGGGAAGAAGGCUGGAAGGAGAGACUGGGGCAGGCAGGGAGCUGCCACCUAGGCAUUGGAGAAAGCAUUCUUCAAGUAAAGCAUGAAAAUGAAAGCAAGUUAAAGGCAAAGAGAGAAUCAGAUUCCCCCGACGUCCGGCCGGCCAACAUGCCUGCCACAUGCACUCUUCUCAAGGAAAUUCAGAAUGCAGGAUCUUGGACCAUUCCAUGCAUGACCACCAUCAACACACACAAACCCUAGCUCUACCAAAGCACAGACCCCUUUAGCUUUUUGUGCCAGUUUUGCUCCCCCUGUGCUUUUGGGCACACCAAUACUGUACUAUAAUUCUUCAUCAUCAUGCAUCUCCUAUGGACUCAAACUUCUAUGCAAAUCCAUAUAUAUCCAUCGAUAAUAAUAUAUGCAUGUGCAUGGUUUUGGGUGAGCUAUAGUAGUCCUGUCCGGUUGUACUUCUCAUCGAUCCCAUUUCAUGCAUCAUAUAUGUUGAAACUACCAAUCAUAUGCUGCUGAUGCAUCAAAUCAAAAGAAAACAAAUAAUGACUUUUGUUCAUGUUAAGUUUAUAUAUGAUCAUAUUUAAAAGAGAAUUUCGCACAUUUGUUAGUUCCAAUGAUAAACGUGGAUUCAUACUAUGCAUGCAUGUGUCACACAUUUACAACACAUGUAUGACAAAUGUAUAAGGCAACCCUAAAGGAAAAUUUGUGCUAUUUAAAGAGGCUGCAAAGUAAUGAUAAAUGUGUGUUGUAGAAUCCAUUUAAAAAGGUAUAUUGUAAGAGAUAGCAAUAUAUUGCUACUGAAAGUAUUGCACUUUUAUACCUCCUACGUAUGUACAUAUAUACUCUAUAUGCCCUACAAAGAUACUUAUAUUCCUUUUGCUACUUUUUGUGUCUGCAUCAUGCACUCAUGUGCUUGGGGAUUCGAUUGCAGGGCCGGUCGAGAUACUGAUCAGCUACUAUAGUAUAUAUACACCCCUUAUUAACGGUACAUUAUUGGUUAUUUGAUCAUUAAUUUACACAUUAAUCUUUUCAUGGACUAUCACAUCCUUUGCACAUAUAACGCAUGCAGCGUGGCACACCCUCGCUCCUUUUCGAUCAGUUUGUUUAGACCUAUCUCAAAAAGCGCUAGAUCAAAUUAUGAUGCAUUGUGUAUUAUUCAACUGUAUAGAAAAAAAAGGCAAUUUAAAGGGCCUAGCAUUUUGACUAAAAAAGUUACGCUACUCUUUCACCAGGCCACUUACAAGAUGAGAAGAACUUGAUUAACUACUAAGAACUUAGCGUACAUUACAUCAAGAUGACAUGUCCAAUCAAAAUAAAUUCAGCAACAAUUAAUAUGCUCUCGCGCUCUUCAAUCAUAAAUCGGCUACAUUACACAAUUCAGUGCAUAUAGAUGGAUGAUGAUCACAUAGAAAAAAAAGAGUGAACCACCGAAACGGUGUACAAGUGUAGAUCUCCAUCGAUCAAUGAACAAGCUAGAAAACAACAUCUUAGAGUCAUUUUACAAAGGUAGAUCAGAUAUGACAUAUGAGAAAGAAACGACAACACAAAGUAUUAGAUUAUUGAUGGCACGAUACGAUUGAUCUAGAACAUAAGUGUACCCACAGACAGAAUGCAUGAAAAAACGUACUAAAAUUAAUUAGAGCUAUAGCUUAAUUAGAUUGGAAUAGGAUACCAUGCAUGCAUAACGAAUCCCAGCAUGCAUGCAGAUGCAGGAGCAGGACUGACGACACACACACUUAGCAGUUAAGUAAACAACAAACAACACAAAUUUAAGAGCUAGCUAGUGACUGAUCCAUGAAACACUCGAACAAAACAAAGGUUUAACUAAUUCUCGUAUGCAUUGAUAUCCCCCGCCCCCCUCCUCUCCAUCUUGUAAACAUAUCCUGAAGAUUUUAUACACACCAUUAAUCCCUCGUUUCUCUCCAUGCAUACUAAUCUAGCUAUAGCUAGCAAGCAAACAAGCUCUGUUGAUCGACCAUGAAUUAAGCUCGAUCGAUCGUCACAAAGAACUUGCAUGCAAGAUGUGGUAGCUAAUUACCAGCUGCACUACUGCUUGAAUAGAAAGCAUAGCCGCCGCCGCCAUUGACGACGUGCUGAUGAUCUCCAUACAUGCUGCCAUUGCCGCCAUGCCUGCCGCUGCUAAUUUGCGCGUAAUCCUGUUGCUGCUCUGAAGAUCUCUUCCCCGGCGCCGGCGGCAGCUGAGCCAUGUGGUGGCCGCCGCCGAAGUGGGCGUUGUCGUCCCCGGCGCCGGUGUGCAGUCCCAGGUGGAACAUGCCCUGCAUCGUGGCGGCCGGCAAUGGCAUUGGCUGCCCCAUGCCCAUGUCCAUGGCCUGCAGGAACGGGAAGCUCUGCUGCAUCUGCUGCGCCCACUGCUGCUGCUGCUCUUGCUGCUGCAGGAACGGGAAGCUGCUGCUGCUGAGGCCAAGAUCAAACAUGUUGCUGCUGUUGUUGUUGCUGCUGUUGUUGCAGAACAUUGACUGGAGAGUACUACUCUGCGGCGCCGCUGCCGCAGUGCUGCAAGUAGUAGUGGUGGCCGGCGCCGGAGAAGAAGACGCAGCUGCAGCAGCGGAGGUGGAGGAGGAUUUGGGCUUGGAGGAGCGCUUGGCGUGGCGGCGGUACCCGCCGCCGACGGGGACGUUGCGGAGGGCGCCGCCGCGGGUCCAGUAGCGGCGGCAGGCGCGGCAGAAGUGGCGGGGCUGGGUGAGGGAGUAGUUGUUGAAGUAGCAGAACUUGGUGUUUGUGGAGUCGCAGCGCGGGCAGUUGAGCCCGGGCUCCGGCUGCGGCACGCGCGCCAGCCGCGCGCGCUCCGACAUCGACAUCGCCUUGCUGCUGCUGUUGUUGUUGAUUGCUGCUUCAUCCCCUCCGGCGCCGGCCGCCGUGGGCGCCAUUACCUGCAGUCCUCCUCCUUCCUGAUGGCCCAGCUGGUUGUUGCCGUUGCCUCCAGCAGCAGCAGCAGCUGAAGGGGAAGAGCUAGUGAGAUGGUCGCUGCCAUUAGCUAGUUGCUGGAGCUGCAAAAUUUACAGGCAAGCAUGUAUGUCAGCAAAAGAUUGAUCGAUGCAUAUUCCAGGAGAGGGAGAUACACAUAUGCAUGAUGGCGCAAUCAGCAAACCCUAGCUAGCCAGUAAGUAUAUAUGCUCUCUCGAUCUCCUUUCUCUUUGUGUGAACAAAAUCUAGCUUAUUGAGGGAAUAAUAAUCAAUAAGCUAAGAUAUGUAGCUAGAUCGAAGAACUGCAAAUUAAAUUGAAAUUUUUACCUGGUUGUUGUGGUUGGUAUUCCAGCAGCUUGAGGAGUCUAGGAAGGCCGGAGGGAAGAUCAUGCUUCCUGCUUGCUUGAUCUCUUGUUGAGUAACUAUCAAGCAGCUAGCUACUAGAACUAGAGCUUGAGCUGGAAAAGAGAGAGUUGUUGAGACUUGAGACAGAUGUGUUUGGGCGGCUGGAGGUUGGAGAGAUAGUGGGAAGCAGAGACUUAGCGGCUGGGGAAAUGGAAUCAGACCAAGGCAAAGAGAGAAGGAAUGAGAUGGAAGCUAGGCUAGCUAGAGAGACAGGGAGGGUCUAGCUCUUGACUGCUUUUAGAGCCGGCCCAGCUGAGAGAUGGAGAAAAAGCAGAGAGAGAGAGAGCGCCAGGUUGCAAUGCAAGUAGCUGCUAGCAAUUAUAAGAGAGAGUGAGAGGAGGACCUCAUCUUGUUGUUGUUUGGUUCCUUUAUUUUGCAAGCUUUUCCUUUUUCAUCUUCUUUUUCUGGUGAGCGCUGACGGGGUUGAGUGAGUGCUACCCAUGCUGAUGAUGCAUGCAGGUAGAUACUGUUUGCAAUAGCUUGCUAAUUAGCUAUAUAUAGCUAGUUUUGUUGUCACCAUAAUUAAUUGAUUUAUGGACAACCUCAUACACUUCUUGAUUUGGUACAAACUUAAAUUCCACGAUUAAUUAAUUAAAUAAUUCGUAGUGCAUGUGUUUGGGUUUAUUUCAGACCGGAUUCCACUGUCAAACAGAUAACAUAGCAAAAAGGUCGUUUCACCCUGCACACACUUGCUCUUGCAGUCCUGGGCAGCAAGAACACACCCAGAUCAAGCCUAAUGGCAAGAGGUUCCGUUAAUUUGUUCAUUUGCUUUCGUUGUCGGGCAGAUUUUGUUUAUGACUACCUUGGUCAAAAGGAGCACAAUUACCGACCAAGUGUCCGUAUUUAGUUUGGGUGUGUGGCAGACUAGCUAGUCAUCCAUAAUAAGGGCCGCCUCCAUAAUAAGUGUCGAUCUUAACUUUGGUCCGGAAAACUAUAAACAUAGGUAUCAGCAAUUAACAAGUCAAUAAAAACACUAAUUAAAUGUCUUUAAAAUUGUACACCUAAAAAUCAAAACUUUCCUAGAAUGAUUGAAGUCCAAAAUGCCGUCAGCAUGAACAAAUAGGUGUUUGAAUCAAGCCAGUCAGCAUCCAGCAAGCUUAAUUAUAAGUUUAUAACUCAUAUAAGAGCGAACUUAAGAAGAAGCAAACAAGCUGAUGGGAUAUCAGAUGGAAGGACAUGCCAAAAAUUCUGAGAUGGUCACUGUCUUGUCUCCAUCUAGCCACUGUUUGAUUCAUGGUACACUCACUGUGCCCGUCCACAGUCCACACAAUCCAUAAUCGCAACAUCUCACCAGUUAAUCAAGAUACUAUUUCAUAACACCACAAGUCUUUAAUGUUCCAAGGACAUAUAUAGAAAGAUUAAACUAAUGGUUAAAUUGCACAUCACGGAUUAUGCUCAUACUAGCAUAGUGACCCCCCUCACCAGUGGCUGGCUUCUGGGAACAGCCACUGGUGAGGGUUCAUGGAACUAUGAAAGAGGCAUUUUGUAGUAGGCUAUGGAAUCACUAAGAAAAAAAUUAUAGGUAAAGAAAACAUGAUAGUCAAACUAUGGGCCAAGCUUGAUGAUAGGCUUUGUUUGAUUUGAAUUAUGAACCCAAACUCAUGGAAAUUGGAGAGGAGCAAAAAAUAGUAGAAAAUUGGGAAACAUUAUGACUUGCUGUUAUAACUCACGGAUUUGCAAAGUUUGACUUGUCAAGGGUGAGAAGAAGAAUGUUCGGAAGGAGUGAGCAGACAAUCGCCGGAUCCAAACUUUAUAAGUAGGAAGAUAUAUCUAAAGCGUCUAUUUUAAGAAUGGAUGCAGUACUUAGAGUUUGUGCUUCUUUUGUGCGUUAAAGUGGUUGAAAACUGAGAGAGAAUAGAAGGAGUGUGCCAAAAAGGAGAGUGCAUGUGCAUACUUCAAAUUGAUCGGUCGCUAGCUAGUCAGAUGAUAAUCAGAGGUGCCUUUUCUUAAUUACAGAGGUUGAAAACUCAAAAUACUAGUAUGAUGGAGACAUCUUAUCUAAUCAGAGGUGCCUUUUCUUACACUGCUAAGCAGAGGUACUUAAUUAAUCUAAAGUGCAUUAUAAAGCAGAUCCAAUUAAUUAGUGAUGACACUAUUGGAGUUUAACAAAGUUAGGAUUGCUUAAAUAUGCAACUUUUAAUUUCUAGAGGGUAUCAGGAUCGAACAGACAUUCUGAGAAGUAAACCUUGAAUCUUUAUAUAUGAGUCUUUCUACAGUACCCUAGAAUUAAAUUAGACCAUAUAUUUUUUAAAUCUAAAGGCUCAGAUUUGUUGAUACUCCCAACUACUCUGAUUGAGGCGUGUAGAGUAACAGUAUGGAGUAGUGAAAGCAGCGACCUGGAGUAACCUCCCCCCUCCCCCAAACCACACACGACCGUGCCCCACCACCGCAUCCAACUCUGUAGAAGAGCUCCCCGUUCGCAGCAGCCGCCGCCGGAGACCACCGCCGGCUCCCCUCCUCCUCCACCCCUGCCCCGACGGCCUCCCCUGGCAACUCCACCCACCGUGUCCCAGCUGUAGCCACAUCGCAGCUUCGCGUCCGCCCGCGCUCGCCAUGGUCGAUGUCCACGGUGCACUGACGCCGGCCUAUUGAAGCCACCCCGAGCUUGUCAAGCACCUCGAACCACCUCCUAUCUCCCUCAAUUACUUCGGGCUAGAGCAUAUAAUCAAUCUCACGCGUCUCCACACGCUCUCUAGUUAAGCUUUGGGCUGGGCGUAGGAUGGCAGCGGCAGCGGCGUGCGCUGGGGCGAGGGCGGCGGCGGACACAGAAUUAGGGAGGAGAGAGGGAGACAUAGUUUUUCCCUUUUUUUUUACUAAUGCAAAAAUGUGAAAUGACUGAUAUGCCCUUCUCUAAUACUCCAUUGGAGGUGGAUGGAGUAUUGGGCACAGAAGAAUUUGCCUUAUAUAUUGAUCGAGUAGUUUUCAGUUUAUUCGGUAACAACAUGUACUUUCUCCGUCCAACAAAGAAUGUUUCAACUUGACUAAAUUUGAGCAUCCUUAUUUUACUUAGACAGAUCGAUCAUCUAGAUAUUCAAACAUCGCACUAGAACUUAGUAAAAAGCUGCACAUAAUUGGAUACCCAUAUAUAUGUUCGCUCAAUAAUUAAUCCCAGUAUAUAUUGAGGUAUUUAAGUGUGAUAUACUCAUAUGUUAACCAAUAUCAAUCUCUAACAAAGAGCUUAAUUAGCAUAUUGACUAAUAUAGUAAUUAAGAAAUGCACCAGUUAUCUCAACCAAAAGUCUGAAGUGAUGGAAAGAUACUAGCUAGACAAUUUAUCUGCCCUUUGGCCUACUGUGACGUUUGUUUGUGGAGCCACAAAUAUUAUUUUUAAUAUUGUAUUUGGCCAGGAUUUGAACCGAGAGCUCUGAUACCAAGUUAAUUAUUGAAUUGUAUGUCAACCAAAAUCUCUCAAACUAAUGAAAAAAGACUAGACAAUUGAUUUCAACACCGACCGCCAUCCAACCAGAACAGGUAGCAGGAACAUUUGUGGAGAAGACCAGAGAGAGGCGCUGCAAGACGAGAGGCACUGGAUCGGGAGAAGAGAUCUGCGUUGAACCAAGAGAAAGAAGAGGAGCGAGAGCUUGGUGUUACAUAUGUGACUAUGUUGUUGUCCAUCAACUCGAAGUCAUGACUCGGGCGAAUGGCUAAAACCAUCGUGCUAACAUUGUUUGAAGAAUCAUCACGGCGUUUGGAUCGUCUUUAAUUUUCACACCUAGAGAAAACGAUAGGACAUGGUAUAAGGAGAUAAUGGGUCAAGUAAUUAAUUACUAGUACAGCUUUGCCUCUUAACACUAGUUAUACGGAAUCAUCUUUGCUUUGAGACCGGCCGUAAAAUAUUUGUAGGAGGAUAUACGCCGAAGCAAAUAUGUGCAUACUAGUAUAUCUUGAUAGAAUCGUGCCACCCUAGCUAUUUGCUAGUACUAGAAAAGGAUGCCAAUACAAUUAAGCUAUCCACCAGAAGAGAAGAAGCAGUAUACUCAUACAUUGUACUCCAUGCAUGCAUGUAUGCUAAUUAAUCUAUAUAUCCAGCCGCGCUAGCUAGUCAAUAUGCUUAACAUGAUGAUUAUUGUGUUCCUGGCGUGUGACUUUUUGGAGCAAAGCUCGCAUCUCAAGGUUGGAAGCUCGCAGCUCAAGGUUGGAAGCAUGCAACUUCCUCAUCUCCUCCCGGAUCCCCUUGAAUUCUUCCUCGUUGGCCUUCUUAACAUUGUACUGCACCUCGUUUCGCACCCUCGGACCGAACACCGCCAAAGCAAAAGCCGACAGACCCACAGUUAACAUCCACGAUCCCUUUGCAAUAUAAUGCACGCAGCCAUCAAUCAGUUCAGAUUCAUUAUCCAUAUCAUGGAGCUAGUACUACACUAGUUAAGCAUCAUACAUCGAUAAUAUAUAUUCCCUCCGUCCCAUAUUAAAUGACUCAAAUAUGCUUAAAAAACGUUUAGAUACAUGUAAUAGAAAGUCACUUAAUAUGGGACGGAGUGAGUAUCAAAUUGAGAGUAAAAUACAUAUGCAUAUUCAGAGAAUUGAACCUCCAUUAUCUCGGAGGAGGCAGAGCAGGAGGAGGCCAUGGAGCGUUGGAUCACGGCGGCGGACGGCAGGCCGGCGACGAGCCGCUGGCGAGCAGCGUUAGCGGCAGCAGGUAGGCAAGAGCAAGAGCCGGGCCGGGUGUUUCCUGGACCGUGUCCACAUCUGACACCCUUCCGGGCCCAACAAAGUCAUCCUUACUUCUGCCCUUUUCCUUUGCUUGAGAAAAAAGAAAUUUUGAUGUGUUUAAAUGGUGGCCGAACUAUACCCUACAUUUUUUUUUAUCAUGAUCCAAAAACUGGUGUUUGUUACCAAAAUUUUGGUAAGCUAAUUCCUCUUUGACAAAUCUAGUUUGUUUUUUCUUGCUUCUUUGUUGGCCAACUCUCCCAAGCAAAAUCAUAACAAAAAUAAAUUUCGUCCAGCCAAUUCUUGGUACGGUAAACGUAGGCUAGAUUCUACUGGAACUAAAAACAACAGACAGAGCCGUCUCGGAUAGUUGACCAUCCACACAAUUUAUCUGUGUAUUAUGAUCAUGGAUGUUACAUGAAGGGAGUGUCGAUUGCUGCUAGCAAUUUGACCUGUAACUCAUGUGUUGGGUCAUUCGGACGAUAUCGAAAGCGAGAACCCCAGUCAGGGUUUACAAGUUUUGCUAGCUACUCAGUUCGAACCCAACAAUCCACAAGAUAUGCAAUUACCAACUGAGGAGAGUUUGAAUGAAAACAUAUAGAAAGCAGAAAUGAUCAACUGAUGCUCUCUCAAGCGCAAACUCCGGCUGGCCGUGGCCCGUCUUCAAACUCAGCUCUCCUUGCCACUGCCGCCGCCGCCGUCGACGCUCUCCACCGCCGGAAUGGUCUGCAGGAUCACAAAAAAAAACCAAGAGAUGCCAACAUGGGGGUGAGCAGGCUCGCAGGCAUUGCGUCGAACAGGUUGCGUGCAUGGGCAAGCAGGGGGUGGACAGACCAUGUCGGGCUUGUAGAUGUUGUGGACGACGGAAGCCCCGGCGAGGAGGGAGACGACGACCACCACGGAAGACCACGCCAGCGACGGAGUCCCCGUCGGCAGCCGCCCGCCGCCGAACUUCUUGCCGCCGCUCAUCCUCCCUCCUUGAGCCGCCGUUGAGAAGAUGGUUGUGCCUGUGUGGAAUCUGAAGAAGAAAGAAUCUACUAGCAAAACUAAAAGGAGGUGUUGCGUUUGGGCUAACUGAGGAUGGGCCUUGUACAAAUGGGCCAACCUCGCUGAGUCCGGACGAUGAUUUGGCCCAUUGCAGCUGCCCAAUAUUGGAUUAUUGAUCGUGUUGUCUAUAUUGCAGAUUCUUUUUAUUUUUUAUUUUUUUGCGAAUGUCUAUAUUGCAGAUUAAUUUGCAGCCGGGAAGAAAUUGGAGGAGGAUGGAAUCACACGUAGACACAAUUACACGUAUAUACGCCAUGUCAUUAUCUGAUGAUUCAUCAGUUGAUCCAAGUUGCAUUAUUAUUAUGCUGUUGGUAAGAAUACAAUCCUGCAUACAUACAUGUCGACUGGUGAUUUGAAACUUGACGUGUCCGUCGCAGCUCAUGCCCAUGGGGACGAUGAGAGCGAAACAUAAACAAAUAAUUUGUACCAACGCCAAUGUUGCUAGUCCACGUCAUGCAUGCAACUUGGUCGACCUAUUGCUAUAUAUUAGGCUAAUUACUUGUUACAGUUAAAUAUAUACACGACAAGAAGAAGAAAAGUUUAUUUUUUGUUGUGCCGCUUCCUCUCACGCCUGCAGCACGCCGUACCGGUGGCAAGCAUGGCUGUCGAUAUUUUCUUUGGCCAUUCCUGCAAACUAAUCUUGGGUUUCUGUCGAGUCAUAUAUGCUGCCAAAGAGACAGCGAAUAAGCUAAUGCAUAUAUGAUCGAGCAGAUAAAUAUGAGUUAGCAGAUCUUAGAUGCAACUGCUCUGCUCCUGCCCGCUGUGUAUACUGAUAUAUCCAUUGAGCUGGGUGGAUUAGAUCUUUCUGGAUCGGAGCCAACAUGUUACUAAUUUCUUGUCCCCACUGCACACAUGAUUUAGAAUCGAACACAUACCAGGUCUACGUUCCAACCGAAAUUUAGAACAGACUUCACGUGUGUAUAUAAUCACCAAGCUUAGCUUAGCUUGGAUAGAUGGUAGGUGUUGAACAAUGACAAAUCAAUCACCGUGAAUGCAUGCGCGUAUAGGACUGCUGGUGGCUUAAAAUGAAUUGAUCGACGACCAAUAUGAUAUGUAGAGUUGGUAGUUGCGUAAGAAGCUGGAUUAAUUGGGUUGAUGUAUAAGAUACGAAUAACGAAUCAAUUAAUUAUGGAUUAGAAAGAGUAGCAUAUAUGACAUGUGGUUUUACUCGUUCUUCGUUGAAGGAUCCGUUGGCAUGCGAGUAGAAGUUGCAACUUACAAGGGACAGAAAUUCAAAACCCGGUAGCAACUAGCUAUACGGAGAGUAACGACCCAAAAAAAAAGACAUGCAUGAAAAAUACUUAAACGGAACAAUUAAUUGAAUGCAUGAAAACUACUAGUCGCACAAAAUGGCUAGCCCACCAUAUGUAUGGGCACUAGAGCUAGCUAGCAAGUGGCCGGGGAAAGAGCUAAAAUCGAUAUAAAUAUGCCUUGUUUUGUUCCUUUGAAAGGGAUUUUGAUCGAUCUUGAUGUGCUAAGUUGUCUGGUCGUGCCACCUAGCGAUCGAUCGAGAGCUAAGCUAGGCCAUUCGUACAUGUCGAUCAUCGAUCUCCGAAGAAUCUAAUACUAGCUGCGGCUUAAUUGGUACAUCGUCGAUCUCAUGGAAUAUUACAUAUGCGAUAGAUGCUUCUGAGUUCUGACGUACACGUACAUGUAUAUCGAUACUAACGAUCGAUUUGCAUACACUUACGUGCUAGUCCAACGAUCCUAAAUUCUUGUCUCAAAUUGUCAAAAUAUGGAUGUAUCUAUUCUUAAAAAACGUCUAAAUAUAUGUAAUAUUUUGACAACAAUUUAGAAUAUGAGGGAGCAGUGAUUAACAGGUGAUCCUCUUGAGUGGGUCUCCUAAUUAUUCCCAUGCAUGUUAAUCCCAUCAUAGUAAGAUCAGGUUCAGUGAUCAGCACGACGUACAUGCAUGUGUUGUUGAGGUAUAUUUUUUUAAUUCGUUUGUUAAGGGGUUAAUUAAGAUCGGUUGGGCGUGAUUUAAUCCUAGCUAGAUUCAGAGUGAUGGUAGUACUACGUACCGCUACUAAUUAAUUUCCCACUUUCUUAUAAGAAAAGAAAACCACAAAUUAAGCGGUGGGAAAAGGUACGGCGAAAGCAACAAGCCAACAAAAUGAACAAGAGAUAUGCAAACUACCAGCAUUUUUGUGUGUGUAUCCUUUGAGGAUAUGGGAAAUGUUUUGUUGAUAUUUUGAUGUAGUAGGCACAUAAAUUAUUGACGAGAUGAGGUGCAUUUAAUUAACACGAACGGACGCGUGAUUAAGGUAGGAGGGAACACGCUAAGUAACAUUGUUUAGGAUCGGUCGCACCGACGCACGUGAAUUAAGGUAGGAGGGAACCCACUAGCAAAUUUUAAUUAGGUGCAUGCAUGCAUCUCUCGAUCAUAUAUGCACCUAGAUUUUUAUAUGGAUCUUCACUUUAGGUUUUAGCUUGGCAAUUUUAUUUUAUUUUAUUUCGGAAUUCCCAUGAAGCUUAGCUAGCUGUUCAUCGUUUCUAAGCCACGGCAUAGAGAGGACCGAAGGACAUGUAAGCUUCAUUAAUGAGCAGGCAGUAGUACUAAGCUAGCCAGGAUGAGAUCUGACAGUCUAGGACGUAGGUAGGGUUGGGAUCCUGUCAGGUAGACGAAUUAGUAAGCCUUGGCUAGUCACAUCCUAAGGUGCUGUCAGUCAAGAAAAAGGUAAAUGAAGACGACGAAGAAACAAAGGUCGAUCAUAUCAGGGGUCAAACGCAGACUGUCAGCUUGUACUCCUAUUCAACACCUCCCCUGAUCUUCUUCCAGCUCGCGCGCCUUUUCACACACACACACAGGCAGCCAGGCAGAGACUUCCACGCACACAAAAAAGGCAUUUUGAAUUUCUAGCAGUUCCCAAAGUACUAUAGGUUUUAUGUAUGUCACAUGAGAGGCACAAUUCCUGGUUUUCUGAACGGUAUGAAUCCAGGCUUCCAUAGCUAGAUCAACAACAAUGAUGUUUAGUUCUGAGCAAACGAGUGUUUAGAGAGCUUGAAAUAAUGCCUUGUGUAAAAUUCUUGCAGUUGCUAGCAGCGAUCGACUAUCUUGUGCCUAAGGCCGUGUAAUUACAGAGGGAAAGUUUUGAACUCAAACUUGUAGAGCAUGUUUUCCACACUUUCACCUACUGCGCGCAGGUUGUACCGCAGGCCAAGCUUAAAUUCAGACAAGAAUAGCGUGUCAAACAAAAGAUGUCCAAAAGCCAAAAGGAAGAGGAAGCAAUGGUGUUCAUGUUAGUUACACUGCUGUCUUUCAGAAAAAAAAGGGGAAGAGUUUUUUAUUUGAAAGAGAAGCUUAUGCUAUAUAAUUAGGUUGGAGAAAGGCAGUUAAUAAGAUAUGGUGAUGGCCCCAUGGUUAAUUAGGCAUGGCCUCUCUUUCUUGGACAACAUCGAUCGACCCCUCCACAUUUCCAUCACCAAAUAUUAGUAACACGCACCUAAUAAAUAAUGCCGCAUUAAAAACACUAAUAAACUCCGCCUCCGUUGAACACGCAUGUGUGUCGACCGAAUAGAAGAAAGGAAAAGGAAAUCACGAAGCACCAACAGCAACCACAGGAUGGGGAACCUUGCAUGAUUACCUCCCUUUGAUUCAUGAUCGUUUGGUCUGAAAUUAAAGGGCGCCGACAUGUGGUCAACAUCAUGCCAUGCUGCGCCAAUUCACAAACCUUCAAUUAGCGGUGCGUCUUAGUACAGGAGUACUAGUUUCCUGGUCAAUAAGAUGCUUUGAGUAGGUACAACUUACUCCCUCUGUCAAAAAUAUACAAGGACAAAAAUUCUAACCUGGGACGUCUAAAAAUGCAAUAACAAUAACAAGUUGAUCCUUGAGAGUUGAGAUCCCAUCACUCGUCCCUAUGUACGUCGUUGCCAAAUUGAUUCACCACUUGCAUGAAACUGCAUUUUGUUGAGUUCAGCUUACUUAAGAAACAUAAGGCAACUUUGGGAGUAGAAAAAAAUAUUGAAAUUUGAGGCACCAUCUACCAUGGGGAAGAUAUUAAAAAAAAAGAGUACAGUAGUAAUAAGCCAAGCAGCACAUGUGGCAAGAAAAAAACAAAACCGUGGAAAAUAUCUGGAGAGAAGAAAAAGAGAGGGAGAUUUAAAAAAGGGGGAGAAAACGCCAAGGUGGGUGGAAGUCAAGGCAGCAAGGAAGAAAGAUCCAAGCUUGGCGUGCUCCAUUAAAAAGGCACUCUCAAUUCUUCUCAGGCCAAAACUAAACCUGCCCCCGGCCAGGCCGCGUCUUCUUCUUCUUCUUCCUCCAGACCUUCACGGGGUGGCCGGCGGCAGAGGUCGGAGGGCGAUGGGGCACGGGCUGAGCUGCGGCCGCGACGGCGAGGAGCACGAGUUCUUCCGGGCGGCGCAGUCCGGCGACGCCGACGCCAUGGACGGCCUCCUCGCCGGCGACCCGUCGCUGGCCCGCCGCGCCACCAUCUACGACCGGCUGACGCCGCUCCACGUGGCGGCCGCCAACGGGCACCUGGAGGCGGUGUCCCUGCUCCUGGACCGGGGGCGGGCGGCGCCGGACGCGCUGAGCCGGACCAAGCAGACGCCGCUCAUGCUCGCCGCCAUGCACGGCAAGCUCGACUGCGUCCUCCGCCUCCUCCACGCCGGCGCCAAUGUAAGUCAAGUCACAGCCGCCGCCAAUCCCAAUUCGACCCCUUCUUCUUCCUCUUCGUCUUCUACCUCGCGAUUUCGAUUCCUACCGAAUAAAACUUACUCUGUUUUUCUUCUCUUUGGUUUCAGAUCUUGAUGUUCGAUUCGGUGCACGCCAGGAGCUGCCUGCACCACGCGGCGUACUACGGCCACGGGGACUGCCUGGCGGCGAUCCUGGCGGCGGCGCGGACGGCGCCGGUGGCGGCGUCGUGGGGCUUCGCACGCUUCGUCAACGUCCGCGACGAGCACGGCGCCACGCCGCUCCACCUGGCGGCGAGGCACGGGCGCGCCGGGUGCGUGCACGCGCUCCUCGACGCCGGCGCCAUCGUGUCGGCGCCGACGGGGUCCUACGGGUUCCCCGGGAGCACGGCGCUGCACCUGGCGGCGCGCGGCGGGUCCCUGGAGUGCGUCAGGGAGCUGCUGGCGUGGGGCGCCGACAGGGUGCAGCGGGACUCGGCGGGGAGGAUCGCGUACGCGGUGGCCGUGAAGCGGCGGCAUGGCGGGUGCGCGGCGGCGCUGGACCCCGGCGCGGCGGAGCCCAUGGUGUGGCCGUCCCCGCUCAAGCUCGUCGCCGAGCUCGACGCCGGCGCCAGGGCGCUCCUCCAGGCCGCGCUCGCCGACGCCAACAAGAAGAUCCUCACACGCCUCAAGGCCUCCGGCAACACCUCCGCCGGCCGCGAGGAAGAAGAAGAAGAGGAAGAAGAGGAUGAGGAAUUGUGCAGCAUCUGCUUCGAACAGGCGUGCAGCAUGGAGGUGGAGGACUGCGGGCACCGGAUGUGCGCGGCGUGCACGCUGGCGCUCUGCUGCCACAGCAAGCCUAACCCGGCCACGUUCACCGCGAACCCGCCGGCGUGCCCGUUCUGCCGCACCUCCAUCUCCCGCC
rnacentral:lncRNA from 1 species